UGAACUUGGCCAUUUUGGAGAAUAUAUAUUCCAUUUCCCACUAAGGCUGUGGGUGGUAAUGUUUUUCACAGGGUUAGUAGCCUCACAAACUGUCGUUGAUUUCUUCGAACAUGGCAGAAAGAAGAGGAGCUUAAGUUCCUUCGGUCGGAGCUGGAUAGCUUUGGGAAGGAAGAUUUACUUCCUCUUCUAGAAGGGAACGAGCACGCAGUCAUGGACGACGAAGUUUUCAAAAUGAGGCAUGCACGAAACUUCACCUGGAACAUUACACUACUGUCGAUCUUGCCACGGAACUUGCAAAUCCCCUCUCGAACUUGUUUUCCCGGUGCCACUUAAGGAGCUCUUGGAACAAAUCCGGGAAUGGCCCCGUUGCGUUCCUAUCUCCGGAAUAUCCUCCUUCAGGCAUAUGCCCAGAGGGGGUCUUCGACAGGAUGCCGUCCAAGGACGUGGUCGCGUGGACGGCUAUGGUGAAUGCCUACGCCGAGAACGGCGUUGUGGACCUCGUGCAAUGUAUGUUCGAGAAUAGGCCCGUGAGGAACGUGGUGUCGUGGAACUCCAUGCGUUUUGCAUAUACCCAGAGCGGGUAUUGCAAUCAAGACAUGGAGCUCCUUCAAAUCAUGCCUGCUCACAACGAGUGCACGUGGAAUGUUAUGAUUCCUUGCUACGCUCUCAGUGGAAACACGGGCAAGGCUAUUGUUGUAUUCCAGAGCGUAGGCGCAAGAAUGCUAGCUGCCUAGAACGCUCUAAUCUCGGCAUUUGCCCAGGCUGGGGAUUUCUCCAUGGUGAAAGAUCCCUUUGACGCAAUGCCUGCUCCCAAUAUUGUGUCGUGGAAGAAGCUCGAUUUAAGCUCAAUCACCUGGAGCGUGAUGCUUCAAGCAUUUGCAGGGUUUGGGCAUGUACAAGAUGGCGAGAGUUUGUUUCAGAUCAUGCGAGAAACCUCACUCGGCGAUCCCAGUUGCUUGUCAGCCUGGACCAACAUGAUUGUUUUAUAAGAUUGACAGAGCUCGAGCAGUGUUUGAUGCUUUGGCGUGCCUGGACAAGGUCUCCUGGAACACCAUGCUCGCUCACCUGACGUCCACCACUGCAAAUAUUUCUUUGAGCAAAUGCCCGGCCACAACCUGGUGUCUUACAACACUGUCUUGUCCUCGGUGGUCAGCUGCAGAUUAUCCGAGAAAGCAGUGAAAAUCUUCGUCGAAAUGCCAGAGAUAACAUACAGUGUGAUGAUGCAAGCUUAUGCACAGGAAGGCCAGCUUGCGAGUGCCAGGAGACAAUGCCGGAUCGCAACUCAGUGGCUCUCAUCACCGUGAUCUUGGCACUCGCACAGCCCAAUCCCCAAGAACAGCCUUUGAGCGGUUUGAGGCCUGGAGCUCGAUCAUCCCGGCCUAUGUGCAGAACGGACGCGUGACUGGAUCGCUUUCGAGAGAUGAUCUUGCUGUCUUUCAAGCCAGACGAGACCAUCUUCACGACAAAUCUAGCAGCGGCAGCGAGCCAGCUCGAGCAGUGUUGCCGAGAUUUUUUGUCCAUGAUCGCAGACUUUGGGAUCUCUCCCAGGAUCGAGCACGCAAUGGGGCGACCUGGUCAGUUGGAGCAAUCCAUGCCAUUUGUUCCACAGCCGGGCUUGUGGAUGAUUCUUCUGGGCUCGAAAUGCAAAGGUUGUGGAAAUGUCGGCUGGAAAAUCGGGAUAAUGCCAGGUUGACAACCAACAAUCCUAGUCAUCCCGGAGAUGCGGGUGUUGUGCCAUGUAAGCUGAAAACCUAUCCCACCAGCCAAGGCGCAGUAGAGGAACACUGGUAUAAAAGAAAUGGAGGAGGAGGUAUGGUUAAUCCGGGAGAGCCCGAAAGGGCGCUUGCAUCCCUCGGGUUGCUUAGUAAAUGGGGUCGCUGACCCUUGACCACUUGGCCCCCCUCGUCGGUGACCCAGUAGUGCUAAGUCGGUAUGGUCAACUCCACCGUGACCUACCGGAUAGCGCUUGGUACCCAGGGCGCCCAAGGAGGCCCGAUAUCUUUUGCAAACAUUUCUUUGAUCUUCCUUUCUGGAAUUUCUUGGUGCGCCAGGCCUUGAAGUAAAUUUUUUCACUCAUUUGGGAGGAAACGAAUGUUUGCGGCACCAGGCGGUUCUCAAUUUCACAAGACCAUCAAAGCUCAACCUAAUGCGUUAUGUCGAUGAUGCUUCUCUCUCUUUCUUUUUCCCGAACAAGCAAGGAUGGCACUUUCAAGUGCCUGAGAAAGGAUAGAGAAUUGUGCUCCAAACACGUUACACUUCUUUGCAAGUCGGGUAGGUGUUACUGAUUGUGAAGAAAGGUCUCCAAGCUAAAGAGGCUUGAGGAGGGAUGCCUUCUACAAGAACAAUAGCAUCGAUGAGGCUAACAAAGAGCUUUCCACAGAUAGAAUAAAUAAUGACUCCAGAAGCUUAUGGAUAAAUAAACCACCAUAAACCAUUUCCUUUCGAAAUAUAAAGGUGAAAAAAAAAGUAUCCCUUCCCAAAUCCAAAAGCUAUCAGCUCAGACCCAAGAAAUUCUUCUUUCUUGCGAAGUGCUCGAUCUCAUCAACUUCUCCCCGAUUUUGCGGAAUGCAAGGCAAAUUUUCGUGGGAGCUUUAUCCAGCGAAUUGAUUACCAGGUCCCAUGAGCGAAAGCUGGUGGAAGAAACCCUUGCUGGACGACUUGGACUGGUGGGGAGAGAAUCAGAUUGGACGCAUGAUGCUCGAUGGAUGGCGAGGAGAUUAAGUCCUGGAAGCAGAGAGUUGACGCCAGCUCAGUGAAAGCUGGGAAAAAUCCAGGGACAGAAGCGAGUGAAAUUCCGCUUCUAAUCGCUUCGAAACUCUGGUUGAAUCCACGAAUUUCUGGCUCCUCGCUCCUGAGCUCUUCAAAUCGGUCGAGAGCAUAAAACAGAUUUAAAAAUAUUUCAGUAAACCGGUUAAGUUGCUGAAAACCUUUAUCUUAAAGAUGGUGAAACAAUAUUUGGCGAAAAACGUAGUAUAUUCGUUUGUUUCGUAUAGGGUUUGUGAUUGUAAAAGGGAGACGGGAAGAACUUCUCACGAGCAGAGCAGAUCGGAGAUGGUGGCGGUGAACGUUGAGCGGUAUGUUGAGCUCAAGCGCAUGAUCGACGACUUGGCGAUCGAGGCUGGUAACAAUAGGAGCAUCCGGGUGAAACAAUACGAUAGCUUCGACUUCGCGGACUAUGAUCACUGGGCCGAGACCAACAACAAGAGGGCGCUCAGGCCGGACUGCCAUUUCAUGGAGGACGAGGUGGCGUUGGAUCCUCCCCAUGCCGACCGGAUCACGCGGAUGGUGGCCGUGGCGCUCCAGCAAGAGGAGGAAGACAACAGGAGGCAACUGGCUAAGGAGGUGAACCACUUCACAAGGCAACUGGCGCUUCAGCAACAACAAGCCGGGCCACCGAGCAAGAGAGCUCGCCACUGAUCGUCGAAUCAUCCCCUGGAGUGAUGAUCGAAAACAAUCUUGUAUCACAAGCUCCAACAAACGUGUGAACAAAGCAAGCUCCUGCCAAGGAGCACAAACUUUUGUUGUUUGUACUUCAUAUACCUGGCAAUGAAGAGAUCUUUCCAGUUCUAUGAGCCGUAGUGGCGUUCCAUCUCGCGGAAUAUGGCCGUGAGUCAUUUGGGUCUUCCUUUAGCUAAUAAGCCCUAGCUAGAGCUACAUUAUGAGCGAAGGAAACGUUGCUGCGAUGUUAGCUGCCAGGGUAUGCCGUAUUAUUGGUGCAAAGAAAAUGUGUACAAGUGCUCCAGUGGUGCCUGAUCAAGAACAUCAAUACUCAAACUCUAUACUGAUGAAAGGAAAAAACGUUUGUUUUGUUUUUUUGAUAAAAUCAAUGCGCCUACUCCCUCUUCUCAACUUUGUGAUUGAGGAGAAUGGCUUUUCAAUGGUUCUUCUUUUCUUCUUUUCCUUGUUUCUCAUCGAAUGCUUGUGUUCAUGCUCCCGCUUCACCACUGCCCUUGCAAGUGAAAAACAACCAAAGUACUGAAGGAACUGUUGUGUGCAUCAUGUUUUCUUCGAAUCAAAGUACUAUUCUUACGCUCUCUCUGGUUCUACUUGCGAGAACAAACAUGAAUUUAGAGACGAGUCGUUUAAAAUGAGUUCUUUGGAAGUACUUUUAAUAACAGAUUAAGAAAAUGGAGACUUUGGAGUAACAGGAUUUUACCAUGCGAUUCAGCUGCAGGGUUUACUCGAGGUGAUGGCAAACUCCAGUGUUGCAAUCUCACACUUGCUGCCUUUGGCACUUCUGGCAGUUGUCCCGGCACACCUGGUCGCUUGGAGGUGCACAGGAAGUGCCCCUCCACACAUAUCCCCGCCAUAGCCAAGCUCUCCUUGUUGACCACUCCAGGGUGACGACCAAGUCCAUGAGGUGAGCUUGGCCAUUUUGGAGAAUAUAUAUUCUAUUUCCCACUAAGGCUGUGGGUGGUAAUGUUUUUCACAGGGUUAGUAGCCUCAUAAACUGUCGUUGAUUUCUUCGAACAUGGCAUGGUUUAGAUGCUCUAAGACGAAAUGGAAACAUCGCUUCUUUUCGUCCAAGAUGAGAAACGAAGAACAAACAACAUGGUACGUACCUGAGGAAAAUGUCUGAGAAAAGAAUGAUAAAGAACAAGAAGACGAGGUUGGCAGCCGAGCAUCCGAGGAGCUCGGGGUGACUGUAAAGAUGCACAGGAGCAAGCUCGAGUGCAUUGUGCAGGGCAGCUUCAAUGGAUCGCUCAAGGCUAAAGCAUCCUAAGAAGAGCUGAGGAAGAUACUCUGCCUGGCAUUUCCUCACUAUGAUGCCUUCUAGUGGAAAACUGAUAAGAACUGAUGUCUUGAGAUGUAUUUUAACUUAGAAAUGUAUUUUCCUUUUACACAACAACUAUUGGAGCAAUCGAUUUCACUGAAUGAAGAAAUCUUGGUUUUGGUGGUGGCAACUGUGAUGGCGGGUCCUUGUCCUCACUAGACUCUUUGGGACAACUUUUGGACGUGCUAGCCUCCACUGCAUUGAUCACAAACAAGCUCCCCAUUGCACUACUUGUCGAUGAAUCCUAGGUUGUAUACAAACUGAAAAGGGUUGAGACAAAAGGGAGGCAUAUAUAGCUUUUAGUGCGAAUAUUCUUUAUUUUAUUCUGGUCUAAGCUGUUUUGCAUUGAAAAAAAUUAUAAUAAUAAAAACAUAAAGAGAAAUAAAAAUAUAUUAUGAUUUAAUAUUUGAGCUUUUAUCCUCAUGUAAAUGCCACAUCCACUUGCAUGGUUUCCUAGCUUGCUAUAUCACUCCAAAGGUUCUAGGCAUUAUAAAAUGAUUAGAAAACCAAUGCUAAAGUAAAGAUAAAUCUUUUGAUUAGGCAUAUCUUGAAAGUAAAUGAAUUGUUUGGCCAUGAGGUAUAAAAUCCUAAACUUCCCUUCUAACAUUAUAGGUAUUAAUAUAAACUUACUUCAAGGAUUAUUAGUAUUAAAAUAUUAGUUAGGAUUUUAAUAAUUGACAAUGUGAGUGCUUGGAAUAUGGAAAGGGAAUACAAAAAAUAUGCAUAUCAAUUAGCCCAAAAACCCUAGCUUAUAUAAAUAAGCGAGUGGUCAAGAUUGAAACCAAUCUGACAGCUACCAAAAUCCCACUAUGCUAAUAUUAGUAUAUAGCACGUACCUGUACACUUAGCUCUGACAUCAUCCCCUCCUCUCGGAAUAAUGGAAGACUAUCAGGGUUCUCUUGUAGACGGGCCGAGAUCUGGAGGAACGACAGGAGGAGGCAUCGGCAGAUCUGUAGGUGAUAUUAAUUGCUCCUGAUCCCUUUGUAAGAAGUGUUUCAACCGCUGCACAUGCACAAUCUCUGGAGGAUUAACCUACUAGACGUCAUGCUAAACUUCAUAAACUUGUGGUCUAACUUGUCGCAAUACACAAUAUGGUCCUUUCCAUUGCGCAAGGAGCCCCUUAGAUAAACCACGUACUAUAAGAUGGGGAAAAUGGACUAAUACCAAAUCAUCCACUUUGUACUCCAUAGGUGGAUGAUGAUGGGAGUUGUAACACUGUUGUUGUCCCACUUGUAUGCGGUCUAAGUGUUCGGCAGACUCUACUUAGACAAGUGGAAGAAUGCUUAUCAAAUACUGAUCCCACGACUUAGCAUCGGCAGCUCGUGGCAAUCGUGAAGGUAAACACAGCUCCUUUGGUAAUAUUGGAUCAUAACCAUAGAGGAGUUUAUAUGGUGAAGCACCAACAGAGCUCUGCACCCUAUGAUAUAUGUAUACCAAAGAGACGGCAAAUAACCAUCCCAAUCCGAAUGCAGUGCGAUCAGAAAGAUGAUCCACAAAAUGACUGAAAUAUUGCACCUUGCCCAAGAAGCGCUACACAUCAUUCACACACUUCGGAGUAGAGAACUUUAGAAUAGCCACAAGUUUGUCAAGAUCAACUUGCAAACCCUCACGAGAAAUACGGUACCCAAGAUAAGUUGUGUCCUUGUACCCAAACACGCACUUCAACCGCUUCAACUUUAAACCAACGUUGCAUAGCCGAUCCAACACUUUAUAAACAUCACAAAUGUGCUUCUCCCACGUCCCCUCCGAGUGGAUCAAGACAUCAUCAAUGAAGUCAACAGUCACCUCUGGCAUAUCGCAAAGAACCUCGUCCAUCAUCCGUUGGAAAGUUGCUGGAGCAUUGUUCAAACUAAACAGCAUCACUAAGAACUCGUACAAACUAAAUGGUGUAUGAAAACUAGUCUUAGGAAUAUCUUUUUCGGCCAUCGGUACUUGCCAGUACCCAGAAGCAAAAUCUAACUUGGUGAACCAACGACUUCGCCUCAGACAAUCCAAAAGAUCAACAGUGUGGGAAAAGGGUACACAUCUAAAAUCGUCACUUUGUUUAAUGGACGAUAAUCGAUGCAAAAACGAAUACUCCCAUCAGGCUUUGUCACAAGAUAAAGUUCACAUGCCCAAAGACUCCGCAACUUUUGAAUAACACUCUUCUCCAACAUCUCCUUGACGCUUGCACGUAAAAUCUUGAUCUCCUUGGGUGACCAACGACAAAUAGGAACCUUGAUUGGACGAGCAUCCUCAGUUAGAAUCGGAUGAUGUGUGGCAAUCUUCGCCCCAAACGAUAGGUGAAAUUCAAAGAGAUCAGAAUACUCCUUCAUAAGCCAGUCAACCACUGCAACACAAAGACUGUCGGAGGGAUCGGAAAAGGGAAGAGCAGAACAAAACAUAAACAUAGGAGGAAAUAGUGGGGGAAAAAAAGUAAUGGAAGUAGAGGUAAAAGUAGAGGGACAAAGAGCUACGGAAGUGAGAGGAAUGGAUAAAACAUAAGGAAGUAUGAAACAAGGGGGAGAAGCCUCAAAGUCACACUUGGCAUGAUUGCGCUACAACCAAUUCAUACCAAGAAUGAGGUCAAAAGCUUGACUCGGCACCACCCGUAAUGACUGCAACUCAAGCUCGAGGUCACCCACACGCACAACCAGGUCCGCCUCAUCCCGUACACAUGCAUGUGUACGGCCGUUGCCAUAAAGAAUGAAAAUUAGUUCCACCGCACGAUGCAAGUGUAGAUGGCAACAUAUAGCAACAGGUCAAGCAAUAGAAGAUAAACUCGAACCUGUAUCAACUAACACGGAGAGAAUAAUAGGAGACCUUUUGUUAUAAAAAAGAGCUUGGAAAGUAAACACUGGAUGAACCAGUGUCGAGUGAACCCCUUGAUGAUACUCCCGAAAGAAAGAUGGAGGGGUCACUGACUUACUUGCGCAAGGUCCCUCCAUUACUCACGCGACUCCUCGUUUCCCGGAUGCAUCUCAGUGUCCAAACCUUCCACUACAGCAGCACUAACAGGACGUUGCUGACUCCAAGGUCUCCACCCAGAAAAUGGAGGUCGCCAAUCCGGAAAACGCCGACAGCGCUAAUAAGUAUGACCAACUUCAUCACACGCCCAGCAGCGAAUAUCACGGCCACGACCAUGUCCUCGCCCUUGUCUUUGGACUCGAGCAACAACAGCAUCAACCUCCAUUGGAACAGGACCGUCACCCAUAGGAAGGGGAGCUGAAGGAUGGGUAGCAAGAAGUGGAAGAGGCAAUGUCUCAUAACAUUAUGCCAAGCGAAGAGCAUCGUCAAAGGUAGCGGGAGCAAGUGCAUGCACAAGUCCGACAAGAUUUUGACGAAGUGCUGGCCAUAACAUUCCUAGCUUGAUCUGCUCCAACAUAUUUGGCUCCGCACGAAGCAAAAGACUUCAGAAACAAAUGCUAAAUUGCAUCACCGACUCAGAUGGCCCUUGGCGAAGAUGAUACAGUUGUUGGAAAGCAUAAUCACAGUCGUCGGCAUGUUCGAAGGCGCAUUUGAAGGCAUCCGGGAGAACACUCCAAUCCCCACGAGUGGCUAUGCUCAGACCAUUGUACUAUUGCAAUGCCAUUCCUUGGAGACACGUGGGAAACUCACGCAAACGUCAAGCAUCAUCCCAAGAAUGAUAUGUGGCAAUCACCAUGAAGUGAUCGAACUAAUGGUACAUAUCAUCCCCAGGAUUCCCACGAAAGAACUCUGGCCGAACACGAGGAUUAGCACCAAGAGCAAGAGGAGUUAUACCACAUGCCAUGAAUGCCGCCAUCAAUUGAGUUUGGUUGGUCAAUUGCAAGCGCAUAGCAUCAAGCAAUUGUACCAACUGCUACUCCAAAGUCAAAGGAGGAGAUUGCUAAUCUGUUAUGAAGACAGACAAAGAAAGAGCAAAAAAAGAGAAACGACAAAAAGCGAGAAGGAAAUGGGAGAUCUAGAUAAUGCAAAAAGCUAGAUCUAAACCAAAAUCCCAAAUUCAAGCAUUUCUUAAGGACAAUCAAAGGUGCCCAAUGUGAGUGCUUGAAAUAUGGAAAGGGAAUAUAGAAAAUGUGCAUAUCAAUUAGCCCAAAAACCCUGGCUUAUAUUCAAGAGCAAGUGGUCUAGAUUGAAACUAAUCUGACGGUUACCAAAAUCCCACUAUACUAAUAUUAGUAUAUAACAUCAUAGCCGUACACUUGGCCCUCACAAUAGCAAAAUAUAAGUUUAAACAAGAAAAAUUUAAAAGAAAUGUUACUUACAAUGCUUAUAGAAAUAUGGCAAUGAAUAUGUGAUUUCGCAUGGAAGCAUUAUAUAUUUACACAUGUGCAAUUUUUUUAAUUUUUUUUUUGAGUUACAUGCAAAAAUAUUAUGUAUACAAUCACUUUUCAAUUGGUAUAUAAGCAAUUAAAAUGCCAUUGUGUUGUCAUGAGAUAUGUUACAUAUGAAUGGGGCAUAACAACUUAUAUUACCAUAUAUACAUCAUGCCAUGUCAUUUUAGACAAUAUGACAUCAUUGCAAUUUAGCAAGGGUUUUUUAUCUCAUUCUUGUGAGUGCAAAUUUAUAAUGAGUUAAUUGUGAUCAUUUCUCUCCUCUCAUUUCUCUUAGUUAAAAUCCAUUUUUCAUGGUUAUUGCUCAUUUCUCACAACUAUAGCUUAUUUCUUGCAAUUGUGGCUCAUUUCUCAUAACUUAAAAGUGUUAUGCAUCUUAAUCUAUUUAUUGCACCUUUCAUUUUUUGUAAUCUGUUUGCAGUAUGACACUUUAACUUAGUGCCACAAUAAGUGUGACCAAUUAGAGUGUAGUGGCAAAUGCAAUUAAUUAAAGUGUAAUGGUGAGUGCAGUUGAUUGGAGUGCGAUGGCAAGCUUGAUCAAUUGUAGUGUGGUGGUAAGUGCAAUUAAUUGAAGCACAAUAAUGAGUUCAAUUAAUUGGAAUAUAGAAGCAAAACACUUCUUUAGUUUUUUCUCAAUUGUGUAACUUUCUCUAGGAUUUACUCACAUAAAAGUUCCUUCAUUUCUUCAUUUGUUGCAAAACCAUUAACUUACAAAGUAUUUUUCAUUACCUUUAUCAAAGAGAGUGUCUAAAGAGCCUGUAAUAUUUUAAAAUUUAACUUGCACAUUUGAAAAACGUCACCCAAAAACUUAACCCUAUUGACAUGUAAAAACAAAAUUUAAGAUGGGAUGCAAAAAAUUAUAUAUAUGGCAUUAUUUUAUGAGUCAUACACAUGUGUUACAAUAAUUUAAACACGCAUGUGUUUUAUUUUCAUAUAUUUUGCAAAUGUGAAAGAUAUUUUACUAAAUUAUCUAUCUUAGGUACAUCUCCCCUCUUGGGAGGUGUACCUCCCCCCAAAAUGCUUCAGAAUUUAAUAGUGUAAAGAUAAUAAAUGAAAAUAUAUUAAAACUUAAACAUGAUAAUUUAAAAAAAAUAACUAAAACUUUAGAAAUAAUAUAGUAAAUUGUUAUUAAAUCAUCUCUUCUAAUAAAAAGUAUGCUUUAAAUUUUUAUAAGAAAUUCUUUAUCAUGCUCAGAUAAUUAUUAUUAUUUAGAUUUUGAUCAUAAUUUUCAGUGGCAAAUAGAUCAUUUGGAUCAAAUUUUCAUCCACCCUAGAAGGGAGUGGCAUCGUAGAGAGGAAAUGCCAGGUUGAGGAUCUUCCUCAGCUCCUCCUUGGACACUUUAGCCUUGAGCAAUCCAGCGGAGCUCCCCUCCACAAUUGAUCUGGGCAAGCCCAGCACGCUCCUACACAUGCGCUGGAGCUUGCUCCCCUGCAUCUUGAAGCUCAUCUCAAGCUCCUCGGACUCAGCUGCCGACCUCGUCUUUUUGAGCACAAGCGCCACCACUGGCUCGUGGCGCUGCUGCUGCCGCUCUAGCAGGGAAAUCUUUUAUUGACUGCUAUUGACUGGGCAUUGACUGGGCCGUUAGCUCGCCUGCUCUGUGUGAUCCUCUUCUUCCUGUGCUCCUUUUUGAGCGGCAAUAAGGAGAGCCUGGCUAUGGCGGGGAUAUGUGUGGAGAGGCAAUUCCUGCGCACCUUCACAAGCGACUAGGCGUGAUGGGACUACUGUUAUAAGUGCCACUACAUCAAAGGCAACAGUGAGAUUUGCAGCACUGGAGUUUGCCAUCACCUCAAAUGCAAUUGUAUCACCCCUGCAGCUGAAUCGCGUAGUAAAAUCCUGUUACUCCAAAGUCUCAAUUGUUAAAAGUUUAUUAUAUAAGCACACUUACCAGAGAGAAGAAUAGUAAUUGGCACACAACAGUUACUUCAAUAGUUUGGUUGUUUUUCACUUGCAAGGGCAUUCAAUGAGAAACAAAGAAAAGAAGAACAUUGAAAAGCGAUUCUCCUCAAUCACAAAGUUGAGAAGAGGAAGUAGAAAUUCGUUUUUUCCUCUCUUAACCUGUCCUCCACGUCUUCCAUAAUUCCUAACUGAUGUUCCAUAUCAAAAGCUAUCAGCUCAGACUCAAGAAAUUCUUCUUUCUUGUGAAGUGCUCGAUCUCGUUAACUUCUCCCCGAUUUUGCGGAAUGCAAGGCAAAUUUCGUGGGAGCUUUAUCCAGCGAAUUGAAUCCCAGGAGCGAAAGCUGGUGGAAGACUUGCUGGACGACUUGGACUGGUGGGGAGAGAACCAGAUUGGACGCACGAUGCUCGACGGAUGGCGAGGAGAUUAAGUCCUGGAAGCAGAGAGUUGACGCCAUCAACGAGCUCAGUGAAAGCUGGGAAAAAUCCAGGGACAGAAGCGAGUGAAAUUCCGCUUCUAAUCGCUUCGAAACUCUGGUUGAAUCCACGAAUUUCUGGCUCCUCGCUCCUGAGCUCUUCAAAUCGGUCGAGAGCAUAAAACAGAUUUAAAAAUAUUUCAGUAAACCGGUUAAGUUGCUGAAAACCUUUAUCUUAAAGAUGGUGAAACAAUAUUUGGCGAAAAACGUAGUAUAUUCGUUUGUUUCGUAUAGGGUUUGUGAUUGUAAAAGGGAGACGGGAAGAACUUCUCACGAGCAGAGCAGAUCGGAGAUGGUGGCGGUGAACGUUGAGCGGUAUGUUGAGCUCAAGCGCAUGAUCGACGACUUGGCGAUCGAGGCUGGUAACAAUAGGAGCAUCCGGGUGAAACAAUACGAUAGCUUCGACUUCGCGGACUAUGAUCACUGGGCCGAGACCAACAACAAGAGGGCGCUCAGGCCGGACUGCCAUUACAUGGAGGACGAGGUGGCGUUGGAUCCUCCCCAUGCCGACCGGAUCACGCGGAUGGUGGCCGUGGCGCUCCAGCAAGAGGAGGAAGACAACAGGAGGCAACUGGCUAAGGAGGUGAACCACUUCACAAGGCAACUGGCGCUUCAGCAACAACAAGCCGGGCCACUGAGCAAGAGAGCUCGCCACUGAUCGUCAAAUCAUCCCCUGGAGUGAUGAUCGAAAACAAUCUUGUAUCACAAGCUCCAACAAACGUGCGAACAAAGCAAGCUCCUGCCAGGGAGCACAAACUUUUGUUGUUUGUACUUCAUAUACCUGGCAAUGAAGAGAUCUUUCCAGUUCUAUGAGCCGUAGUGGCGUUCCAUCUCACGGAAUAUGGCCGUGAGUCAUUUGGGUCUUCCUUUACCUAAUAAGCCCUAGCUAGAGCUACAUUAUGAGCGAAGGAAACGUUGCUGCGUUGUUAGCUGCCAGGAUAUGCCGUAUUAUUGGUGCAAAGAAAAUGUGUACAAGUGCUCCAGUGGUGCCUGAUCAAGAACAUCAAUACUCAAAGUCUAUACUGAUGAAUUCAACCUCUAAGGAAAAAACGUUUGUUUUGUUUUUUUGAAAAAAACAAUGACUCCCUCUUCUCAACUUUAUGAUUGAGGAUAAUGGCUUUUCAAUGGUUCUUCUUUUCUUCUUUUCCUUGUUUCUCAUCGAAGGCUUGUGUUCUUGCUCCCGCUUCACCACUGCCCUUGCAAGUGAAAAACAACCAAACUACUGAAGUAACUGCUCUGUGCAUCAUGUUUUCUUCGAAUCUAAGUACUAUUCUUAUGCUCUCUCUGGUUCCACUUGCAAGAACAAACAUGAAUUUAGAGACGAGUCAUUUAAAAUGAGAUCUUUGCUUAUAAACUUUUAAUAACAGAUUAAGGAAAUGGAGACUUUUGAGCAACAGGAUUUUACCAUGCGAUUCAGCUGCAGGGUUUACUCGAGGUGAUGGCAAACUCCAGUGUUGCAAAUCUCACACUUGCUGCCUUUGGCACUUCUGGCAGUAGUCCCGGCACACCUGGUCGCUUGGAGGUGCACAGGAAGUGCCCCUCCACACAUACCCCCGCCAUAGCCAGGCUCUCCUUGUUGACCACUCCAGGUAAACGAGCAAGUCCAUGAGGUGAGCUUGGCCAUUUUGGAGAAUAUAUAUUCCAUUUCCCACUAAGGCUGUGGGUGGUAAUGUUUUUCACAGGGUUAGUAGCCUCACAAACUGUUGUUGAUUUCUUCGAACAUGGCAUGGUUUAGAUGCUCUAAGACAAAAUGGAGACAUCGCUUUUUUUCGUCCAAGAGGAGAAACAAAGAACAAACAACAUGGUACGUACCUGAGGAAAAUGUCUGAGAAAAGAAUGAUAAAGAACAAGAAGACGAGGUCGGCAGCCGAGUCCGAGGAGCUCGGGGUGACCGUAAAGAUGCACGGGAGCAAGGUCGAGCGCAUCGUGCAGGGCAGCUUCGAUGGAUCGCUCAAGGCUAAAGCAUCCGAAGAAGAGCUGAGGAAGAUCCUCCGCCUGGCAUUUCCUCACUAUGAUGCCUUCUAGUGGAAAACUGAUAAGAACUGAUGUCUUGAGAUGUAUUUUAACUUAGAAAUGUAUUUUCCUUUUACACAACAACUAUUGGAGCAAUCGAUUUCACUGAAUGAAGAAAUCCGUGUUUUGGUGGUGGCAACUGUGAUGGCAGGUCCUUGUCCUCGCUAGAUUUGCUUUUUGACUCUUUGGGACAACUUUUGGACGUGCUAGCCUCCACUGCAUUGAUCACAACCAAGAUCCUAGGUUAUAUACAAACUGAAAAGGGUUGAGACAAAAGUGAGGCAUAUAUAGCUUUUAGUGUGAAUAUUCUUUAUUUUAUUCUGGUCUAAGCUGAUGUCUUAAGAAAAAAAAUUAUAAUAAUAAAAACAUAAAUAGAAAUAAAAAAUAUAUUAUGAUUUAAUAUUUGAGCUUUUAUCCUCAUUGAAAUGCCACAUCCACUUGCAUGGUUUCCUAGCUUGCUAUAUCACUCCAAAGGUUCUAGGCAUUAUAAAAUGAUUAGAAAAUCAAUGCUAAAGUAAAGAUAAAUCUUUUGAUUAGGUAUAUCUCGAAAGUAAAUGAAUUGUUUGGCCAUGAGGUAUAAAAUCCUAAACUUCCCUUCUAACAUUAUAGGUAUUAAUAUAAACUUACUUCAAGAAUUAUUAGUAUUAAAAAUAUUAGUUAGGUUUUUAAUAAUUGACAGCAAAAAGAAAUAUAAGUUUAAGCAAGAAAAAUAUAAAAGAAAUGUUACUUACAAUGCUUACAGAAAUAUGGCAACGAAUAUGUGAUUUCGCAUGGAAGCAUUAUAUAUUUACACAUGUGCGAAUUUAUUUUUUUGUUUUGAGUUACAUGCAAAAAUAUUAUGCAUACAAUCACUUUUCAAUUGGUAUAUAAGCAAUCAAAGUGCCAUUGUGUUGUCAUUGAGAUAUGUUAUAUAUGCAUGGGGCAUAACAAUUCAUAUUACUAUAUACACAUCAUGCCAUAUCAUUUUAGACAAUAUAAUAUCACUGCAAUUUAGCAAGGGUUUUUUUUCUCGUUCUUGUGAGUGCAAAUUUAUAAUGAGUUAAUUGUGAUCAUUUCUCUCCUCUCAUUUCUCUUAGUUAUAAUUCAUUUUUCAUGGUUAUCACUCAUUUCUCACAACUAUAGCUUAUUUUUUGCAAUUGUGGCUCAUUUCUCACAACUUAAAAGUGUUAUGCACCUUAAUUUAUUUAUUGCACCUCUCAUUUUUUGUAAUCUAUUUGCAGUAUAACACUUUAACUUAGUGCCAUAAUAAGUGUGAUCAAUUGGAGUGUAGUGUGCAAUCAAUUGGAGUGCAAUGGUGAGUGCAAUCUAUUAGAGUGCGUUGGCGAGCUUAAUCAAUUGGAGUGUGGUGGUAAGUGUAAUUAAUUGAAGCAUAAUGAUGAGCUCAAUCAAUUGGAAUAUAGAGGCAAAAUAAUUAUUUAGUUUUUUCACAAUUUUGUAACUUUCUUUAGCAUUCACUCACGUAAAAGUUCUUUCAUUUCUUCAUUUGUUGCAAAACUAUUAACUUAUAAAGUAUUUUUCAUUACCUUUAUCAAAGAGUGUUUAAAGAGCCCAUAAUAUUUUAAAAUCUAAUUUGCACAUUUGAAAAACAUCACCCAAAAACUUAACCCUAUUGACAUGUAAAAAUAAAAUCUAACAUGGGAUGCAAAAAAUUAUAUAUAUGGCAUUAUUUUAUGAGUCACACACAUGUGUUACAAUAAUUUAAACACACGUGUUUUAUUUUUAUAUAUUUUUAUUUUAUUUUUAUUUUUAUAUUUUUGCAAAUGUGAAAGAUAUUUUACUAGGUUAUCUAUCCUAAGUACAUCUCCCCUUUUGGGAGGUGUACCUCCCCCCAAAAUACUUCAAAAUUUAAUAGUGUAAAGAUAUUAAAUGAAAAUAUAUUAAAACUUAAAUAUGAUAAUUUUUAAAAAAUUAACUCAUCUCUUCUAAUAAAAAAUUAUGCUUUAAAUUUUUAUAAAAAUUUCUUUAACAUGCUCAGAUAAUAAUAAUUAUUUAAUUUUUAAUCAUAAUUUUCAAUGGCAAAUAGAUCAUUUUCAAGUUUUGGAUCAAAUUUUCAUCCACCCUAGAAGGGAGUGGCAUUGUAGAGAGGAAAUGCCAGGUUGAGGAUCUUCCUCAACUCCUCCUUGGAUAGCCUUGAGCAAUCCAGCGGAGCUCCCCUCCAUGAUUGAUCCAGGCAAGCCCAGCACGCUCCUACACAUGCGCUGGAGCUUGCUCCCCUGCAUCUUGAAGCUCAUCCCAAGCUCCUCGGACUCGGCUGCCGACCUCGUCUUUCUGAGCACCAGCGCCACCACUGGCUCGUGGCGCUGCUGCUGCCGCUCUAGCAGGGAAAUCUUUUAUUGACUGCUAUUGACUGGGCAUUGACUGGGCUGUUAGCUCGCCUGCUCUGUGUGAUCCUCUUCUUCCUGUGCUCCUUUUUGAGCGGCAAUAAGGAGAGCCUGGCUAUGGCGGGGAUAUGCGUGGAGGGGCAAUUCCUGUGCACCUUCACAAGCGACUAGGCGUGAUGGGAUUACUGUUAUAAGUGCCACUACAUCAAAGGCAACAGUGAGAUUUGCAGCACUGGAGUUUGCCAUCACCUCAAAUGCAAUUGUAUCGCCCCUGCAGCUGAAUCGCGUGGUAAAAUCCUGUUACUCAAUUGUUAAAAGUUUAUUAUAUAAGCACACUUACCAGAGAGAAGAAUAGUAAUUGGCACACAACAGUUACUUCAAUAGUUUGGUUGUUUUCACUUGCAAGGGCAUUCGAUGAGAAACAAAGAAAAGAAGAACAUUGAAAAGCGAUUCUCUUCAAUCACAAAGUUGAGAAGAGGAAGUAGAAAUUCGUUUUUUCCUCUCCUAACCUGUCCUCUACGUCUUCCAUAAUUCCUAACUGAUGUUCCACAUUUCAUAAUCUCUGUCCCAUAUCUUAGCAAUUGAGUAUGGAUGUUCUUGAUCAAGCCCCCCAAGGUCACUGGAGCACUUCUACACAUUUUCUUUGCACCAAUAAUACGGCAUAUCUUGGCAACUAACAACGCAGCAUCGUUUCCUUUGCUCGUAACAUAGCUCUAGCUAGGGCUAAAGGAAGACUCAAGAUGGAACGCCACUAAAGCUCAAACACUAGAACUGGAAAGAUCUCUUCAUUGCCAGGUAUAUGAAGUACAAACAACAAAGGUUUUUUGCUCCUAGUUUUAGUAAUGCUUGUGAUACAAGAUUGUUUUCGAUCAUCCCCCAAGGGGCUGAUUCGAUGAUCAGUGGCGAGCUCUCUUGCUCGGUGGCCCGGCUUGUUGUUGCUGAAGCGCCAGUUGCCUUGUGAAGUAGUUCACCUCCUUAGCCAGUCGCCUCCUGUUCGCUUCCUCCUCUUGCUGGAGCGCCAGGGCUACCAUCCGUGUGAUCCGGUCGGCAUGGGGAGGAUCCAACGCCACCUCGUCCUCCAUGUAAUGGCAGUCCGGCCUGAGCGCCCUGCUCCGCUCGUGAGAAGUUCUUCUGGACUCCUUUUUACAAUCACUAACCCUAUACAAAAACAAAUGGAUAUGCCACUUUUUUGCCAAAUAUUCUUUCAUUAUCUUUAAGACAAAAAAAAGGUUUUAACCGGCUUACUGAAAUAUUUUUAAAUUUGUUUUAUAUCUCCACAGAUUUGAAGAGCUAGGAGCGAGGAACUAGAAAUUCGUGGAUUCAACCAGAGUUUCGAAGACUUGUUUUGUCCCUGAAUUUUUUCCAUCUUUCACUGAGCUCAUUGAUGGCAUCAACUCUCUGCUUUCAGGAUUUAAUCUCCUCGUCAUCCAUCCAAGCAUCAAUCCCGUCCUCAGCUGAUCCAAGUCGUCCAGCAACAGUUUCUGCCACCAGCUGGGACGCUCUGCAUGUAUAGCCCCUGGUAAUUAAUCCGCUGGAGAAAGCUCCCACGAAAAUUCGCCUUGCAUGUGCGCGGCUGCGGGGUUAAAAGGAGACUGCAUAAACAUGCACACACUUGUCAACUACAAAAUCAUGCAAGGAGAGUAGGGGAGAAAAACAAGAACAGUACACACACACCGAAACAAGAAACGCCAGGGGAAAAAAAAGUGGCAGCCAUACCUCCAAUGAUGUCCUCUAGAUCCGUAAUUGUACAUGGCACCGUCUAUCUCGUGCAGGGCGCUUCAUCCAAACGCAAUUAAAGCACAUAUGUAGCAGUAUGGCAUGCACUCGCGCAAGCUUUUGCAUGCGGUCCAGAACUUCCCUCUCCUCUCUUUCAAAUGCUUCCCUGAAGCCCUUGCGUGAGUCGUCGUCCAUGGGAGGCAGGACAAUGGUCAUCUGGGGAAUAGGCAGAUCAAGCCUUUUCCACGAAUGCCUGCCAGUCUUCGUAACCUUUGGCUGACCGUCUUCAAUCACGUAGUCCCUCAAACCCAUGAAACUCCCCGCUUGCUUGAUGCUUAACUCCUGGAUUAUAAUUUAUCAUGUUCACAAGCUCCCCAUUCCCCAGCACAUCCCUGUAUCGCCUCUUGAACGCUUUCAACAGCUCCGAAGGCUUUUAGGCAUCCAUAUGGAAAGUCACAAACCGGGCCUCAUCCAUUGUCGUCUCAGCGGCAUCAGCACCAUUCCGGGAUGGACUUGCAACGAGGACUGUCCUUCCUCGUGUGGCUCUAUAUCCUUGAAAGCUAUUGUCCACAAGGAGCCAAGUCCCUGCUAAGUUUAACAGGUCUGUCGGAAUUUUAUACAAGCACCAGACCUCUCCACCCGGCGAGUUGAUGAUGAAGACCCUGGCAUCCACAAACAGUUGCACUAAAACGUAUGCUCCAGCUAGUUCCGCAUCGCUGAGGAGCUCGCGAACGAAGUACCAGAUGCAGCACGACUUUCCUAUCCCCGGAGAUGUGCGCGAAGAUGCUGUGGCCGUGUCUCAGCUGACGAUAGAUCUUCUCGUAAGACUUGCGAACGAGGAUGUCGGCAGGGUUGGCUGUGAGCUCGGCUAUGACGGCAGGGAGCCUCAGAAAUCCUUCCGCAUCCCAACCCCUGCACAGGUGCGAGCGGGUGUCCGGGGGGAAAAUCUUGUCCUUGUGCUUGUUUAUAAAGUCCCUUUUGCCAAAGUUACAGAUCAUGGAAGGACAGAGGGAACAUACACACAACGAAAACAAAAAGACUGUACCUUGAAUGAUAUGCUCUGACACCAUCGUCCACGGCUUCUUGUAAAAGAAGCUUAGGGCGCCAGCCGUAAGAACCUCUCCGACCCACACUUUGCCAUUCUUUAGACAGAACUUGAGCUUGUCAUCCCUCCAUGCGAAAGUACACGAUGCCACUCCUUCCUCAUCCUCUUUCUCAUCGUCCUCGUUCGCUUGCCACAGCCUCACUGAACCAUAGUUUUUGUGAGAGCUACCUAUAGAAAAUGAGACGAAACAAAAUCCAUGGCUGCUGCUCUCUUGAAAAGAAAACAAUGAGAUUUGUAAAAAGAUUGCUUUCAGCAAUAUUCUCUCCUUUCACUGCACAGCCCAGCAGCAGCACUAAUAGAGAAGCAAGCAUCUCUCCAUCCCAAAAUGAAACAGAUAAAUGCUUUUUGUGGGUUCCAGCUGAAGAAGAAUCCAUCGAUUUUGUUACGAUCAUGUGAGAGAGCACUUACCUUGCAAGUCCUGCUUGCGGAGUAAAAUUCCUAGAGCGUAGAAACAACUUUUACGACUUUGUAAAGUUUAAAAAUUUGAACUAAGAACGGAGAGAGAAAAGCUUACUUACGACCAGAAAAGUCUCGAGAGUGAAAAUAAAGACGAAAAGGGAUGCCACUCACAAGUUUGAAAUUCCUGAGAUACAUCUUCACUCCAGGAGCUAGGACAAAGUGCAAUAAAUAAUGACUCCAGAAGCUUAUGGAUAAAUAAACCACCAUAAACCAUUUCCUUUCGAAAAAUAAAGGUGAAAAAAAAGUAUCCCAAAUCCAAAAGCUAUCCAGCUCCGACCGAAGAAAUUCUUCCUUCUUGCGGAGUGCUCGAUCUCGUCAACUUCUCCCCGAUUUUGCGGAAUGCAAGGCAAAUUUUUGUGGGAGCUUUAUCCAGCAGAUUGAUUACCAGGUCCCAGGAGCGAAAGCUGGUGGAAGAAACUCAUGCUGGUCGACUUGGAGUGGUGGGGAGAGAACGAGAUUGGACGCAUGAUGCUCCGACGGAUGGCACGUAGAAGCAGAGAGUUGACGCCAUCAACGAGCUCAGUGAAAGCUGCGAAAAAUCCAGGGACAGAAGCGAGUGAAAUUCCGCUUCUAAUCGCUUAGAAACUCUGGUUGAAUGCACGAAUUUCUGGCUCCUCGCUCCUGAGCUCUUCAAAUCGGUCGAGAGCAUAAAACAGAUUUAAAAAUAUUUCAGUAAACCGGUUAAGUUGCUGAAAAUCUUUAUCUUAAAGAUGGUUUGGCGAAAAACGUAGUAUAUUCGUUUGUUUCGUAUAAGGUUUGUGAUUGUAAAAGGGAGACGAGAAGAACUUCUCACGAGCAGAGCAGAUCGGAGAUGGUGGCGGUGGACGUUGAGCGGUAUGUUGAGCUCAAGCGCAUGAUCGACGACUUGGCGAUCGAGGCUGGUAACAAUAGGAGCAUCUGGGUGAAACAAUACGAUAGCUUCGACUUUGCGGACUAUGAUCACUGGGCCGAGACCAACAACAAGAGGGCGCUCAGGCCGGACUGCCAUUACAUGGACGACGAAGUGGCGUUGGAUCCUCCCCAUGCCGACCGGAUCACGCGGAUGGUGGCCGUGGCACUCCAGCAAGAGGAGGAAGACAACAGGAGGCAACUGCCUAAGGAGGUGAACCACUUCACAAGGCAACUGGCGCUUCAGCAACAACAAGCCGGGCCACCGAGCAAGAGAGCUCGCCACUGAUCGUCGAAUCAUCCCCUGGAGGGAUGAUCGAAAACGAUCUUGUAUCACAAGCUCUAACAAACUUGUGAACAAAGCAAGCUCCUGCCAAGGAUCAAAAACUUUUGUUGUUUGUACUUCAUAUACCUGGCAAUGAAGAGAUCUUUCCAGUUCUAUGAGCUUUAGUGGCGUUCCAUCUCGCGGAAUAUGGCUGUGAGUCAUUUGGGUCUUCCUUUAGCUAAGAAGCCCUAGCUAGAGCUACAUUACGAGCGAAGGAAACGUAUUGGUGCAAAGAAAAUGUGUACAAGUGCUCCAGUGGUGCCUGAUCAAGAACAUCAAUGCUCAAAGUCUAUACUGAUGAAUUCAACCUUUAAGGAAAAAACAUUUGUUUUGUUUUUUGGAAAAAAAACAAUGCGCCUACUCCCUCUUCUCAACUUUGUGAUUGAGGAUAAUGGCUUUUCAAUGGUUCUUCUUUUCUUCUUUUCCUUGUUUCUCAUCGAAUGCUUGUGUUCUUGCUCCCGCUUCACCACUGCCCUUGCAAGUGAAAAACAACCAAACUACUGAAGUAACUGCUCUGUGCAUCAUGUUUUCUUCGAAUCUAAGUACUAUUCUUACGCUCUCUCUGGUUCCACUUUCGAGAACAAACAUGAAUUUAGAGACGAGUCAUUUAAAAUGAGAUCUUUGCUUAUAAACUUUUAAUAACAGAUUAAGGAAAUGGAGACUUUUGAGCAACAGGAUUUUACCAUGCGAUUCAGCUGCAGGGUUUACUCGAGGUGAUGGCAAACUCCAGUGUUGCAAAUCUCACACUUGCUGCCUUUGGCACUUCUGGCAGUAGUCCCGGCACACCUGGUCGCUUGGAGGUGCACAGGAAGUGCCCCUCCACACAUACCCCCGCCAUAGCCAGGCUCUCCUUGUUGACCACUCCAGGUAAACGAGCAAGUCCAUGAGGUGAGCUUGGCCAUUUUGGAGAAUAUAUAUUCCAUUUCCCACUAAGGCUGUGGGUGGUAAUGUUUUUCACAGGGUUAGUAGCCUCACAAACUGUUGUUGAUUUCUUCGAACAUGGCAUGGUUUAGAUGCUCUAAGACAAAAUGGAGACAUCGCUUUUUUUCGUCCAAGAGGAGAAACAAAGAACAAACAACAUGGUACGUACCUGAGGAAAAUGUCUGAGAAAAGAAUGAUAAAGAACAAGAAGACGAGGUCGGCAGCCGAGUCCGAGGAGCUCGGGGUGACCGUAAAGAUGCACGGGAGCAAGCUCGAGCACAUGACUAGGAGCCUGCUGGGCUCGCCCGGAGCGAUCGUGCAGGGCAGCUUCGAUGGAUCGCUCAAGGCUAAAGCAUCUGAAGAAGAGCUAAGGAAGAUCCUCCGCCUAGCAUUUCACUAUAAUGCCUUCUAGUGGAAAACUGAUAAGAACUGAUGUCUUGAGAUGUAUUGUAUUUUCCUUUUACACAACAACUAUUGGAGCAAUCAAUUUCACUGAACGAAGAAAUGUUGGUUUUGGAGGUGGCAACUGUGAUGGCGGGUCCUUGUCCUCGUUAGAUUUGCUUUUUGACUCUUUGGGACAACUUUUGGACGUGCUAGCCUCCACUGCAUUGAUCACAAACAAGCAUUGCACUACUUGUCGAUGGAUCAGGUUAUAUACAAACUGUUGAGACAAAAGGGAGGCAUAUAUAGCUCUUAGUACGAAUAUUCUUUAUUUUAUUCUGGUCUAAGCUGUUUUGCGUUACUUAUAAUUUACGGUCAUACCUUGUAUGUCUUAAGAAAAUAAUAAUAAUAAUAAAAACAUAAAGAGAAAUGAAAAAUAUAUUAUGAUUUAAUAUUUGAGCUUUUAUCCUCAUUGAAAUGCCACAUCCACUCCUAGCUUGCUAUAUCACUCCAAAGGUUCUAGGCAUUAUAAAAUGAUAAAAAAAUCAAUGCUAAAGUAAGGAUAAAUCUUUUGAUUAGGUAUAUCUUGAAAGUAAAUGAAUUGUUUGGCCAUGAGGUAUAAAAUCCUAAACUUCCCUUCUAACAUUAUAGGUAUUAAUAUAAACUUACUUCAAGGAUUAUUAGUAUUAAAAAUAUUAGUUAGGUUUUUAAUAAUUGACAGCAAAAAGAAAUAUAAGUUUAAACAAGAAAAAUAUAAAAGAAAUGUUACUUACAAUGCUUACAGAAAUAUGGCAAUGAAUAUGUGAUUUUGCAUGGGAGCAUUAUAUAUUUACACAUGUGCAAAUUUAUUUUUUUGUUUUGAGUUGCAUGCAAAAAUAUUAUGCAUCCAAUCACUUUUCAAUUGCUAUAUAAGCAAUUAAAAUGCCAUUGUGUUGUCAUGAGAUAUAUUAUAUAUGCAUGGGGCAUAACAACUCAUAUUACCAUAUACACAUUAUGCCAUGUGAUUUUAGACAAUAUGAUAUCACUGCAAUUUAAUAAGGGUUUUUUUUUCUCAUUUUUGUAAGUGCAAAUUUAUGAUGAGAUAAUUGUUAUCAUUUCUCUCUUCUCAUUUCUCUUAGUUAUAAUUCAUUUUUCAUGGUUAUGGCUCAUUUUUCACAACUAUAGCUUAUUUCUUGCAGUUGUGGCUUAUUUCUCAGAACUUGGAGGUGUUAUGCACCUUAAUUUAUUUAUUGCACCUUUCAUUUUUUGUAAUCUGUUUGCAAUAUGACACUUUAACUUAGUGCCAUAAUAAGUGUGAUUGAUUGGAGUGUAGUGGCAAGUACAAUCACUUAGAGUGCAAUAAUGAGUGCAAUCGAUUUGAGUGCAGUGGCAAGCUUGAUCAAUUGGAGUGUAGUGGUAAAUGCAAUUAAUUGAAGCAUAAUGAUGAGCUCAAUCAAUUGGAAUAUAGAGGCAAAACAAUUUUUUUGUUUUUUCUCUAUUUUGUAAUUUUCUUUAACAUUCACUCAUGUAAAAAUUUCUUCAUUUCUUCAUUUGUUGCAAAACCAUUAACUUACAAAGUAUUUUUCAUUACCUUUAUUAAAGAAAGUGAUUAAAGAGCCUAUAAUAUUUUAAAAUUUAGCUUGCACAUUUGAAAAACAUCACAUAAAAACGUAACCCUAUUGACAUGUAAAAACAAAAUCUAAUAUGAGAUGAAAAAAUUGUAUAUAUAGCAUUAUUUUAUGAGUCACACAUAUAUGUUACAAUAAUUUAAACACAUAUGUGUUUUAUUUUCAUAUAUUUUGCAAAUGUGAAAGAUUUUUUACCGGGUUAUCUACCUUAGGUACAUCUUCCUUCUUGGGAGGUAUACCUCCCCCCAAAAUACUUCAGAAUUUAAUAGUGUAAAUACAUUAAAUGAAAAUAUAUUAAAACUUAAACAUGAUAAUUUAAAAAAAAUAACUAAAACUUUAGAAAUAAUAUAGUAAAUUGUUAUUAAAUCAUUCAUUUCAUCUUCUCUUCUAAUAAAAAAGUAUGCUUUAAAUAACAAUUAAAGCUCAGAUAAUAAUUAUUAUUUAACUUUUAUUCAAAUUCUUGAAGUGGCACAUAAAUCAUUCUCAAGUUUUGGAUCAAAUUUCAUCCAUUCUAGAAGGGAGUGGCAUCGUAGAGAGGAAAUGCCAGGUUGAGGAUCUUCCUCAGCUCUUCCUUGGACACUUUAGCCUUGAGCGAUCCAGUGGAGCUCCCCUCCACGAUUGAUCCAGGCGAGCCCAGCACACUCCUACACAUGCGCUGGAGCUUGCUCCCCUGCAUCUUGAAGCUCAUCCCAAGCUCCUCGGACUCGGCUGCCGACCUCGUCUUUUUGAGCACCAGCGCCACCACUGGCUCGUGGCGCUGCUGCCGCCGCUCCUCCGCCGCCUCUUCUCCGCCUCCCAUCCCUUCUGCCACUCCCUCCUCCUCCUCGCCCGCCACCUCCUGGUUGCACGAGUGUGAGUUCUCCACCCAUUCUCUCCUCAGGAGCCCCCUCGUCCUCUUGGGAUUGCGCUCGAAGACGUCGUAGUCAUGGACGUCUCCUCCGGUGGCUACUCCGCCGAGUUCUUCGAUCUCGAUCUCCAGCCCGUCUGGUUCUUUCUUUGGCGGGAGCAACACUAUGUUGGCGGCGUUGGCGCGAUCACUGGCGCUUGAAUAUCUCGACGCGGAACGUGAUCAUCUCGGAGGAGGAGUUCUCCUUUUGGAAGACGAGGACGUCUCCCUUGACGAGUUCGUGAUGGACGCAGAAGGCUUUCCACCCGGCACCGAUCACUGGCUGCAUCGUCCAGUUCCAUCUCAUCCUCCAUUGGUGACCACUCCGGUCGCGGACGAUCACCUCGGCUCUCCCGUGCGGCAUCAUCUUCUUGCAGUAGUUCGAAGGAAGAGUCUGCAGAAAAAAAAUAAAGAAGAAAAGAAAAACGAUUAGCAAGUUCUUUGUGAAGAUAUCGAAGGGAAAAAAGACAAGGAUAGCGAAACAUAAACCUCGAGCUUGUUCUUCGCUUACCAUAACGUAUGUGCCGCUCACACAGCACUGGUUCAAGACUUUAAUGGUGCUGCGACUCUUCUUUGCAAGAUGUUGCUGGUACUCCUGCGCGGCUUGCAGCGCUUCGUGCGAACCUGGCAGCUCCUCGCGAUUCCGCCGCUGCCGCUGCUGAUUGGAGGGGAUGUAACUCGACAGAGGACUGUCUUCCUCGUAAGAACCUGCGAAGAUACGCUCGGACAAAUAUAAGAAACGAAGUGAUGAGAGAAAAAAAGCGAGAAGGAAAGCUCUGACCAGAUGGAUAAGCUUCGCCGCCGCUCGACUCCAUAGCUGCGCUCUCGCUCUUCUUCUUGCUUGCUGAAGGAAAAACCUCGCUGAGAGAGCGUCCGGUCUACUAGUACGUCCCAAUGAUGAAUGAUCGUGCGCCGUCGGAUUGGCUCCAUCCGACGGCCACCAUUCACGUACGAGGAAAGAAAAUGCUCGUAUCUUUCCAGUAGCCGUCGCUUUCCAUUUCGUGAUCUUUGCUCCAUUCUAGAGGCAACCUUGGAGACUUGCUUGGAUGGCUUUGCAUUAAUAAAAAAUCCACAGUACCAAUCAAAACUUCAGCUCUAAAGAGGCGAGAUUAUCACCUUCCAGGUAUCGAGUGUGUUCUUCGUUUCUAUAGAUGAUAUUACGCGGAUCCAAUAACUCGGAGCCAUUCGUCACUCAAAACACCUUCCACAGUGUUAUACGAUUUGCCUAACAGUCCCUUUAUGAGAGCUUGAAGGGCCUGACUGGUUAGAAGACGAGGAUAAUGCUUAUGCAUCAACGACCCAGCAUUUUCCAUCCCUACUGUGCACACGCCUUCUAGAUCAACUUUCUUCGCUCGUAGUCAUACAAGCAUUAGCUGGUCGAAUGUCGCGAUGCACCAAGCCUGCACAGCCACAUGAAACUACAAGCUCCCAAAGAUAGACGAGCCUCAACAGCACCAUGUAAGGCCUUUAAAGCCUUGCGAAUGCCAAGCACCAUCUGUCGCAGCUCGUCUUCCGAAACAGGCUCUCGCACGGCAAGAAGAGGAACAGUCAUAACCAUGCAUGCUCGAGGAGCCUGAUCGUUCUUCGUUUCUUGGAGGAGGAAUCACGGUCAGCAGUCGAUGACACCGGAUUCAACAGUUGCUCACAUUCACUCCUGGUCCUGAAUUUGGGCCCUUCGACACUGCCAACGAGGUGUUUCCCACAUUUGGGAGCCAGCGUGUAGGCCUGGAAGACAUCUUCGCAGUUGACGCCCCACUCGUUGCAGUAAUCGUUCCAGUUCCAUAUCACCUUGAGCACACCGUCAUGGGUCAGCAUCAGAGAGCUCAUAUCUCGAUCAAUCAGUGCAUUCAGCUUGUACCUGAUAGCAAUACAACUGUCGGCCAAACUUCACACUUCCCCGGCUCCGAUGGCAGCAAGCAUUCCAUGGAGCUUGAUACAAGUUGAGGACUGGAGUCAGCUGAGUCAGAAUGGCUGCUCCUGCUUAAUAAAAAGAGAGCAAAGUGAUGGUCGACAAAACGAAACCGAUCUUAUGAGCUACUUGAGGAUUGAUUUGUACAGUGAAAAACUGGAGAUGAGGUCCCGGCACGGCAUAGCAAGAAACUGCCACUGGUAGAGUUGAGACUUUGUCCGUCAACAAGGAUUUCACUACCUCAAACUCAGCGUCCUCCCUCACUUCCCCGUACAUGACAAUCUCAUGCCACUCCAGUUGUCAAUGCAGAUCAAAGUCAAAAUGAGCUUGAGCUUCUUGUUCUCCCCUUACUUCUUGAAGUGUGCGAUUGGGCUGGUGUUCAUUGCAUCUAAAACGUGCCAGGUGCUGUGAUUUCCGGGCUUCUGAUCCGGGGAGAAGAGAUCACAUCGCUCCAGGAGGUCCAGAUUGCCUGCUCCACUGCUUCGGUAGUAUUCCCCUAUCUCGCUGGGCAAUUCAAGCCAGGGAACUUUGCCCGUGAGGUAUGUGGCCACUUCACAACCGGCAAAGAGCUCCGGCGCCUCACUCACGGUAGCGUUGGCGAUGCCAAUGUGGAGGAAUUCGGUCGCCGAUAGAGGAGAACGAAUCUUCCCCGUCAUCCCCGUCACAAGCCGCUCUAGCAGGGAAACCUUUUAUUGACUGCUAUUGACUGGGCAUUGACUGGGCCGUUAGCUCGCCUGCUCUGUGUGAUCCUCUUCUUCCGAUCAAUAAAGUGGAGGCUAGCACGUCCAAAAGUUGUCCCAAAGAGUCUAGCGAGGACAAGGACCCGCCAUCACAGUUGCCACCACCAAAACCAAGAUUUCUUCGUUCAGUGAAAUCGAUUGCUCCAAUAGUUGUUGUGUAAAAGGAAAAUACAUUUCUAAGUUAAAAUACAUCUCAAGACAUCAGUUCUUAUCAGUUUUCCACUAGAAGGCAUCAUAGUGAGGAAAUGCCAGGCGGAGGAUCGUCCUCAGCUCUUCUUCGGAUGCUUUAGCCUUGAGCGAUCCAUCGAAGCUGCCCUGCACGAUGCGCUCGACCUUGCUCCUGUGCAUCUUUACGAGCUCCUCAGACGCUGGGCUGCCAACCUCGUCUUCUUGUUCUUUAUCAUUCUUUUCUCAGACAUUUUCCUCAGGUACGUACCAUGUUGUUUGUUCUUCGUUUCUCAUCUUGGACGAAAAGAAGCGAUGUUUCCAUUUCGUCUUAGAGCAUCUAAACCAUGCCAUGUUCAAAGAAAUGAACGACAGUUUAUGAGGCUACUUACCACCCACAGCCUUAGUGGGAAAUGGAAUUUAUAUUGCCAAGCUCACCUCAUGGACUUGGUCGUCGCCCUGGAGUGGUCAACAAGGAGAGCCUGGCUAUGGCGGGGAUAUGUGUGGAGGGGCACUUCCUGUGCACCUCCAAGCGACCAGGUGUGCCGGGACUACUGCCAGAAGUGCCAAAGGCAGCAAGUGUGAGAUUUGCAACACUGGAGUUUGCCAUCACCUCGAGUAAACCCUGCAGCUGAAUCGCAUGGUAAAAUCCUGUUACUCCAAAGUCUCCAUUUUCUUAAUCUGUUAUUAAAAGUACUUCCAAAGAACUCAUUUUAAACGACUCGUCUCUAAAUUCAUGUUUGUUCUCGCAAGUAGAACCAGAGAGAGCGUAAGAAUAGUACUUUGAUUCGAAGAAAACAUGAUGCACACAACAGUUCCUUCAGUAGUUUGGUUGUUUUUCACUUGCAAGGGCAGUGGUGAAGCGGGAGCAAGAACACAAGCAUUCGAUGAGAAACAAGGAAAAGAAGAAAAGAAGAACCAUUGAAAAGCCAUUAUCCUCAAUCACAAAGUUGAGAAGAGGGAGUAGGCGCAUUGUUUUUAUCAAAAAAACAAAACAAACGUUUUUUCCUUUCAUCAGUAUAGACUUUGAGCAUUGAUGUUCUUGAUCAGGCACCGCUGGAGCACUUGUACACAUUUUCUUUGCACCAAUAAUACGGCAUACCCUGGCAGCUAACAACGCAGCAACGUUUCCUUCGUUCAUCAUGUAGCUCUAGCUAGGGCUUAUUAGCUAAAGGAAGACCCAAAUGACUCACGGCCAUAUUCCGCGAGAUGGAACGCCACUACGGCUCAUAGAACUGGAAAGAUCUCUUCAUUGCCAGGUAUAUGAAGUACAAACAACAAAAGUUUGUGCUCCUUGGCAGGAGCUUGCUUUGUUCACACGUUUGUUGGAGCUUGUGAUACAAGAAGUUUCGAUCAUCACGUACCAUGUUGUUUGUUCUUCGUUUCUCCUCUUGGACGAAAAGAAGCGAUGUUUCCAUUUCGUCUUAGAGCAUCUAAACCAUGCCAUGUUCAAAGAAAUGAACGACAGUUUGUGAGGCUACUAACCCUGUGAAAAACAUUACCACCCACAGCCUUAGUGGGAAAUGGAAUAUAUAUUCUCCAAAAUGCCCAAGCUCACCUCAUGGACUUGGUCGUCACCCUGGAGUGGUCAACAAGGAGAGCCUGGCUAUGGCGGGGAUAUGUGUGGAGGGGCACUUCCUGUGCACCUCCAAGCGACCAGGUGUGCCGGGACUACUGCCAGAAGUGCCAAAGGCAGCAAGUGUGAGAUUUGCAACACUGGAGUUUGCCAUCACCUCGAGUAAACCCUGCAGCUGAAUCGCAUGGUAAAAUCCUGUUACUCCAAAGUCUCCAUUUUCUUAACCUGUUAUUAAAAGUACUUCCAAAGAACUCGUUUUAAACGACUCGUCUCUAAAUUCAUGUUUAAUCUCGCAAGUAGAACCAGAGAGAGUGUAAGAAUAGUAUUUUGAUUCGAAGAAAACAUGAUGCACACAACAGUUCCUUCAGUAGUUUGGUUGUUCUUCACUUGCAAGGGCAGUGGUGAAGCGGGAGCAAGAACACAAGCAUUCAAUGAGAAACAAGGAAAAGAAGAAAAGAAGAACCAUUGAAAAGCCAUUAUCCUCAAUCACAAAGUUGAGAAGAGGGUUGUUUUUUUCAAAAAAACAAAACAAACGUUUUUUCCUUUCAUCAGUAUAGACUUUGAGUAUUGAUGUUCUUGAUCAGGCACCACUGGAGCACUUGUACACAUUUUCUUUGCACCAAUAAUACGGCAUACCCUGGCAGCUAACAACGCAGCAACGUUUCCUUCGCUCAUAAUGUAACUCUAGCUAGGGCUUAUUAGCUAAAGGAAGACCCAAAUGACUCACGGCCAUAUUCCGCGAGACACGGCUCAUAGAACUGGAAGGAUCUCUUCAUUGCCAGAUAUAUGAAGUACAAACAACAAAAGUUUGUGCUCCUUGGCAGGAGCUUGCUUUGUUCACACGUUUGUUGGAGCUUGUGAUACAAGAUUGUUUUCGAUCAUCACUCCAGGGGAUGAUUCGACGAUCAGUGGCGAGCUCUCUUGCUCGGUGGCCCGGCUUGUUCUUGCUGAAGCGCCAGUUGCCUUGUGAAGUGGUUCACCUCCUUAGCCAGUUGCCUCCUGUUGUCUUCCUCCUCUUGCUGGAGCGCCACGGCCACCAUCCGCGUGAUCCGGUCGGCAUGGGGAGGAUCCAACGCCACCUCGUCCUCCAUGUAAUGGCAGUCCGGCCUGAGCGCCCUCUUGUUGUUGGUCUCGGCCCAGUGAUCAUAGUCCGCGAAGUCGAAGCUAUCGUAUUGUUUCACCCGGAUGCUCCUAUUGUUACCAGCCUCGAUCGCCAAGUCGUCGAUCAUGCGCUUGAGCUCAACAUACCGCUCAACGUCCACCGCCACCAUGCUCUGCUCGUGAGAAGUUCUUCUCGUCUCCCUUUUACAAUCACAAACCCUAUACGAAACAAACGAAUAUACUACGUUUUUCGCCAAAUAUUGUUUCACCAUCUUUAAGAUAAAGGUUUUCAGCAACUUAACCAGUUUACUGAAAUAUUUUAAAAUCUGUUUUAUGCUCUCGACCGAUUUGAAGAGCUUAGGAGCGAGGAGCCAGAAAUUCGUGGAUUCAACCAGAGUUUCGAAGCGAUUAGAAGCGGAAUUUCACUCGCUUCUGUCCCUGGAUUUUUCCCAGCUUUCACUGAGCUCGUUGAUGGCGUCAACUCUCUGCUUCCAGGACUUAAUCUCCUCGCCAUCCGUCGAGCAUCAUGCGUCCAAUCUGGUUCUCUCCCCACCAGUCCAAGUCGUCCAGCAAGGGUUUCUUCCACCAGCUUUCGCUCAUGGGACCUGGUAAUCAAUUCGCUGGAUAAAGCUCCCACGAAAAUUUGCCUUGCAUUCCGCAAAAUCGGGGAGAAGUUGACGAGAUCGAGCACUUCACAAGAAGGAAGAAUUUCUUGGGUCUGAGCUGGAUAGCUUUUGGAUUUGGGAAGGGAUACUUUUUUUUUUCACCUUUAUAUUUCGAAAGGAAAUGGUUUAUGGUGGUUUAUUUAUCCAUAAGCUUCUGGAGUCAUUGUUUAUUCUAUCUGUGGAAAGCUCUUUGUUAGCCUCAUCGAUGCUAUUGUUCUUGUAGAAGGCAUCCCUCCUCAAGCUUCACAAUCAGUAACACCUGCCCGACUUGCAAAGAAGUGUAACGUGUUUGGAGCACAAUUUUCUAUCCUUUCUCAGGCACUUGAAAGUGCCAUCCUUGCUUGUUCGGGAAAAAGAAAGAGAGAGAAGCAUCAUCUACAUAACGCAUUAGGUUGAGCUUUGAUGGUCUUGCGAAAUUGAGAACCGCCUGGUGCCGCAAACAUUCGUUUCCUCCCAAAUGUACUCCAAAGUCUCAAUUGUUAAAAGUUUAUUAUAUAAGCACACUUACCAGAGAGAAGAAUAGUAAUUGGCACACAACAGUUACUUCAAUAGUUUGGUUGUUUUUCACUUGCAAGGGCAUUCGAUGAGAAACAAAGAAAAGAAGAACAUUGAAAAGCGAUUCUCCUCAAUCACAAAGUUGAGAAGAGGAAGUAGAAAUUCGUUUUUUCCUCUCUUAACCUGUCCUCCACGUCUUCCAUAAUUCCUAACUGAUGUUCCACAUUUCAUAAUCUCUGUCCCAUAUCUUAGUAAUUGAGUAUUGAUGUUCUUGAUCAAGCCCCCCAAGGUCACUGGAGCACUUCUACACAUUUUCUUUGCACCAAUAAUACGGCAUAUCUUGGCAACUAACAACGCAGCAUCGUUUCCUUCGCUCGUAACAUAGCUCUAGCUAGGGCUAAAGGAAGACUCACGGCCAUACUGAGAUGGAACGCCACUAAAGCUCAAACACUAGAACUGGAAAGAUCUCUUCAUUGCCAGUAUAUGAAGUACAAACAACAAAGGUUUUCUGCUCCUAGUUUUAGUAAUGCUUGUGAUACAAGAUUGUUUUCGAUCAUCCCCCAAGGGGCUGAUUCGACGAUCAGUGGCGAGCUCUCUUGCUCGGUGGCCCAGCUUGUUGUUGCUGAAGCGCCAGUUGCCUUGUGAAGUAGUUCACCUCCUUAGCCAGUCGCCUCCUGUUCGCUUCCUCCUCUUGCUGGGCUACCAUCCGUGUGAUUCGGUCGGCAUGGGGAGGAUCCAACGUCACCUGUCGUCCAUGUAAUGGCUGUCCGGCCUGAGCGCCCUCUUGUUGUUGGUCUCGGCCCAGUGAUCAUAGUCCGCGAAGUCGAAGCUAUCGUAUUGUUUCACCCGGAUGCUCCUAUUGUUACCAGCCUCGAUCGCCAAGUCGUCAAUCAUGCGCUUGAGCUCAACAUACCGCUCAACGUCCACCGCCACCAUCUUCGAUCUGCUCCGCUCGUGAGAAGUUCUUCUGGACUCCUUUUUACAAUCACUAACCCCAUACAAAACAAAUGGAUAUGCCACUUUUUUGCCAAAUAUUCUUUCAUUAUCUUUAAGACAAAAAAAAGGUUUUAACCGGCUUACUGAAAUAUUUUUAAAUUUGUUUUAUGGAGCAGCGAUCUCCACAGAUUUGAAGAGCUAGGAGUGAGGAACUAGAAAUUCGUGGAUUCAACCAAAGUUUCGAAGACUUGUUUUGUCCCUGAAUUUUUUCCAUCUUUCACUGAGCUCAUUGAUGGCAUCAACUCUCUGCUUUCAGGAUUUAAUCUGUCCAAGCAUCAAUCCCGUCCUCAGUCCAAGUCGUCCAGCAACAGUUUCUGCCACCAGCUGGGACGCUCUGCAUGUAUAGCCCCUGGUAAUUAAUCCGCUGGAGAAAGCUCCCACGAAAAUUCGCCUUGCAUGUGCGCGGCUGCGGGGUUAAAAGGAGACUGGAUAAACAUGCACACACUUGUCAAUUACAAAAUCAUGCAAGGAGAGUAGGGGAGAAAAACAAGAACAGUACACACACACCGAAACAAGAAACACCAGGGGAAAAAAAAAAAGUGGCAGCCAUGCCUCCAAUGAUGCCCUCUAGAUCCGUAAUUGUACAUGGCACCUCGAUCUCGUGCAGGGCGCUUCAUCCAAACGCAAUUAAAGCACAUAUGUAGCAGUAUGGCAUGCACUCGCACAAGCUUUUGCAUGCGGUUCAGAACUUCCCUCUCCUCUUUCAAAUGCUUCCCUGAAGCCCUUGCAUGAGUCGUCGUCCAUGGGAGGCAGGACAAUGGUCAUCUGGGGAAUAGGCAGAUCAAGCCUUUUCCACGAAUGCCUGCCAGUCUUCGUAACCUUUGGCUGACCGUCUUCAAUCACGUAGUCACUCAAACCCAUGAAACUCCCCGCUUGCUUGGUGCUUAACUCCUGGAUUUAUCAUGUUCACAAGCUCCCCAUUCCCCAGCACAUCCCUGUAUCGCCUCUUGAACGCUUUCAACAGCUCCGAAGGCUUUUAGGCAUCCAUAUGGAAAGUCACAAACCGGGCCUCAUCCAUUGUCGUCUCAGCGGCAUCAGCACCAUUCCGGGAUGGACUUGCGAAGAGGACCGUCCUUCCUCGUGUGGCUCUAUAUCCUUGAAAGCUAUCGUCCAUAAGGAGCCAAGUCCCUGCUAAGCUCAACAGGUCUGUCGGAACUUUAUACAAGCACCAGAUCUCUCCGCCCAGCGAGAUGAUGAUGAAGACCCUGGCAUCCACAAACAGUUGCACUAAAAUGUAUGCUCCAGCUAGUUCCGCAUCGCUGAGGAGCUCGUGAACGAAGUACCAGAUGCAGCACGACUUCCUAUCCCCGGAUUACCGGAGAUGUGCGCGAAGAUGCUGUGGCCGUGUCUCAGCUGACGAUAGAUCUUCUCGUAAGACUUGCGAACGAGGAUGUCGGCAUGGUUGGCUGUGAGCUCGGCUAUGACGGCAGGGAGCCUCAGAAAUCCUUCCGCACCCCAACCCCUGCACAGGUGCGAGCGGGUGUCCGGGGGGAAAGUCUUGUCCUUGGCAAAAGGGACUGCAUAAACAAGCACACACUUGUCAAAGUUACAAAUCAUGGAAGAGCAGAGGGAACAUACACACAACGAAAACAAAAAGACUGUACCUCGAAUGAUAUGCUCUGCCCCGGCGUCGAACUUGACACGGUUUAAGCCAUCGUCCACGCUCAUCCGGCUUCUUGUAAAAGAAACUUAGGGCGCCAGCCGUAACCCGCACUUUGCCAUUCUUUAGACAGAACCUGAGCUUGUCAUCCCUCCAUGCGAAAGUACACGAUGCCAAUCGUCCCACAGCCUUAUAGAAAAUGAGACGAAACAAAAUCCAUGGCUGCUGCUCUGCUGCUGCUCUCUGAAAAGAAAACAAUGAGAUUUGUCAAAAGAUUGCUUUCAGCAAUAUUCUCUCCUUUCACUGCACAGGCCAGCAGCAGCACUAAUAGAGAAGCAAGCAUCUCUCCAUCCCAAAAUGAAACAGAUAAAUGCUUUUUGUGGGUUCCAGCUGAAGAAGAAUCCAUCGAUUUUGUUACGAUCAUGUGAGAGAGCACUUACCUUGCAAGUUCUUCUUGCGGAGUAAAAUUCCUAGAGCGUAGAAACAACAUCUACGACUUUGUAAAGUUUAAAAUUUUGAACUAAGAAUGGAGAGAGAAAAGCUUACUUACGACCAGAAAAGUCUCGAGAGUGAAAAUAAAGAAGAAAAGGGAUACCACUCACAAGUUUGAUUUUCCUGCAAUAAAUAAAUACUCCAGAAGCUUAUGGAUAAAUAAACCACCAUAAACCAUUUCCUUUCGAAAAAUAAAGGUGAAAAAAAAGUAUCCCAAAUCCAAAAGCUAUCCAGCUCCGACCGAAGAAAUUCUUCUUUCUUGCGGAGUGCUCGAUCUCGUCAACUUCUCCCCGAUUUUGCGGAAUGCAAGGCAAAUUUUUGUGGGAGCUUUAUCCAGCAGAUUGAUUACCAGGUCCCAGGAGCGAAAGCUGGUGGAAGAAACUCUUGCUGGUCGACUUGGAGUGGUGGGGAGAGAACGAGAUUGGACGCAUGAUGCUCCGAUGGAUGGCAAGGAGAUUAAAUCCUAGAAGCAGAGAGUUGACGCCAUCAACUAGCUCAGUGAAAGCUAGGGACAGAAGUGAGUGAAAAUCCGCUUCCAAUCGUUUCGAAACUCUGGUUUUAUACGCCAUCAAGAAUAUCUGGCUCCUCACUCCUGAGCUCUUCAAAUCGGUGGAGAGCAUAAAACAAAUUUAAAAUAUUUCAGUAAACCGGUUAAGUUGCUGAAAACCUUUAUCUUAAAGAUGGUGAAACAAUAUUUGGCGAAAAACGUAGUAUAUUCGUUUGUUUCGUAUAGGGUUUGUGAUUGUAAAAGGGAGACGAUCACGAGCAGAGCAGAUCGGAGAUGGUGGCGGUGGACGUUGAGCGGUAUGUUGAGCUCAAGCGCAUGAUCAACGACUUGGCGAUCGAGGCUGGUAACAAAGCAUCCGGGUGAAACAAUACGAUAGCUUUGCCUUCGCGGACUAUGAUCACUGGGCCGAGACCAACAACAAGAGGGCGCUCAGGCCGGACUGCCAUUACAUGGAGGACGAGGUGGCGUUGGAUCCUCCCCAUGCCGACCGGAUCACGCGGAUGGUGGCCGUGGCGCUCCAGCAAGAGGAGGAAGACAACAGGAGGCAACUGGCUAAGGAGGUGAACCACUUCACAAGGCAACUGGCGCUUCAGCAACAACAAGCCGGGCCACUGAGCAAGAGAGCUCGCCACUGAUCGUCAAAUCAUCCCCUGGAGUGAUGAUCGAAAACAAUCUUGUAUCACAAGCUCCAACAAACGUGUGAACAAAGCAAGCUCCUGCCAAGGAGCACAAACUUUUGUUGUUUGUACUUCAUAUAUCUGGCAAUGAAGAGAUCUUUCCAGUUCUAUGAGCCGUGUCUCGCGGAAUAUGGCCGUGAGUCAUUUGGGUCUUCCUUUAGCUAAUAAGCCCUAGCUAGAGCUACAUUAUGAGCGAAGGAAACGUUGCUGCGUUGUUAGCUGCCAGGGUAUGCCGUAUUAUUGGUGCAAAGAAAAUGUGUACAAGUGCUCCAGUGGUGCCUGAUCAAGAACAUCAAUACUCAAAGUCUAUACUGAUGAAAGGAAAAAACGUUUGUUUUGUUUUUUUGAAAAAAACAAUGCGCCUACUCCCUCUUCUCAACUUUGUGAUUGAGGAUAAUGGCUUUUCAAUGGUUCUUCUUUUCCUUGUUUCUCAUCGAAUGCUUGUGUUCUUGCUCCCGCUUCACCACUACCCUUGCAAGUGAAAAACAACCAAACUACUGAAGGAACUGUUGUGUGCAUCAUGUUUUCUUCGAAUCAAAGUACUAUUCUUACGCUCUCUCUGGUUCUACUUGCGAGAACAAACAUGAAUUUAGAGACGAGUCGUUUAAAAUGAGUUCUUUGGAAGUACUUUUAAUAACAGAUUAAGAAAAUGGAGACUUUGGAGUAACAGGAUUUUACCAUGCGAUUCAGCUGCAGGGUUUACUCGAGGUGAUGGCAAACUCCAGUGUUGCAAUCUCACACUUGCUGCCUUUGGCACUUCUGGCAGUUGUCCCGGCACACCUGGUCGCUUGGAGGUGCACAGGAAGUGCCCCUCCACACAUAUCCCCGCCAUAGCCAGGCUCUCCUUGUUGACCACUCCAGGGUGACGACCAAGUCCAUGAGGUGAGCUUGGCCAUUUUGGAGAAUAUAUAUUCCAUUUCCCACUAAGGCUGUGGGUCGUAAUGUUUUUCACAGGGUUAGUAGCCUCAGAAACUGUCGUUGAUUUCUUCGAACAUGGCAUGGUUUAGAUGCUCUAAGACGAAAUGGAAACAUCGCUUCUUUUCGUCCAAGAUGAGAAACGAAGAACAAACAACAUGGUACGUACCUGAGGAAAAUGUCUGAGAAAAGAAUGAUAAAGAACAAGAAGACGAGGUUGGCAUCCGAGGAGCUCGGGGUGACUGUAAAGAUGCACAGGAGCAAGCUCGAGCGCAUUGUGCAGGGCAGCUUCAAUGGAUCGCUCAAGGCUAAAGCAUCCGAAGAAGAGCUGAGGAAGAUCCUCCACCUGGCAUUUCCUCACUAUGAUGCCUUCUAGUGGAAAACUGAUAAGAACUGAUGUCUUGAGAUGUAUUUUAACUUAGAAAUGUAUUUUCCUUUUACACAACAACUAUUGGAGCAAUCGAUUUCACUGAACGAAGAAAUCUUGGUUUUGGUGGUGGCAACUGUGAUGGCAGGUCCUUGUCUUCGCUAGACUCUCUGGGACAACUUUUGGACGUGCUAGCCUCCACUGCAUUGAUCACAAACAAACUCCCCAUUGCACUACUUGUCGAUGGAUCCUAGGUUAUAUACAAACUGAAAAGGGUUGAGACAAAAGGGAGGCAUAUAUAGCUUUUAGUGCGAAUAUUCUUUAUUUUAUUCUGGUCUAAGCUGUUUUGCAUUCAUGUCUUAAGAAAAAAAAUUAUAAUAAUAAAAACAUAAAGAGAAAUAAAAUAUAUAUAUGAUUUAAUAUUUGAGCUUUUACCCUCAUUGAAAUGCCACAUCCACUUGCAUGGUUUCCUAGCUUGCUAUAUCACUCCAAAGGUUCUAGGCAUUAUAAAAUGAUUAGAAAAUCAAUGCUAAAGUAAAGAUAAAUCUUUUGAUUAGGUAUAUCUUGAAAGUAAAUGAUUUGUUUGGCCAUGAGGUAUAAAAUCCUAAACUUCCCUUCUAACAUUACAGGUAUUAAUAUAAACUUACUUCAAGGAUUAUUAGUAUUAAAAAUAUUAGUUAGGAUUUUAAUAAUUGACAGUGUGAGUGAUUGGAAUAUGGAAAGGGAAUAUAGAAAAUGUGCAUAUCAAUUAGCCCAAAAACCCUAGCUUAUAUACAUGAGCGAGUGGUUAGAAUUAAAACCAAUCCGACGGCUACCAAAAUCCCACUAUGCUAAUAUUAGUAUAUAGCAUGUAGCCAUACAUUUGGCCCUCACAUCAUCCCCUCCUCUCGGAAUAAUGGAAGACCAUCAGGGUUCUCUUGUAGACGGGCGGAGGAGGCCUUGGCAGAUCUGUAGGUGGUAUUAAUUGCUCCUGAUCCCUUUGUAUGAAGCGUUUCAACCGCUGCACAUGCACAAUCUCUGGAGGAUCAACCUGCUGGACAUCAUGCCGAACUUCAUAAAUUUGUUGUCCAACAUGCUACAACACGUGAUAUGGUCCUUUCCACUGCACAAGGAGCCCCUUAGAUAAACCAUAUACCGUAAAAUGGGGAAAACAGACUAAUACCAAAUCAUCCAUUUUGUACUCCGCAUGUGGACGAUGAUGGGAGUUAUAACGCUGUUGUUGUCCCACUUGUACAUGGCCUAAGUGUUCGGCAGACUCUGCUUGGACAAGUGGAAGAAUGCUCGUCAAAUACUGAUCCCACGACCUAGCAUCGGCAGCUCGUGGCAAUCGCAAAGGUAAACCCAGCUCUGUUGGUAAUAUUGGAUCAUAACUAUAGAGGAGUUUAUAUGGUGAAGCACCAACAGAACUCUACACCCCUGUAACAUACACAUACCGAAGAGACGGCAAAUAACCAUCCUAAUCCAAAUGCUAAAAUCUCAUCUCUUUGAAUGUCCAAAUGAAUCGUUCCACCAGACCGUUUGAUUGUGGAUGAUAAACAUUUGUGAAAGUGUGGCAUAUCCCUAACCAAGACGUCAAAAGAUGAAAUGCCUCAGCCAUAAAUGCAAGACCAUUAUCCGAAAGAAUCCACUCUGGAUAAGAAUAUUGGAACACCACUCAAUUGAGGAGGAAGUAUCCAACAGCAGUUGUAGAGGCGCUAGCAAGAGCACCAACUUCCACCCAAUGAGUUAAGUAGUUAGAAACAAUAAUAACAUACUCAUUGCCAGCAGUCGACCAUGGAAAAGGUCCCAUAAGAUCAAACGCCACCAACUCAAAUAAAGGGGAAACUGUAAUUGACUCUAACCAUCCUUCCACAACCCGAGGGGGAGUAUUACGAGCUUAGCACCAAACACAGCUACGCACAUACCGGAUAGUAUCACGUCGCAUCUCUGGCCAAUAGAAAGACCUGCGUAGCUUCUCAGUUACAUGACGAUAUCCCAUAUGCCCACCUAGAAUAGGAGAAUCAUGGUAGGCAUAGAGAAACCGCAGGAUAAAGACAGAAGGCACCACCAGCUGUAAAUGAUUAUUAAAAUUUAUCCCCAUAAAAUAAAGAAAGUCAUCUUCAAGACGAUAUUAAGAAUGUAAAUGCCGGAAAGGCAAGUCAUCAGCAAGUGAUGUAGGAUUCUCAAACGCAUUUCGAAGCCUUCGAAUCCACAACUCAAUCUUUUGAGCCUCACGAACUUCAUCAACAGAAGGUAGAUCUUGCUCUGCACCUUGUGGACACUAAACGUCAGGUAUAACAACCGCCAACGGCAUACAAUCCUCAUCUAGAAAAUCCAUAGAGGCUGGAACAACAGGCUUGUCAAAAACAUGAGAAGAGAUUGGAGAAGGAAGAGGAGCUCGAGAAAGGGCAUUAGCAUUAACUAUAGAGUUCCCUGGGCGAUGAACAAUAUCAAAAUCAUAUAUUUGAAGCUUCAAAUCCCAUUAAGCAGGAUGACAAAAUAGGUUCUUCCGCUUCAAUAAUGAAGUAACAACGGCAUGAUCACCUUCAAGUAACAUCCAAGAACCAUGUAGAUAUGCAUGAAGUUUCUUGAAACCUCAAACUGUUGCUAACACUCAUUCUCUGUCAUGGAGUAGUUCAUCUCCGCUAGUUGUAAUGUACGGCUUAUAUAUGCAAUGGGAUGACACUGACCAAGCACGCUCAAGCUCUCUUGCCUCAACACAACUCCAAGACUAAUGUCAGAAGCAUCCACGCAAAAUAAAAGGUCAAGUGUAGUUAGGAUAUGCCAAAACUGGAGGAGUCGUUAAUAGCUUUUUGAGAUCCAUGAAUGCCCACUCACAAUCUGGAAACCAGAUGAAAGAUGAUGUUGAUGACUUCAGCAACGCUCUCAACGGUGCAGUGUGAUCAAAAAGAUGAUUCACAAAACAACUGAGAUACUACAUUUUGCCCAAGAAGCGCUGCACAUUAUUCACACACUUUGGAGUAGAGAACUUUAGAACCGCCACAAGUUUGUUAGGAUUAACUUGCAAACCCUCACGAGAAAUACGGUACCCAAGAUAAGUUGUGUCCUUAGACCCAAACACGCACUUUGACCGCUUCAACUUUAAACUAACGUCGUGUAACCGAUCCAACACUUUACAAACAUCACGAAUGUGCUCCUCCCACAUCCCCUUCGAGUGGAUCAAAACAUCAUCAAUGAAGUCAACAGUCACCUCUGGCAUAUCGCAAAGAACCUUAUCUAUCAUCCGUUGGAAAGUUGCUAGAGCAUUGUUUAAACCAAACGGCAUCACCAAGAACUUGUACAAACCAAACGGUGUAUGAAAACUAGUCUUAAGAAUAUCUUCUUCGGCCAUUGGUACUUGCCAGUACCCAGAAGCAAGAUCUAGCUCGGUGAACUAACGACUUCACCUCAAACGAUCCAAGAGAUUAGCAAUGUGAGGAAGAGGAGCUGAAAGACGGGCAGCGAGAAGUGGAAGAGGCGACGUCUCAUAACGUUGUGCCAAGUGAAGAACAUCAUCAAGGGUGGAGGGAGCAAGUGCAUACACAAGUUCGACAAAAUCUUGACGAAGUGCUGGCCACAACAUUUUUAGCUUGAUCCGCUCCCACAUAUUUGGCUCCGCACAAAACAAAAGACUUCAGAAACGAAUGCCAAAUUGCAUCACUGAUUCAGAUGGCCCUUGGCAAAGACAAUGCAAUUGUUGGAAAGCAUCAUCACAGUCAUCAGCAUGUCUGAAGGCCCGUUUGAAGACGUCCAGGAGAACACUCCAAUCCCCAUGAGUGGCUAUGCUCAGACCAUUGUACCAUUGCAACACUGUCCCUUGGAGACAUAUGGGAAACUCAUGCAAACGUCGAGCAUCAUCCCAAGAAUGAUAUGUGGCAAUCAUCGUGAAGUGAUCGAACCACUGGUACACAUCAUCCCUAAGAUUCCCACGAAAGAACUUUGGCCAAACGCGAGGAUUAAGGGCAGGGUUCCAUGCUCCACCCUAGGGGGAAAAUUUCCAGAGGGGGGAAAUAAAACCCUGGGUUCCAUGCCCCCCCUAGUGACAUGGCACUAAAAAUGGGGGGGAAGUGGGGAACCCGGUGUCCCCUCCGUAAAUUUCUCCCGGAGCCUGGAACUCGGUAAAAUACACAAAUAAAAUAAUGCCAUGUGGCAAAAUUGCCACAUCAUCUAAAAAUUUGACCCGCCCUAAUUUUGCCGCUGUGUGAGCAUGCGAGUUCUUGGAGGGUUUUGGGGGGGAUUUUUGCAGUGAUUUGAGAAGGAAGUUUGUAAGAAAUGGAGAAUCGCUCACCCUCACCUUAUCCAUAGUUGCAAUUUGCCUAUUAUUUUAAUUCAUCAAUAGCUCAAACUCAUGUAAGUAUGAAAUUUUGUAAUUCUGAAAUUUUGCUUGUUUUUCUUAAUGUCCAGGGAGGAGAGGGUUCUUCUUUUAGUGCUAGCAUGGGAUUUAUGCCAAAUGUAACUAUGAUCCAAAUACUUUUCAUUUUCUCUUUGGUUUUUUUCUUUUGUUUAGUAAAAUUUUGCAAUGGUUUUUAGCCUAUCAUUUCUACAUUCAACCCAAUGAUUGGAUUUGUUCCAAGUAUCCCUACAAUGCAAGCUAACUUCAAUUCAUCGAGCUAAGUAUUUUUUCCAAUUGUUUUCCUACUUUGUGCGCUCAAUUUAGGGUAAACAAAAUUGGCACCCUAAUCCUUUAUGACGUGGGAAAAAAAAUGCUAAUGUGUAAACUUACGUGGCAUAUAAAGAAGGGUAGCCAUUAAAAAAAAGGGGAGGGGAUUUUUUUUUGGAGGGGGAGAGAAAUUUCUAGGUGGGUGGAGCAUAGAACCUCGCCCUAACACCAAGAGUAGGAGGAGUUGUACCAUGUGUCGUGAAUGCCGCAUCAAUUGUGUUUGAUUGGUCAAUUGCAAGCACAUAGCAUCAAGCAAUUGUACCAACUGUUGCUCCAAAGUCAAAGGAGGAGAUUGCUGAUCUGCCAUGAAGACGGACAAAGAAAGAGCAAAAGAAGAGAAACAACAAAAAGCGAGAAGGAAAUGGGAGAUCUAGACAAUACAAAAAGCUAGAUCUAAACCAAAAUCCCAAAUUCAAACAUUAUUCAAGGACAAUCAAAAGUGCCCCUCACCUUCACCAAUGUGAGUGCUUGGAAUAUGGAAAAGAAAUACAGAAAAUAUGCAUAUCAAUUAGCCCAAAAACCCUAGCUUAUAUAUAGGAGUGAGUGGUUCGGAUUGAAACCAAUCCGACGGCUAUCAAAAUCCCACUAUGCUAAUAUUAGUAUACAACAUCAUAGCCGUACACUUAGCCCUCACAACAGCAAAAAGAAAUAUAAGUUUAAACAAGAAAAAUAUAAAAGAAAUGCUACUUAUAAUACUUACAGAAAUAUGGCAAUGAAUAUGUGAUUUCGCAUGGAAGCAUUAUAUUUUUAUACAUAUGCAAAUUUAUUUUUUUGUUUUGAGUUACAUGUAAAAAUAUUAUGCAUACAAUCACUUUUCAAUUGGUAUAUAAGCAAUUAAAAUGCCAUUGUGUUGUCAUGAGAUAUGUUAUAUAUGAAUGGGGUAUAGCAACUCAUAUUACCAUAUACACAUCAUGCCAUGUCAUUUUAGACAAUAUGAUAUCAUUGCAAUUUAGUAAGGGGUUUUUUUCUCAUUCUUGUGAGUGCGAAUUUAUAAUGAGUUAAUUGUGAUCAUUUCUCUCCUCUCAUUUCUGUUAGUUAUAAUCCAUUUUUCAUGGUUAUUGCUCAUUUCUCAUAACUAUAGCUUAUUUCUUGCAAUUGUGGUUCAUUUCUUAUAACUUAAAAGUGUUAUGCACCUUAAUCUAUUUAUUGCACCUCUCAUUUUUUGUAAUCUGUUUGCAAUAUGACACUUUAACUUAGUGCCACAAUAAGUGUGAUUAAUUGGAGUGUAGUGGCAAAUGCAAUUAAUUGGAGUGUAAUGGUGAGUGCAAUUGAUUGGAGUGUGGUGGCAAGUUUGAUCAAUUGCAAUGUGGUGGUAAGUGCAAUAAAUUGAAGCACAUUAAUGAGUUCAAUCAAUUGGAAUAUAAAGGCAAAACACUUCUUUAGUUUUUUCUCAAUUUUGUAACUCUCUAGCAUUCACUUACGUAAAAGUUCCUUCAUUUCUUCAUUUGUUGUAAAACCAUUAACUUACAAAAUGCUUUAUUUCGUUAAAGUGGAGCUUUUCAUUAUCCCACUUAUGGUGUGUGGCCACAUGCCAUUUUUAUAACAACAAUAAAAAAUUGAAGUUUUAGCUUUAUAAUUUAUAAAUUAAAAACUUUUCAUAUGAUUUUGUGUUAUAAUAUUGUGAAAUAUAAAAAAUAAAUUAAAAAACUGAUAGAAAUAUUAAUAAAUAUUAAUUAAGUACUAGGAAAUGGCAUGUGGACACAUGCUAAUUAAUGUCCCACUUUACUGAAUAAGUUCCACUUUAACGAAAUAAAGCAUCAAAGUAUUUUUCAUUACCUUUAUCAAAGAGAGUGUCUAAAGAGCCUAUAAUAUUUUAAAAUUUAACUUGCACAUUUGAAAAACAUCACCUAAAAACUUAACCCUAUUGACAUGUAAAACCAAAAUCUAAGAUGGGAUGCAAAAAAUUAUAUAUAUAGCAUUAUUUUAUGAGUCACACACAAGUGUUACAAUAAUUUAAACACACAUGUGUUUUAUUUUUAUAUAUUUUGCAAAUGUGAAAGAUAAUUUACUAGAUUAUCUAUCCUAGGUACAUCUCCUCUCUUUGGAGGUGUACCUCCCCCCAAAAUACUUCAGAAUUUAAUAGUGUAAAAAUAAUAAAUGAAAAUAUAUUAAAACUUAAACAUUAUAAUUUAAAAAAAAUUAACUAAAACUUUAGAAAUAAUAUAGUAAAUUGUUAUUAAAUCAUCUCUUCUAAUAAAAAAGUAUGCUUUUGUGAGGGCAAAGUGUACAACUACGAUGCCAUAUACUAAUAUUAGUGUAGUGGGAUUUUGGUAGCCGUCGGAUUGGUUUCAAUCCGGACCACUCGCUCUUGUAUAUAAGAUAGGGUUUUUGGGCUAAUUGAUAUGUACAUUUCUGUAUUCCCUUUUUAUAUUCCAUGCACUCACAUUGGUGGAGGUGAAGGGCACUUUUGAUUGUCCUUGGGGAGUGCUUGGAUUUGGGAUUUCAGUUUAGAUUUAACUUUUGCAUCGUCUAGAUCUAACUUUUUCCAUUUCCUUUCUUUUGUUCUUUCCUUUCAGGAUUUUGGUUUAAAUCUAGCUUUUUGCAUUGUCUAGAUCUACCAUUUCUUUCCAGCUUUUUGUCAUUUCUCUUCUUUUGCUCUUUCUUUUUUGUUCAUCUUCAUGGCCGAUCAACAAUCUCCUCCUUUGACUCUAGAGCAGCAGUUGGUUCAAUUGCUUAAUGUUAUGCGCUAGCAAUUGAAUAACCAAACUCAAUUGAUGGCGGCAUUCACGGCACAUGGUCUAACUCCUCCUGCUCUUGAUGCCAAUCCUUGUGUUUGGCUGGAGUUCUUUCGUGAGAAUCCUAGGGAUGAUGUGUACCAUUGGUUCAAUCACUUCACAGUGAUUGCCACAUAUCAUUCUUGGGAUGAUGCUCGAUGUUUGUGUGAGUUUCCCACGUGUCUCCAAGGGACGGCAUUGCAGUGGCACAAUGGAUUGAGUAGAUGCAAAAGCUAGAUCUAAACCGAAAUCCCAAAUCCAAGCACUCCCCAAGGACAAUCAAAGGUGCACGUGGUCCAACUCCUCCUGCUCUUGAUGCCAAUCCUCGCGUUCGGCCGGAGUUCUUUCGUGGGAAUCUUGGGGAUGAUAUGUACCAUUGGUUCGAUCACUUCACAGUGAUUGCCAUGCCUUCAGACAUGCCGACGAUUGUGACGAUGCUUUCCAACAAUUGCAUCGUCUUCGCUAAGGGCCAUCUUGAGUCGGUGAUGCAAUUUGGCGUUCGUUUCCGAAGUCUUUGCUUCGUGUGGAGCCCAAUAUGUCGGAGCGGAUCAAGCUAGGAAUGUUGUGGCUAGCACUUCGUCAAGAUCUUGUCGGCCUUGUGCAUGCACUUGCUCCUGCCACCCUUGACGAUGCUCUUCGCUUAGCACAACGUUAUGAAACAUCGCCUCUUCCACUCCUUGUUGCAUGUCCUUCAACUCCACUUCCUAUAAGUGAUGGUCCUGUUCCAAUGGAGGUUGAUGCUGUUGCUACUUGAGUCCACGGACAAGGGCGAAGACGUGGUUGUGGCCGUGAUGUUUGUUGUUAGGCAUCUAAUGAAGUUGGUCAUACUUAUCGGCGUUGUUGACGCUUUUCGAAUUGGCGACCUCCAUUUCCUGGAUGGAGACCUUGGCGUCAGCACCGUCCCGUUGGUGCUGCUGCGGUGGAAGGUUUGGACACCGAGGUGCAUCCGGGAAAUGAGGAGUCGCGCGAGUAACAGAGGGACCUUGCGCGAAUAAGUCAGUGACCCCUCCAUCUUUCUUUCGAGAGUAUCAUCAAGGGGUUCACUUGGCACCAGUUCAUCCAGUGUUUACUUUCCAAGCUCGUUUUUAUAACAAGAGGUCUUCUAUUCUUCUCUCCGUGUUGGUUGAUACAGGUUCGAGUUUAUCUUCUAUUGCUCGACCUAUUGCCACACGUUGUUGCCUACACUUGCAUCGUGUGGCGGAUCUAGUUUUCAUUCUUUAUAGCAACGGCCGUACACAUGCAUGUGCACGAGAUGAGGCGAACCUGGUUGUGCAUGUGGGUGAUCUCGAGCUUGAGUUGUAGUCAUUAUGGGUGGUGCCGAGUCAAGCUUUUAACCUCAUUCUUGGUAUGGAUUGGUUGCAGUGUAAUCAUGCCAAGUGUGAUUUUGAGGCUUUUCCCCCUUGUCUCAUACUUCUUUAUGUUUCAUCCAUAUGAGGAAAUGCCAGGUUAAGGAUUUUCCUCAGCUCCUCCUUAGACACUUUAACCUUGAGCGAUCCAGCCGAUUGAUUCGGGCAAGCAUAGCACGCUCCUACACAUGCGCUGGAGCUUGCUCCCCUGCAUCUUGAAGCUCAUCCCAAGCUCCUUGGACUCGGCUGCCAACCUCGUCUUUUUGAGCACCAGCACCACCACUGGCUCGUGGCGCUGCUGCUGCCGCUCUAGCAGGGAAAUCCUUUAUUGACUGCUAUUGACUGGGCAUUGACUGGGCCGUUAGCUCGCCUGCUCUGUGUGAUCCUCUUCUUCCUGUGCUUCUUUUUGAGCAGCAAUAAGGAAUGCCUGGCUAUGGCGGGGAUAUGCGUGGAGGGGCAAUUCCUGUGCACCUUCACAAGCGACUAGGCGUGAUGGGACUAUUGUUGUAAGUGCCACUACAUCAAAGGCAACAGUGAGAUUUGCAAGUAGAAAUUCGUUUUUUCCUCUCUUAACCUGUCCUCCACGUCUUCCAUAAUUCCUAACUGAUGUUCCACAUUUCAUAAUCUCUGUCCCAUAUCUUAGCAAUUGAGUAUUGAUGUUCUUGAUCAAGCCCCCCAAGGUCACUGGAGCCACAUUUUCUUUGCACCAAUAAUACGGCAUAUCUUGGCAACUAACAACGCAGCAUCGUUUCCUUCGCUCGUAACAUAGCUCUAGCUAGGGCUAAAGGAAGACUCACGGCCAUACUGAGAUGGAACGCCACUAAAGCUCAAACACUAGAACUGGAAAGAUCUCUUCAUUGCCAGGUAUAUGAAGUACAAACAACAAAGGUUUCCUGCUCCUAGUUUUAGUAAUGCUUGUGAUACAAGAUUGUUUUCGAUCAUCCCCCAAGGGGCUGAUUCGACGAUCAGUGGUGAGCUCUCUUGCUCGGUGGCCCGGCUUGUUGUUGCUGAAACGCCAGUUGCCUUGUGAAGUAGUUCAUCUCCUUAGCCAGUUGCCUCCUGUUCGCUUCCUCCUCUUGCUGGAGCGCCAGGGCUACCAUCCGUGUGAUUCGGUCGGCAUGGGGAGGAUCCAACGCCACCUCGUCGUCCAUGUAAUGGCAGUCCGGCCUGAGCGCCCUCUUGUUGUUGGUCUCGGCCCAGUGAUCAUAGUCCGCGAAGUCGAAGCUAUCGUAUUGUUUCACCCGGAUGCUCCUAUUGUUACCAGCCUCGAUCGCCAAGUCGUCAAUCAUGUGCUUGAGCUCAACAUACCGCUCAACGUCCACCGCCACCAUCUCCGAUCUGCUUCGCUCGUGAGAAGUUCUUCUGGACUCACUAACCCUAUACAAAACAAAUGGAUAUGCCACUUUUUUGCCAAAUAUUCUUUCAUUAUCUUUAAGACAAAAAAAAGGUUUUAACCGGCUUAUUGAAAUAUUUUUAAAUUUGUUUUAUGGAGCAGCGAUCUCCACAGAUUUGAAGAGCUAGGAGCGAGGAACUAGAAAUUCGUGGAUUCAACCAGAGUUUCAAAGACUUGUUUUGUCCCUGAAUUUUUUCCAUCUUUCACUGAGCUCAUCGAUGGCAUCAACUCUCUGCUUUCAGGAUUUAAUCUCCUCGUCAUCCGUCCAAGCAUCAAUCCCGUCCUCAGUCCAAGUCGUCCAGCAAGAGUUUCUGCCACCAGCUGGGACGCUCUGCAUGUAUAGCCCCUGGUAAUUAAUCCGCUGGAGAAAGCUCCCACGAAAAUUCGCCUUGCAUGUGCGCGGCUGCGGGGUUAAAAGGAGACUGCAUAAACAUGCACACACUUGUCAAUUACAAAAUCAUGCAAGGAGAGUAGGGGAGAAAAACAAGAACAGUACACACACACCGAAACAAGAAACACCAGGGGAGAAAAAAAAAGUGGCAGCCAUGCCUCCAAUGAUGUCCUCUAGAUCUGUAAUUGUACAUGGCACCUCGAUCUCGUGCAGGGCGCUUCAUCCAAACGCAAUUAAAGCAAGCUUUUGCAUGCGGUUCAGAACUUCCCUCUCCUCUCUUUCAAAUGCUUCCCUGAAGCCCUUGCGUGAGUCGUCGUCCAUGGGAGGCAGGACAAUGGUCAUCUGGGGAAUAGGCAGAUCAAGCCUUUUCCACGAAUGCCUGCCAGUCUUCGUAACCUUUGGCUGACCGUCUUCAAUCACGUAGUCCCUCAAACCCAUGAAACUCCCCGCUUGCUUGAUGCUUAACUCCUGGAUUAUAAUUUAUCAUGUUCACAAGCUCCCCAUUCCCCAGCACAUCCCUGUAUCGCCUCUUGAACGCUUUUAACAGCUCCGAAGGCUUUUAGGCAUCCAUAUGGAAAGUCACAAACUGGGCCUCAUCCAUUGUCCUCUCAGCGGCAUCAGCACCAUUCCGGGAUGGACUUGCGAAGAGGACCCUCCUUCCUCGUGUGGCUCUAUAUCCUUGAAAGCUAUCGUCCACAAGGAGCCAAGUCCCUGCUAAGCUCAACAGGUCUGUCGGAACUUUAGAUCUCUCCGCCCAGCGAGAUGAUGAUGAAGACCCUGGCAUCCACAAACAGUUGCACUAAAAUGUAUCUCCAGCUAGUUCCGCAUCGCUGAGGAGCUCGCGAACGAAGUACCAGAUGCAGCACGACUUCCUAUCCCCGGAUUACCGGAGAUGUGCGCGAAGAUGCUGUGGCCGUGUCUCAGCUGACGAUAGAUCUUCUCGUAAGACUUGCGAACGAGGAUGUCGGCAUGGUUGGCUGUGAGCUCGGCUAUGACGGCAGGGAGCCUCAGAAAUCCUUCCGCAUCCCAACCCCUGCACAGGUGCGAGCGGGUGUCCGGGGGGAAAGUCUUGUCCUUGGCAAAAGGGACUGCAUAAACAAGCACACACUUGUCAAAGUUACAAAUCAUGGAAGAGCAGAGGAAACAUACACACAACGAAAACAAAAAGACUGUACCUCGAAUGAUAUGCUCUGCCCCGGCGUCGAACUUGACACGGUUUAAGCCAUCGUCCACGCUCAUCCGGCUUCUUGUAAAAGAAGCUUAGGGCGCCAGCCGUAAGAACCUCUCCGACCCGCACUUUGCCAUUCUUUAGACAGAACUUGAGCUUGUAACUUGGCUCCUCACUCCUGAGCUCUUCAAAUCGGUGGAGAGCAUAAAACAAAUUUAGUAAACCGGUUAAGUUGCUGAAAACCUUUAUCUUAAAGAUGGUGAAACAAUAUUUGGCGAAAAACGUAGUAUAUCCGUUUGUUUCGUAUAGGGUUUGUGCUUGUAAAAGGGAAACUAGAAGAACUUCUCACGAGCAGAGCAGAUCGGAGAUGGUGGCGGUGGACGUUGAGCGGUAUGUUGAGCUCAAGCGCAUGAUCGACGACUUGGCGAUUGAGGCUGGUAACAAUAGGAGCAUCCGGGUGAAACAAUACAAUAGCUUCGACUUCGCGGGCUAUGAUCACUGGGCCGAGACCAACAACAAGAGGGCGCUCAGGCCGGACUGCCAUUACAUGGAGGACGAGGUGGCGUUGGAUCCUCCCCAUGCCGACCGGAUCACGCGGAUGGUGGCCGUGGCGCUCCAGCAAGAGGAGGAAGACAACAGGAGGCAACUGGCUAAGGAGGUGAACCACUUCACAAGGCAACUGGCGUUUCAGCAACAACAAGCCGGGCCACCGAGCAAGAGAGCUCGCCACUGAUCGUUGAAUCAUCCCCUGGAGGGAUGAUCGAAAACAAUCUUGUAUCACAAGCUCCAACAAACGUGUGAGCAAAGCAAGCUCCUACCAAGGAGGACAAACUUUUGUUGUUUGUACUUCAUAUAUCUGGCAAUGAAGAGAUCUUUCCAGUUCUAUGAGCUUUAGUGGCGUUCCAUCUCCAGAAUAUGGCUGUGAGUCCCUUCCUUUAGCUAAUAAGCCCUAGCUAGAGCUACAUUACGAGCGAAGGAGUUAUUAGCUGCCAGGGUAUGCCGUAUUAUUGGUGCAAAGAUAAUGUGUACAAGUGCUCCAGUAACAUUAAUACUCAAUUCACAACUACACAAAAGCAUUAGAAUGACGUGUUUUUCCAACCAAAAUUUUGUGUUUGCUGGAAAUUUAAGUUGUAAUUUUAACCUACUUGCUAUCAACUUAAAUGUUAGUAGCAAAUUGGCUUUAGUUACAAAUUUUAAAUUGCAAUGUCUGAUAGCAUUCAUAGUUACUCAGAUUUAAGUUGGAAAUUAUAGUUGUUCUUUACAACUAAAAUAGAAAUCAUAACUUUUACAUAUUCUUUAAAAUUAGAUAAGCUCAUAUAUGUUGCUAAUUAGAGUUGCAAUUUACAAUUUUUAACAUGCAACUAAAAUGUAAGUUCUUAAGGUUUGUAGUUGCAAAAUUUUUAGUCACAAAUUUCAAUAAUAUUUAGUUUAUGCUUUUUGUUUAGAAUUUAGGAAUGAAAGUUGCAUGUUGGUAUUUAAGAUGUAGAGGAAAUCAAAUUUGCCUCAUACAAAUUAUCAUAGAUUAUAUUCAUCUUUAUGGUAGACAUCCUUCAGCACGCAUGAUUUCUAAUAAAAGAUAUUCAAGGGAUUAGAUUAUGCAGAUCUACUACUUCAGCAAAAUAAAAUUUUUAAAAUUGGUGAAAUUUUUGUUAAUAGAGGUGGCAAUGACAAUAUUAAGGAUGAGAUUAUUUUUCAGAAUGGUUACAUGGAUAUGAAGAUAAUUUAUUACCUAUUUAUGAAGGGGCUAGUGCUUCUAUUUUGUCAGCUUGUUUAAGUUAUUCCUAAAAUAUCAAACCAAGCAACAGAUUAUUUUGUAACCUAAUUAAUUUUUAUUUAUUAUUUAGUAUUAAAUUUUUCAUUAUUUGGAUGAAGGCUCUUCAAACAAAUAUUACCUACAAAUAUAGUUUAUAUAUGAAGUAGUUCAAGUAUGUAUGAACCAUGUAGAUAUGCAUAAAAUUUCUCGAAACCCCAAACUGCUGCUAAAUAAUCUUUCUCCGUCGUGGAGUAGUUCACCUUUGCUGGUUGUAAUGUACAGCUUAUAGAUGCAAUGGGAUGAUGUUGACCAGGCACACUCGGGCUUUCUUGCAUCAACACACCUCCAAGACCAAUAUCAUAAGCAUCUACGCACAAAAUAAAAGGUCAAGUGUAGUCAGGAUAUGCCAAAACCGGAGGAGUCAUCAACAAUUCUUUGAGAUCCACAAACGCCCGCUCACAAUCUGAAGACCAAAUGAAAAAUGACGUUGAUGACUUCAGCAACGCUUGCAACGGUGCAAUGCGAUCAGAAAGAUGAUUCACAAAACAAUCGAAAUACUGCACCUUGCCCAAGAAGCGCUGCACAUCAUUCACACACUUCGGAGUAGAGAACUUUAGAACAGCCACAAGUUUGUCAGGAUCAACUUGCAAACCCUCAUGAGAAAUACGAUACCCAAGAUAAAUCGUGUUCUUGGACCUAAACACGCAUUUCAACCGCUUCAACUUUAAACUAACAUUCCGUAGUUAAUCCAACACUUUACACACAUCACGAAUGUGCUCCUCCUACGUCCCCUCCGAGUGAAUCAAGACAUCAUCAAUGAAGUCAACAAUCACCUCUAGCAUAUCACAAAGAAUUUCAUCCAUCAUCCGCUGGAAAGUUGUUGAAGCAUUGUUCAAAGCAAACGGCAUCACUAAGAACUCAUACAAACCAAAUGGUGUACGAAAACCAGUCUUAGGAAUAUCUUCUUCGGCCAUCGGUACUUGCCAGUACCCAGAAGCAAGAUCUAGCUUGGUGAGCUAACGACUUCACCCCAGACGAUCCAAGAGAUCAGCAGUGUGAGGAAGAGGGUACACAUCUGGGAUCGUCACUUCAUUUCAUGGACGAUAGUGGAUGCAGAAACGAAUACUCCCAUCAGGCUUCGUCACAAGAUGAGGUUCAUAUGCCCAAAGACUCCGCGACUUCUAAAUAACACCCUUCUCCAACAUCUCCUUGACGUUUACACGUCCUUGGGUGACCGACGACAAACAGGAACCUUAAUUGGAUGAGCAUCCCCGGUUGAAAUCGGAUGACGUGUGGCAAUCUUGGCCCCAGACGAUAGGUCAAAUUCAAAGAGAUCAGAAUACUCCUUCAUAAGUCAGUCAACCACUGCAACACAAAGACUGUCGGAGGGAUUGAAAAAGGGAAGAGUAGAACAAGAUAAAAACAUAGGAGAAAAGAAUGGAGGAAUAAAAGUAAUGAAAGCAAAAGUAUAAGUAAAGGGACAAAAAGGUACAGAAGUGAGAGGAAUGGAUAAAACAUAAAGAAGUAUGAGAUAAGGGGGAGAAGCCUCAAAGUCAGACUUGGCAUGAUUGCAUUGCAACCAAUCUAUACCAAGAAUGAGGUCAAAAACUUGACUUGGCACCACUCGUAAUGACUACAACUCAAGCUCGAGACACACACAACCAGGUUUGCCUCAUCCCAUGCACAUGCAUGUGUAUGGCCGUUGCCAUAAAGAAUGAAAACUAGUUUCGCUGCACGACGCAAGUGUAGACGGCAACGUGUGGUAACAGGUCGAGCAAUAGAAGAUAAACUCGAACCUAUAUCAACUAAUACGGAGAGAAUAAUAGAAGACCUCUUGUUAUAAAAACAAGUUUGGAAAGUAAACACUGGAUGAACUGGUGCCGAGCAAACCCCUUAAUGAUACUCCCGAAAGAAAGAUGAAGGGGUCAUUAACUUAUUCGCGCAAAGUCCCUCAAUUACUCACGCGACUCCUUAUUUCCCGAAUGCAUCUCAGUGUUCAAACCUUCAACUGCAGCAGCACUAACAGGAUGUUGCUGACGCCAAGGUCUCCACCUAGGAAAUGGAGGUCGCCAAUCCAGAAAAUGCUGACAGCGCUAAUAAGUAUGACCAACUUCAUCACACACCUAGUAGUGAAUAUCACGGCCAUGACCACGUCCUCGCCCUUGUCCUUAGACUCGAGCAAUAACAGCAUCAACCUCCAUUAAAACAGGACCAUCAUCCAUAGGAAGGGGAGUUGAAGGACGGGUAGCGAGAAGUGGAAGAGGUGACAUGGCAGAAAGAAAAGGAGCUUAAGUUCCUUUGGUUGGAGCUGGAUAGCUUUGGGAAGGAAGAUUUACUUCCUCUUCUAGAAGGGAACAAGCACACAGUCAUGCACGACGAAGUUUUCAAAAUGAGGCAUGCACGAAACUUCACCUGGAACAUUACACUACUGCAAAUCCCCUCUCGAACUUGUUUUCCUGGUGCCACUUAAGGAGCUCUUGGAACAAAUCCGAGAAUGGCCCCAUUGCGUUCCUAUCUCCGGAAUAUCCUCCUUCAGGCAUAUGCCCAGAGGGGGUCUUCGACAGGAUGCCGUCCAAGGACGUGGUCGCGUGGACGGCUAUGGUGAAUGCCUAUGCCGAGAACGGCGUUGUGGACCUCGUGCAAUGUAUGUUCGAGAAUAGGCCCGUGAGGAACGUGGUGUCGUGGAACUCCAUGCGUUUUGCAUAUGCCCAAAGCGGGUAUUGCAGUCAAGACAUGGAGCUCCUUCAUAUCAUGCCUGCUCACAACGAGUACACGUGGAAUGUUAUGAUUCCUUGCUACGCUCUUAGUGGAAAAACGGGCAAGGCUAUGGUUGUGUUCCCGUCGGCGCAAGAAUGCUAUGGUGAAAGAUCCCUUUGACGCAAUGCCUGCUCGCAAUAUUGUGUCGUGGAAGAAGCUCGAUUUAAGCUCAAUCACCUGGAGCGUGAUGCUUCAAGCAUUUGCAGGGUUUGGGCAUGUACAAGAUGGCGAGAGUUUGUUUCAGAUCAUGCGAGAAACCUCACUCGGCGAUCCCAGUUGCUUGUCAGCGUGGACCAACAUGAUUGUUUUAUAAGAUUGACAAAGCUCGAGCAGUGUUUGAUGCUUUGGCGUGCCUGGACAAGGUCUCCUGGAACACCAUGCUCGCUCACCUGACGUCCACCACUGCAAAUAUUUCUUUGAGCAAAUGCCCGGCCACAACCUGGUGUCUUACAACACUGUCUUGUCCUCGGUGGUCAGCUGCAGAUUAUCCGAGAAAGCAGUGAAAAUCUUCGUCGAAAUGCUAGAGAUAACAUACAGUGUGAUGAUGCAAGCUUAUGCACAGGAAGGCCAGCUUGCGAGUGCCAGGGACAUCUAGGAGACAAUGCCGGAUCGCAACUCAGUGGCUCUCAUCACCGUGAUCUUGGCACUCGCACAGCCCAAUCCCCAAGAACAGCCUGGAGCUCGAUCAUCCCGGCCUAUGUGCAGAACGGACGCGUGACUGGAUCGCUUUCGAGAGAUGAUCUUGCUGUCUUUCAAGCCAGACGAGACCAUCUUCACGAGAAAUCUAGCAGCGGCAGCGAGCCAGCUCGAGCAGUGUUGCCGAGAUUUUUUGUCCAUGAUCGCAAACUUUGGGAUCUCUCCCAGGAUCGAGCAUUAUGAUUGACACAAUAGGGCAACCUGGUCAGCUGGAGCAAUCCAUGCCAUUUGUUCCACAGCCGGGCUUGUGGAUGAUUCUUCUGGGCUCGAAAUGCAAAGGUUGUGGAAAUGUCGGCUGGAAAAUCGGGAUAAUGCCAGGUUGACAACCAACAAUCCUAGUCAUCCCGGAGAUGCGGGUGUUGUGCCAUGUAAGCUGAAAACCUAUCCCACCAGCCAAGGCGCAAUAGAGGAACACUGGUAUAAAAGAAAUGGAGUGGGAGGUAUGGUUAAUCCGGGAGAGCCUGAAAGGGCGCUUGCAUCCCUCGGGUUGCUUAGUAAAUGGGGUCGCUGACCCUUGACCACUUGGCCCCCCUCGUCGGUGACCCAGUAGUGCUAAGUCGGUAUGGUCAACUCCACCGUGACCUACCGGAUAGCGCUUGGUACCCAGGGCGCCCAAGGAGGCCCGAUAUCUUUUGCAAACAUUUCUUUGAUCUUCCUUUGUGGAAUUUCUUGGUGCGCCAGGCCUUGAAGUAAAUUUUUUCACUCAUUUGAGAGAAACGAAUGUUUGCGGCAUCAGGCGGUUCUCAAUUUCGCAAGACCAUCAAAGCUCAACCUAAUGCGUUAUGUAGAUGAUGCUUCUCUCUCUUUCUUUUUCCCGAACAAGCAAGGAUGGCACUUUCAAGUGCCUGAGAAAGGAUAGAGAAUUGUGCUCCAAACACGUUACACUUGUUCUAACAAACUUGUGAACAAAGCAAGCUCCUGCGAAGGAUCAAAAACUUUUGUUGUUUGUACUUCAUAUACCUGGCAAUGAAGAGAUCUUUCCAGUUCUAUGAGCUUUAGUGGCGUUCCAUCUCGCGGAAUAUGGUCGUGAGUCAUUUGGGUCUUCCUUUAGCUAAUAAGCCCUAGCUAGAGCUACAUUACGAGUGAAGGAAACGUAUUGGUGCAAAGAAAAUGUGUACAAGUGCUCCAGUGGUGCCUGAUCAAGAACAUCAAUACUCAAAGUCUAUAUUGAUCAAUUCAACCUCUAAGGAAAAAACGUUUGUUUUGUUUUUUGGAAAAAAACAAUGCGCCUACUCCCUCUUCUCAACUUUGUGAUUGAGGACAAUGGCUUUUCAAUGGUUCUUCUUUUCUCCUUUUCCUUGUUUCUCAUCGAAUGCUUGUGUUCUUGCUCCCGCUUCACCACUGCCCUUGCAAGUGAAAAACAACCAAACUACUGAAGUAACUGCUCUGUGCAUCAUGUUUUCUUCGAAUCUAAGUACUAUUCUUACGGUCUCUCUGGUUCCACUUCCGAGAACAAACAUGAAUUUAGAGACGAGUCAUUUAAAAUGAGAUGGAAGUACUUUUAAUAACAGAUUAAGGAAAUGGAGACUUUUGAGCAACAGGAUUUUACCAUGUGAUUCAGCUGCAGGGUUUGCUCGAGGUGAUGGCAAACUCCAGUGUUGCAAAUCUCACACUUGCUGCCUUUGGCACUUGUGGCAGUAGUCCUGGCACACCUGGUCGCUUGGAGGUGCACAGGAAGUGCCCCUCCACACAUAUCCCCGCCAUAGCCAGGCUCUCCUUGUUGACCACUCCAGGGUGACGACCAAGUCCAUGAGGUGAGUUUGGCCAUUUUGGAGAGUAUAUAUUCCAUUUCCCACUAAGGCUGUGGGUGGUAAUGUUUUUCACAGGGUUAGUAGCCUCACAAACUGUCGUUGAUUUCUUCGAACAUGGCAUGGUUUAGACGAAAUGGAGACAUCGCUUUUUUUCGUCCAAGAGGAGAAACGAAGAACAAACAACAUGGUACGUACCUGAGGAAAAUGUCUGAGAAGACGAGGUCGGCAGCCGAGUCCGAGGAGCUCACGGGAGCAAGCUCGAGCGCAUGACUAGGAGCCUGCUGGGCUCGCCCGGAGCGAUCGUGCAGGGCAGCUUCGAUGGAUCGCUCAAGGCUAAAGCAUCUGAAGAAGAGCUGAAGAAGAUCCUCCGCCUGGCAUUUCACUAUGAUGCCUUCUAGUGGAAAACUGAUAAGAACUGAUGUCUUGAGAUGUAUUUUAACUUAGAAAUGUAUUUUCCUUUUACACAACAACUAUUGGAGCAAUCAAUUUCACUGAACGAAGAAAUCUUGGUUUUGGUGGUGGCAACUGUGAUGGCGAGUCCUUGUCCUCGCUAGAUUUUCUUUUUGACUCUUUGGGACAACUUUUGGACGUGCUAGCCUCCACUGGAUUGAUCACAAACAAGCUCCCCAUUGCACUACUUGUCGAUGGUAUACAAACUGAAAAGGGUUGAGACAAAAGGGAGGCAUAUAUAGCUUUUAGUACGAAUAUUCUUUAUUUUAUUCUGGUCUAAGCUGUUUUGCGUUACUUAUAAUUUACGGUCAUACCUUGUAUGUCUUAAGAAAAAAAUUUAUAAUAAUAAAAAAAUAAAGAGAAAUGAAAAAUAUAUUAUGAUUUAAUAUUUGAGCUUUUAUCCUCAUUGAAAUGCCACAUCCACUUGCAUGGUUUCCUAGCUUUUUAUAAUGCCUAGAACCUUUGGAGUGAUAUAGCAAGCUAAAGUAAAGAUAAAUCUUUUGAUUAGGAAUAUCUUGAAUUGUUUGGCCAUGAGGUAUAAAAUCCUAACUUCCCUUCUAACAUUAUAGGUAUUAAUAUAAACUUACUUCAAGGAUUAUUAGUAUUAAAAAUAUUAGUUAGGAUUUUAAUAAUUGACAGAAAAAACAAAUAUAAGUUUAAACAAGAAAAAUAUAAGAGAAAUGUUACUUACAAUGCUUACAGAAAUAUGGCAAUGAAUAUGUGAUUUCACAUGGGAGCAUUAUAUAUUUACACAUGUGCAAAUUUAUUUUUUUGUUUUGAGUUGCAUGCAAAAAUAUUAUGCAUUCAAUCACUUUUCAAUUGCUAUAUAACCAAUUAAAAUGCCAUUGUGUUGUCAUGAGAUAUGUUAUAUAUGCAUGGGGCAUAACAACUCAUAUUACCAUAUUGUUGCGAAUUUGAUUUUGAGUAUCGAAAGAUAUUUGUCGACCAGUCCUUACGGGCACUUUUUCCUUACUGCCCGACAGUGGUAUUGAUGAUCCCUUUUAUAGUUUCCACUCAAGCUAAUUGAGAAACUGGUCAUCGUGUGUGCACUUGAUUAGAUAAGCAUAAGGACAGAAUUCCUACAUACUAUUUGUCAAGCAUAUUUAAUCUGGUUAGAGAAACUCAUUCGUUGAUUUGCACUUGCUAGUGUUGGGAACCCCCAUGAUAUUGAGACUAGUCCCUCAAUAUCACUAGAUGAUAGCUUACUGUGUUUGCCAAACACCCUCGCUAUCAUGCCCUUUGUGUUAGUCUCAUUUCGGUCCCAAAUGCUAAUUAUGAAAAAUAUCUAGAUUUGCUCAUUUGGCAUAUUUACGGAAUGUAAAGAUUGGUCUGAACACAAUGGUGUUUGUCCCGUGUCCAAAUUCACAAUUUAACGCCAUUCCAUAUUUAGUAAGUUUCAAACUUGUCCCAAAGACUAAUUCUUGGUACUAAGGGAGGCUUGGGGUGAAAGCCCAAAGCGUGUGUCCUUCAAGGGGGGGGGGGGGUUCCAAAUGUAUAGUAGGGAUAAUGGGUAGGUCAGACAUGCCUGACUAACCUAAGGCAUAAUUUAGCUCCUGCAUGCAUGUCUGUCUUUGUUCUGCGUCUGGCUUGGGUCUAAGCUCAAGUUUCAUUCUAUGCUAGCUGAUGGAGUACCCAUGUCCUCACGUUAGACCACCGGUAUGCCAAAAUAGCACCAAACUCCGUUUAACUAUGUUUUGCAUGCUGGUUUUGGCAUUGGGAUGCUGGUUGCUCUAGGACUAUACCAAGUCGCUCCGGGCUCCUGUCCCUUUGCUUCUUGGGCUAUAUGUUCGGGAAUUGCUCUGUGGUUCGGUUCCAUUGCUCCUAGGCUCCAUGCUUGGGAGUUUGGCACCGUUCCUUCGUUCAGUGGCCCACCAUUGAACCUCGGGUUCCGCACCACUGUCCUUUGGACACGUGGCAUGUGUCACAUGGUAUAAAGAGGGUUUAAGUUCCAUUUCGUGGUGUUAUCCUAUGGUAAAUCACUAUAGGAUAAAGGGUCAAAACCACGUGCGCUACACCAUAUACACAUCAUGCCAUGUCAUUUUAGACUAUGAUAUCACUGUAAUUUAGCAAAGGUUUUUUUUCUCAUUCUUGUGAGUGCAAAUUUAGGAUGAGUUAAUUGUGAUCAUUUCUCUCUUCUCAUUUUUCUUAGUUAUAAUUCAUUUUUCAUGGUUAUGGCUUAUUUCUCACAACUAUAACUUAUUUCUUGUAGUUGUGGCUUAUUUCUUAGAAUUUAGAGGUGUUAUGCACCUUAAUCUAUUUAUUGCACCUAUUUAUUGGUGUAGUGGCAAGUUUGAUCAAUUGAAGUGUGGUGGUAACUGUAAUUAAUUGAAGCACAAUGAUGAGCUCAAUUAAUUGGAAUAUCGAGGCAAAACAAUUCUUUAGUUUUUUUUCUCAAUUUGUAGUUUUAUUUAGCAUUCACUCACGUAAAAAUUUCUUCAUUUCUUCAUUUGUUACAAAACCAUUAACUUACAAAGUAUUUUUUAUUACCUUUAUUAAAAAGAGUGCUUAAAGAGCCUAUAAUAUUUUAAAAUUUGGCUUGCACAUUUGAAAAACAUCACCUAAAAACCUAACCCUGUUGACAUGUAAAAACAAAAUCUAAUGUGGGAUGCAAAAAAUUAUAUAUAUGGCAUUAUUUUAUGAGUCACACAUAUGUGUUACAAUAAUUUAAACACACAUGUGUUUUAUUUUCAUAUAUUGCAAAUGUGAAAGAUUUUUUACCAGGUUAUCUACCCUAGGUACAUCAGAAUUUAAUAGCGUAAAUACAUUAAAUGAAAAUAUAUUAAAACUUAAACAUGAUAAUUUAAAAACAAUUAACUAAAACUUUAGAAAUAAUAUAGUAAAUUGUUAUUAAAUCAUUCAUUUCAUCUUCUCUUCUAAUAAAAAAGUAUGCUUUAAAUUUUUAUAAAACAUUCUUUAACAUGCUCAGAUAAUAAUAAUUAUUUAACUUUUAUUCAAAUUCUUGAAGCGGCAAAUAGAUCAUUUUCAAGUUUUGGAUCAAAUUUCAUCCACUCUAGAAGGGAGUGGCAUCGUAGAGAGGAAAUGCCAGGUUGAGGAUCUUCCUCAGCUCCUCCUUGGACACUUUAGCCUUGAGCGAUCCAGUGGAGCUCCCCUCCACGAUUGAUCCAGGUGAGCCCAGCACACUCCUACACAUGCGCUGGAGCUUGCUCCCCUGCAUCUUGAAGCUCAUCCCAAGCUCCUCGGACUCGGUUGCCGACCUCGUCUUUUUGAGCACCAGCGCCACCACUGGCUCGUGGCGCUGCUGCUGCCGCUCCUCCGCCGCCUCUUCUCCGCCUCCCAUCCCUUCUGCCACUCCCUCCUCCUCCUCGCCCGCCACCUCCUGGUUGCACGACUGUGAGUUCUCCACCCAUUCUCUCCUCAGGAGCCCCCUCGUCCUCUUGGGAUUGCGCUCGAAGACGUCGUAGUCGUGGACGUCUCCUCCGGUGGCUACUCCGCCGAGUUCUUCGAUCUCGAUCUCCAGCUCGUCUGGUUCUUUCUUUGGCGGGAGCAACACUAUGUUGGCGGCGUUGGCGCGAUCACUGGAUUUGACCAGCUUGCGGCGCUUGAAUAUCUCGACGCGGAACGUGAUCAUCUCGGAGGAGGAGUUCUCCUUUUGGAAGACGAGGACGUCUCCCUUGACGAGUUCGUGAUGGACGCAGAAGGCUUUCCACCCGGCACCAAUCACUGGCUGCAUCGUCCAGUUCCAUCUCAUCCUCCAUUGGUGACCACUCCGGUCGCGGACGAUCACCUCGGCUCUCCCGUGCGGCAUCAUCUUCUUGCAGUAGUUCGAAGGAAGAGUCUGCAGAAAAAAAAUAAAGAAGAAAAGAAAAACGAUUAGCAAGUUCUUUGUGAAGAUAUCGAAGGGAAAAAAGACAAGGAUAGCGAAACAUAAACCUCGAGCUUGUUCUUCGCUUACCAUAACGUAUGUGCCGCUCACACAGCACUGGUUCAAGACUUUAAUGGUGCUGCGACUCUUCUUUGCAAGAUGUUGCUGGUACUCCUGCGCGGCUUGGAGCGCUUCGUGCGAACCUGGCAGCUCCUCGCGAUUCCGCCGCUGCCGCUGCUGAUUGGAGGGGAUGUAACUCGACAGAGGACUGUCUUCCUCGUAAGAACCUGCGAAGAUACGCUCGAACAAAUAUAAGAAACGAAGUGAUGAGAGAAAAAAAAGCGAGAAGGAAAGCUCUGACCAGAUGGAUAAGCUUCGCCGCCGCUCGACUCCAUAGCUGGGCUCUCGCUCUUCUUCUUGCUUGCUGAAGGAAAAACCUCGCUGAGAGAGCGUCCGGUCUACUAGUACGUCCCAAUGAUGAAUGAUCCUGAGCCGUCGGAUUGGCUCCAUCCGGCGGCCAGCAUUCACGUACGAGGAAAGAAAAUGCUCGUAUCUUUCUAGUAGCCGUCGCUUUCCAUUUCGUGAUCUUUGCUCCAUUCUAGAGGCAACCUUGGAGACUUGCUUGGAUGGCUUUGCACAUGGAAAUAUACAAAAAAAAAUCCACAGUAUCAAUCAAAACUUCAGCUCUAAAGAGGCGAGAUUAUCACCUUCCAGGUAUCGAGUGUGUUCUUCGUUUCUAUAGAUGAGAUUACGCGGAUCCAAUAACUCCGAGCCAUUCGUCAUUCAAAACACCUUCCACAGUGUUAUACGAUUUGCCUAACAGUCCCUUUACGAGAGCUUGAAGGGCCUGACUGGUUAGAAGACGAGGAUAAUGCUUAUGCAUCAAGAGUCCCACCGGGUAGAGGUCCGACCUCGUCGUGUACCCGUACCAAGGAAUUCCCCAUUGCUCGUCCCAGCAUUUUCUAUCCCUGCUGUGCACACGCCUUCCAGAUCAACUUUCUUCACUCGUAGUCAUACAAGACAUUAGCUGGUCGAAUGUCGCGAUGCACCAAGCCUGCACAGCCACAUGAAACUAUAAGCUCCCAAAGAUAGACGAGCCUCGCCAGCACCAUGUAAGGCCUUUAAAGCCUUGCGAAUGCCAAGCACCAUCUGUCGCAGCUCGUCUUCCGAAACAGGCUCUCGCACGGCAAGAAGACGAACAGUCAUAACCAUGUAUGCUCCAGGAGCGUCGCUCCUGAUCGUUCUUCGUUUCUUGGCGGAGGAAUCACGGUCAGCAGUCGAUGACACCGGAUUCAACAGUUGCUCACUUUCACUCCUGGUCCUGAAUUUAGGCCCUUCAACACUGCCAAGAAGGUGUUUCCCACAUUUGGGAGGCCUGGAAGACAUCUUCGCAGUUGACGCCCCACUCGUUGCAGUAAUUGUUCCAGUCCCAUAUCACCUUGAGCUCAUAGCUCGAUCAAUCCGUGCAUUCAGCUCGCAUCUGAUAGCAAUACAACCGUCAGCCAAACUUCACACUUUCUCAUUACACUCACAUCGGUCUGGCUCCGAUGGCAGCAAGCAUUCCCUGGAGCUUGAUACAAGUUGAGGACUGGAGUCAGCUGAGUCAGAAACGGCUGCUCCUGCUGAAAAAAAAAGAGAGCAAAUUGAUGGUCGACAAAACGAAACCGAUCUUAUGAGCUACCUGAGGAUUGAUUUGUACAGUGAAAAACUGGAGAUGAGGUUCAAGCACGGCAUAGCAUACUAGAAACUGCCACUGGUAGAGUUGAGACUUUGUCCGUCAACAAGGAUUUCACUACCUCAAACUCAACGUCCUCCCUCUCUUCCCCGUACAUGACAAUCUCAUGACAAUCCAGUUGUCAAUGCAGAUCAAAGUCAAAAUGAGCUUGAGCUUCUUGUUCUCCCCUUAGUUCUUGAAGCAUGCGAUUGGGCUGGUGUUCAUUGCAACUAAAACGUGCCAGGUACUGUGAUUUCCGGGCUUCUGAUCCGGGAGAAGAGAUCACAUCGCUCCAGGAGGUCCAGAUUGCCUGCUCCACCGCUUCGGUAGUAUUCCCCUAGCUCGCUGGGCAAUUCAAGGCAGGGAACCUGUGGCCACUUCACAACCGGCAAUAUGCCAAGAGCUCCGGCGCCUCACUCACGGUAGCGUUGGCGAUGCCAAUGUGGAGGAAUUCGGUCGCCGAUAGAGGAGAACGAAUCUUCCCCGUCAUCCCCGUCACAAGCGAGAAAUCUUUUAUUGACUGGGCAUUGACUGGGCCGUUAGCUCGCCUGCUCUGUGUGAUCCUCUUUUUCCUGUGCUCCUUUUUGAGCAGCAACAAGGAGAGCCUGGCUAUGGCGGGGAUAUGCGUGGAGGGCAAUUCCUGUGCACGACUAGGCAUGAUGGGAUUACUAUUAUAAGUGCCACUACAUCAAAGGCAAUUGUGGGAUUUGCAGCACAGGAGUUUGCCAUCACCUCAAAUGCAAUUGCCUGCAAACCAUGCAGCUGAAUCGCGUGGUAAAAUCCUGUUACUCCAAAGUCUCAAUUGUUAAAAGUUUAUUAUAUAAGCACACUUACCAGAGAGAAGAAUAGUAAUUGGCACACAACAGUUACUUCAAUAGUUUGGUUGUUUUUCACUUGCAAGGGCAUUCGAUGAGAAACAAAGAAAAGAAGAACAUUGAAAAGAGAUUCUCCUCAAUCACAAAGUUGAGAAGAGGAAGUAGAAAUUCGUUUUUUCCUCUCUUAACCUGUCCUCCACGUCUUCCAUAAUUCCUAACUGAUGUUCCACAUUUCAUAAUCUCUGUCCCAUAUCUUAGCAAUUGAGUAUUGAUGUUCUUGAUCAAGCCCCCCAAGGUCACUGGAGCACUUCUACACAUUUUCUUUGCACCAAUAAUACGGCAUAUCUUGGCAACUAACAACGCAGCACCGUUUCCUUCGCUCGUAACAUAGCUCUAGCUAGGGCUUAUUAGCUAAAGGAAGACUCACGGCCAUACUGAGAUGGAACGCCACUAAAGCUCAAACACUAGAACUGGAAAGAUCUCUUCAUUGCCAGGUAUAUGAAGUACAAACAACAAAUGUUUUUUGCUCCUAGUUUUAGUAAUGCUUGUGAUACAAGAUUGUUUUCGAUCAUCCCCCAAGGAGAUGAUUCGACGAUCAGUGGCGAGCUCUCUUGCUGGGCGGCCCGGCUUGUUGUUGCUGAAGCGCCAGUUGCCUUGUGAAGUAGUUCACCUCCUUAGCCAGUCGCCUCCUGUUCGCUUCCUCCUCUUGCUGGAGCGCCACGGCCACCAUCCGCGUGAUCCGGUCGGCACGGGGAGGAUCCAACGCCACCUCGUCCUCCAUGUAAUGGCAGUCCGGACUGAGCGCCCUCUUGUUGUUGGUCUCGGCCCAGUGAUCAUAGUCCUCAAAGUCGAAGCUAUCGUAUUGUUUCACCCGGAUGCUCCUAUUGUUACCAGCCUCGAUCACCAAGUCGUCAAUCAUGCGCUUGAGCUCAACAUACCGCUCAACGUCCACCGCCACCAUCUUCGAUCUGCUCCGCUCGUGAGAAGUUCUUCUGGACUCCUUUUUACAAUCAUUUUUUCGCCAAAUUAUUCUUUCAUCAUCUUUAAGAUAAAAAAAAAGGUUUUAACCAGCCUACUGAAAUAUUUUAAAUUUGUUUUAUGGAGCUCCGCCGAUUUGAAGAGCUAGGAGCGAGGAGCCAGAAAUUCGUGGAUUCAACCAGAGUUUCGAAGACUUGUUUGGCCCCUGAAUUUUCCCAUCUUUCACUGAGCAUCAACUGUCUGAUUCCAGGAUUUAACCUCGUCAUCAUCAACGCGUCCAAUCCCGUCCUCUCAGUCCAGCAAGAGUUUCUUCCACCAGCUGGGACGCUUUGCAUGUAUAGCCCCUGGUAAUUAAUCCGCUGGAGAAAGCUCCCACGAAAAUUCGCCUUGCAUGUGCGCGAAGAUGCUGCUGCGGGGUUAAAAGGAGACUGCAUAAACAUGCACACACUUGUCAAUUACAAAAUCAUGCAAGGAGAGUAGGGGAGAAAAACAAGAACAGUACACACACACCGAAACAAGAAACACCAGGGAAAAAAAAAGGUGGCAGCCACACCUCCAAUGAUGUCCUCUAGAUAUGUAAUUGUACAUGGCACCCUCGAUCUCGUGCAGGGCGCUUCAUCCGCAUGGGAGGCAGGACAAUGGUCAUCAGAUCAAGCCUUUUCCACGAAUGCCUGCCAGUCUUCGUAACCUUUGGCUGACCGUCUUCAAUCACGUAGUCCCUCAGCAGCUGUAGUUGCGACAGCGUUGUGUGGGCAGACAUGAACGAAGACUGGUGUGGUACAGGGUGCGCCAUCUAUAACCACGGCGUUGGGGCUUUCAGGCAUGGCCUCCUGGCGUACAACAAAAAGCUUUCAACAAAAUCUUUGUGCCCAUAUGAAACAUUUCAAGGAAAGAUGUGUAAUUCAAUAGUGAGAAGGAAAAGAAAAGACAAGUCCUAAGCAAGAGAAAAAUUGCUCAAACACAGCAGCCACGGGCAUUGCAGCAGAAGGCCCAGCUCUGGAAUGUAGGAGUCCACAAUGUCAAGCCUCCGCCUCACGAGCCUCAAGUUGGGCCUGAAGGUGACGAAGGACAUAUGGUUGUUCACAACAGUGAAUGUCCGAUCACUUGUUGAGAGGAGGCGUAGUCCUCAAAGAGCUCCCCACGCGCAGAAGAAAAGUCAAUCUGGGCGAGAUUGGCCAGGGAAGCAUCCAUCUUCCCGGAUGCGAAGACCUUGCUUGUAAACAUAGUGCGGAUGUACCUGGAAGCAAAAGCUAUCGUCGGAGCGAGAAUUUUGGACGGCUGUAGAAAACUUUGUCCGCCAACUCCUCACGCCCCGUCACCAGGAAGCUCGACACUGCUCUUUGCUGUCUAUCCGUCACAGUGCCCAAAUCCUGGAAAAAAUGCGGAGCUAUGCCAACACAGACGUAAAGCCGUGCCAGGAAAUGUGCUGCUGAGAAAUCUCCGGCCGUAAGUGCUCCUGAAAUUCCCCGCCUGGUGCUUCCUCUUGAACGCUUUCAACAGCUCCGAAGGCUUCCAGGCAUCCAUAUGGAAAGUCACAAACCGGCCUCGUCCAUUGUCGCCUCAGCGGCAUCAGCACCAUUCAUCCGGGAUGGACUUGUAAAGAGGACCGUCCUUCCUCGCGUGCCUCUAUAUCCUUGAAAGCUAUCGUCCACAAGGAGCCACGUCCCUGCUAAGCUCAACAGGUCUGUCGGAACUUUAUACGAGAACCGGACCUCUCCGCCCGGCGAGAUGAUGAUGAAGGCCCUGGCGUCCGCAAACAGUUGCACUAAAACGUAUGCUCCAGCUAGUUCCGCGUCGCUGAGGAGCUCGCGAACGAAGUACCAGAUGCAGCACGACUUUCCUAUCCCCGGAUUACCGGAGAUGUGCGCGAAGGUGCUGCGGGCGUGUCUCAGCUGACGAUAGAUCUUCUCGUAAGACUUGCGAACGAGGAUGUCGGCAGGGUUGGCUGUGAGCUCGGCUAUGACGGCAGGGAGCCUCAGAAAUCCUUCCGCAUCCCGACCCCUGCACAGGUGCGAGCUGGUGUCCGGCGGGAAAAUCUUGUCCUUGGCAAAAGGGACUGCGUAAACACGCACACACUUGUCAAAAUUACAAAUCAUGGAAGAGCAGAGGGAACAUACACACAACGAAAACAAAAAGACUGUAUUGAAAUUCCUGAGAUACAUCUCCACUCCAGGAGCUAGGACAAAGUCAGGGCAGCACUGGCGCUUCAGCCACUUGCGGAUGGCAAUCUCAUGCGGCACAUUAAUUAACAACCGUGAGCAUGAACUUCUCACGAGCAGAGCAGAUUGAAGAUGAUGGCGGUGGACGUUGGGCGGUAUGUUUCGACGACUUGGCGACGAUAGUUUCGACUUUGCGGACUAUGAUCACUGGGCCGAGACCAACAACCAGAAGGCGCAGGCAAUCCCAUCCUCUCACUUGCACUCGAUUGAGUAUGAUCAGCAGCAUCACCACCACCAAAUCAGACCACUGUUUUGAUUCUCUGCUUUCACUUCCUCGACCAAUUCUACCCUGGAAAACAGUUUGAGCGAUGGAAAAAAAAGCGAGGCCUAGAAAACACUUCCGCUUCGUCGUGAAGAUGCUGGUUAGUAUCUCAUCGGAAAGGGAGGAGCGAUUCCAAUCUUGACCUCGAACAUCAAACGCUUCUCUUUGUCCUCCAGUGGAGGAACCAUUCUUUUGGUCACGUGAGAAUCCGUGACGUCGAUGCCUUGGCCAGGAAUGGUACGAGCUCGACAUAUCUACACAGGACUAAAAGCAAAGCUGUGAGUGACAAAACCAUCACCUCGAACAUAACACUGGAAAACUAAAUUUGAAGGAAGAAAACCAGCUUACUGUCGAUCUUGCUGCAGACCUUGCAAAUUCCCUCUUCCUGGUGCCACUUAAGAAACUCUUGGAACAAAUCCGAGAGUGGCCUCAUUGCGUUACUAGCCUUCCCAGAGCUAUCCAGCUCCAACCCAAGAAAUUUUUCUUUCUUGCGGAGUGCUGGACCUCGUCAACUUCUCCCUGAUUUCGAGGAAUGCGAGGCAAAUUUUCUUAGGAGCUUUCUCCAGCGGAUUGAUUACGAGGGGCUAUGCAUGCAAAGCGUCCCAGGAGAGAAAGCUGAUGGAAGAAACUCUUGCUGGACGACUUGGACUGGUGGGGAGAGAACGAGAUUGGACACAUGAUGCUCGACGGACGGCGAGAAGAUUAAAUCCUGGAAGCAGAGAGUGAAAGCUGGGAAAAAUCAAGGGACAGAAGCCAGUGAAAUUCCGCUUCCAAUUGCUUCGAAACUCUGGUUGAAUCCGAGAAUUUCUGGCUCCUCGCUCCUCAAAUCAGUGGAGAGCAUAGAACAAAUUUUAUAAUAUUGAAAUUGUUUUGUAUAGGGUUUGUGAUUGUAAAAGAACUUCUCGAGCAGAGCGAGAUGGUGGCGGUGGACGUUGAGCGGUAUGUUGAGCUCAAGCGCAUGAUCGACGACUUGGCGAUCGAGGCUGGUAACAAUAGGAGCAUCCGGGUGAAACAAUACGAUAGCUUCGACUUCGCGGACUAUGAUCACUGGGCCGAGACCAACAACAAGAGGGCGCUCAGGCCGGACUGCCAUUACAUGGAGGACGAGGUGGCGUUGGAUCCUCCCCAUGCCGACCGGAUCACGCGGAUGGACUUCACAAGGCAACUGGCGCUUCAGCAACAACAAGCUGGGCCACCGAGCAAGAGAGCUCGCCACUGAUCGUCGAAUCAUCCCCUGGAGUGAUGAUCGAAAACAAUCUUGUAUCACAAGCUCCAACAAACGUGUGAACAAAUCAAGCUCCUGCCAAGGAGCACAAACUUUUGUUGUUUGUACUUCAUAUACCUGGCAAUGAAGAGAUCUUUCCAGUUCUAUGAGCCGUAGUGGCGUUCCAUCUCGUGGAAUAUGGCCGUGAGUCAUUUGGGUCUUCCUUUAGCUAAUAAGCCCUAGCUAGAGCUACAUUAUGAGCGAAGGAAACGUUGCUGCGUUGUUAGCUGCCAGGGUAUGCCGUAUUAUUGGUGCAAAGAAAAUGUGUACAAGUGCUCCAGUGGUGCCUGAUCAAGAACAUCAAUACUCAAAAUCUAUACUGAUGAGUUCAACCUCUAAGGAAAAAACGUUUGUUUUGUUUUUUUGAAAAAAACAAUGCGCCUACUCCCUCUUCUCAACUUUGUGAUUGAGGAUAAUGGCUUUUCAAUGGUUCUUCUUUUCUUCUUUUCCUUGUUUCUCAUCGAAUGCUUGUGUUCUUGCUCCCGCUUCACCACUGCCCUUGCAAGUGAAAAACAACCAAACUACUGAAGGAACUGUUGUGUGCAUCAUGUUUUCUUCGAAUCAAAGUACUAUUCUUACGCUCUCUCUGGUUCUACUUGCGAGAACAAACAUGAAUUUAGAGACGAGUCGUUUAAAAUGAGUUCUUUGGAAGUACUUCUAAUAACAGAUUAAGAAAAUGGAGACUUUGGAGUAACAGGAUUUUACCAUGCGAUUCAGCUGCAGGGUUUACUCGAGGUGAUGGCAAACUCCAGUGCUGCAAAUCUCACACUUGCUGCCUUUGGCACUUCUGGCAGUAGUCCCGGCACACCUGGUCGCUUGGAGGUGCACAGGAAGUGCCCCUCCACACAUAUCCCCGCCAUAGCCAGGCUCUCCUUGUUGACCACUCCAGGGUGACGACCAAGUCCAUGAGGUGAGCUUGGCCAUUUUGGAGAAUAUAUAUUCCAUUUCCCACUAAGGCUGUGGGUGGUAAUGUUUUUCACAGGGUUAGUAGCCUCACAAACUGUCGUUGAUUUCUUCGAACAUGGCAUGGUUUAGAUGCUCUAAGACGAAAUGGAGACAUUGCUUUUUUUCGUCCAAUAGGAGAAACGAAGAACAAACAACAUGGUACGUACCUGAGGACAAUGUCUGAGAAAAGAAUGAUAAAGAACAAGAAGACGAGGUCGGCAGCCAGUCCGAGGAGCUCGGGGUGACCGUAAAGAUGCACGUCAAGCGCAUGACUAGGAGCCUGAUGGGCUCGCCCGGAGCGAUCGUGCAGGGCAGCUUCGAUGGAUCGCUCAAGGCUAAAGCAUCUGAAGAAGAGCUGAGGAAGAUCCUCCGCCUGGCAUUUCACUAUGAUGCCUUCUAGUGGAAAACUGAUAAGAACUGAUGUCUUGAGAUGUAUUUUAACUUAGAAAUGUAUUUUCCUUUUACACAACAACUAUUGGAGCAAUCGAUUUCACUGAACGAAGAAAUCUUGGUUUUGGUGGUGACAACUGUGAUGGCGGGUCCUUGUCCUCGCUAGACUCUUUGGGACAACUUUUGGACGUGCUAGCCUCCACUGCAUUGAUCACAAACAAGCUCCCCAUUGCACUACUUGUUGAUGGAUCCUAGGUUAUAUACAAACUGAAAAGGGUUGAGACAAAAGGGAGGCAUAUAUAGCUUUUAGUACGAAUAUUCUUUAUUUUAUUCUGGUCUAAGCUGUUUUGCGUUCAUGUCUUAAGAAAAAAAAUUAUAAUAAUAAAAACAUAAAGAGAAAUAAAAAAUAUAUUAUGAUUUAAUAUUUGAGCUUUUAUCCUCAUUGAAAUGCCACAUCCACUUGCAUGGUUUCCUAGCUUGCUACUCCAAAGGUUCUAGGCAUUAUAAAAUGAUUAGAAAAUCAAUGCUAAAGUAAAGAUAAAUCUUUUUAGGUAUAUCUUGAAAGUAAAAUUGAAUUGUUUGGCUAUGAGGUAUAAAAUCCUAAACUUCCCUUCUAACAUUAUAGGUAUUAAUAUAAACUUACUUCAAGGAUUAUUAGUAUUAAAAAUAUUAGUUAGGAUUUUAAUAAUUGACAGCAAAAAGCAAUAUAAGUUUAAACAAGAAAAAUAUAAAAGAAAUGUUACUUACAAUGCUUACAGAAAUAUGGCAACGAAUAUGUGAUUUCGCAUGGAAGCAUUAUAUAUUUACACAUGUGUGAAUUUAUUUUUUUGUUUUGAGUUACAUGCAAAAAUAUUAUGCAUACAAUCACUUUUCAAUUGGUAUAUAAGCAAUCAAAAUGCCAUUGUGUUGUCAUGAGAUAUGUUAUAUAUGCAUGGGGCAUAACAACUCAUAUUACUAUAUACACAUCAUGCCAUAUCAUUUUAGACAAUAUAACAUCACUGCAAUUUAGCAAGGGUUUUUUUUCUCGUUCUUGUGAGUGCAAAUUUAUGAUGAGUUAAUUGUGAUCAUUUCUCUCCUCUCAUUUCUCUUAGUUAUAAUCCAUUUUUCAUGGUUAUUACUCAUUUCUCACAACUAUAGCUUAUUUUUUGCAAUUUUGGCUCAUUUCUCACAACUUAAAAGUGUUAUGCACCUUAAUAUAUUUAUUGCACCUCUCAUUUUUUGUAAUCUAUUUGCAGUAUAACACUUUAACUUAGUGCUAUAAUAAAUGUGAUCGAUUGGAGUGUAAUGUGCAAUCAAUUGGAGUGCAAUGGUGAGUGCAAUCUAUUGGAGUGUGGUGGUAAGUGUAAUUAAUUGAAGCAUAAUGAUGAGCUCAAUCAAUUGGAAUAUAAAGGCAAAAUAAUUAUUUAGUUUUUUCUCAAUUUUGUAACUUUCUCUAGCAUUCACUCACAUAAAAGUUCCUUCAUUUCUUCAUUUGUUGCAAAACUAUUAACUUACAAAGUAUUUUUCAUUACCUUUAUCAAAGAGUGUUUAAAGAGCCUAUAAUAUUUUAAAAUCUAACUUGCACAUUUAAAAAAUAUCACCCAAAAACUUAACCCUAUUGACAUGUAAAAAUAAAAUCUAACAUAGGAUGCAAAAAAUUAUAUAUAUAGCAUUAUUUUAUGAGUCACACACGUGUUACAAUAAUUUAAAUACACAUGUGUUUUAUUUUCAUAUAUUUUACAAAUGUGAAAGAUAUUUUACUAAGUUAUCUAUCCUAGGUACAUCUCCUAUCUUGGGAGGUGUACCUCCCCUCAAAAUACUUCAAAAUUUAAUAGUGUAAAGAUAUUAAAUGAAAAUAUAUUAAAAUGUAAACAUGAUAAUUUUAAAACAAUUAACUAAAACUUUAGAAAUAAUAUAGUAAAUUGUUAUUAAAUCAUCUCUUCUAAUAAAAAAGUAUGCUUUAAAUUUUUAUAAAAAAUUCUUUAACAUGCUCAGAUAAUAAUAAUUAUUUAAAUUUUAAUCAUAAUUUUCAGUGGCAANNNNNNNNNNNNNNNNNNNNNNNNNNNNNNNNNNNNNNNNNNNNNNNNNNNNNNNNNNNNNNNNNNNNNNNNNNNNNNNNNNNNNNNNNNNNNNNNNNNNNNNNNNNNNNNNNNNNNNNNNNNNNNNNNNNNNNNNNNNNNNNNNNNNNNNNNNNNNNNNNNNNNNNNNNNNNNNNNNNNNNNNNNNNNNNNNNNNNNNNNNNNNNNNNNNNNNNNNNNNNNNNNNNNNNNNNNNNNNNNNNNNNNNNNNNNNNNNNNNNNNNNNNNNNNNNNNNNNNNNNNNNNNNNNNNNNNNNNNNNNNNNNNNNNNNNNNNNNNNNNNNNNNNNNNNNNNNNNNNNNNNNNNNNNNNNNNNNNNNNNNNNNNNNNNNNNNNNNNNNNNNNNNNNNNNNNNNNNNNNNNNNGGCUAUGGCAGGGAUAUGCAUGGAGGGGCAAUUCCUGUGCACCUUCACAAGCAACUAGGCGUGAUGGGACUACUGUUAUAAGUGCCACUACAUCAAAGGCAACAGUGAGAUUUGCAGCACUGGAGUUUGCCAUCACCUCAAAUGCAAUUGUAUCGCCCCUGCAGCUGAAUCACGUGGUAAAAUCCUGUUACUCCAAAGUCUCAAUUGUUAAAAGUUUAUUAUAUAAGCACACUUACCAGAGAGAAGAAUAGUAAUUGGCACACAACAGUUACUUCAAUAGUUUGGUUGUUUUUCACUUGCAAGGGCAUUCGAUGAGAAACAAAGAAAAGAAGAACAUUGAAAAGCGAUUCUCCUCAAUCACAAAGUUGAGAAGAGGAAGUAGAAAUUCGUUUUUUCCUCUCUUAACCUGUCCUCCACGUCUUCCAUAAUUCCUAACUGAUGUUCCACAUUUCAUAAUCUCUGUCCCAUAUCUUAGCAAUUGAGUAUUGAUGUUCUUGAUCAAGCCCCCCAAGGUCACUGGAGCACUUGUACACAUUUUCUUUGCACCAAUAAUACGGCAUAUCUUGGCAACUAACAGCGCAGCAUCGUUUCCUUCGCUCGUAACAUAGCUCUAGCUAGGGCUAAAGGAAGACUCACGGCCAUACUGAGAUGGAACGCCACUAAAGCUCAAACACUAGAACUGGAAAGAUCUCUUCAUUGCCAGGUAUAUGAAGUACAAACAACAAAGGUUUUGUGCUCCUAGUUUUAGUAAUGCUUGUGAUACAAGAUUGUGUUCGAUCAUCCCCCAAGAGGAUGAUUCGACGAUCAGUGGCGAGCUCUCUUGCUCGGCAGCCCGGCUUGUUGUUGCUGAAGCGCCAGUUGCCUUGUGAAGUAGUUCACCUCCUUAGCCAGUCGCCUCCUGUUCGCUUCCUCCUCUUGCUGGAGCGCCACGGCCACCAUCCGCGUGAUCCGGUCGGCACGGGGAGGAUCCAACGCCACCUCGUCCUCCAUGUAAUGGCAGUCCGGACUGAGCGCCCUCUUGUUGUUGGUCUCGGCCCAGUGAUCAUAGUCCUCAAAGUCGAAGCUAUCGUAUUGUUUCACCCGGAUGCUCCUAUUGUUACCAGCCUCGAUCACCAAGUCGUCAAUCAUGCGCUUGAGCUCAACAUACCGCUCAACGUCCACCGCCACCAUCUUCGAUCUGCUCCGCUCGUGAGAAGUUCUUCUGGACUCCUUUUUACAAUCACUAACCCUAUACAAAACAAAUGGAUAUGCCACUUUUUUGCCAAAUAUUCUUUCAUUAUCUUUAAGACAAAAAAAAAGGUUUUAACCGGCUUAUUGAAAUAUUUUUAAAUUUGUUUUAUGGAGCAGCGAUCUCCACAGAUUUGAAGAGCUAGGAGCGAGGAACUAGAAAUUCGUGGAUUCAACCAGAGUUUCAAAGACUUGUUUUGUCCCUGAAUUUUUUCCAUCUUUCACUGAGCUCAUCGAUGGCAUCAACUCUCUGCUUUCAGGAUUUAAUCUCCUCGUCAUCCGUCCAAGCAUCAAUCCCGUCCUCAGUCCAAGUCGUCCAGCAAGAGUUUCUGCCACCAGCUGGGACGCUCUGCAUGUAUAGCCCCUGGUAAUUAAUCCGCUGGAGAAAGCUCCCACGAAAAUUCGCCUUGCAUGUGCGCGGCUGCGGGGUUAAAAGGAGACUGCAUAAACAUGCACACACUUGUCAAUUACAAAAUCAUGCAAGGAGAGUAGGGGAGAAAAACAAGAACAGUACACACACACCGAAACAAGAAACACCAGGGGAGAAAAAAAAAGUGGCAGCCAUGCCUCCAAUGAUGUCCUCUAGAUCCGUAAUUGUACAUGGCACCUCGAUCUCGUGCAGGGCGCUUCAUCCAAACGCAAUUAAAGCAAGCUUUUGCAUGCGGUUCAGAACUUCCCUCUCCUCUCUUUCAAAUGCUUCCCUGAAGCCCUUGCGUGAGUCGUCGUCCAUGGGAGGCAGGACAAUGGUCAUCUGGGGAAUAGGCAGAUCAAGCCUUUUCCACGAAUGCCUGCCAGUCUUCGUAACCUUUGGCUGACCGUCUUCAAUCACGUAGUCCCUCAAACCCAUGAAACUCCCCGCUUGCUUGAUGCUUAACUCCUGGAUUAUAAUUUAUCAUGUUCACAAGCUCCCCAUUCCCCAGCACAUCCCUGUAUCGCCUCUUGAACGCUUUCAACAGCUCCGAAGGCUUUUAGGCAUCCAUAUGGAAAGUCACAAACUGGGCCUCAUCCAUUGUCGUCUCAGCGGCAUCAGCACCAUUCCGGGAUGGACUUGCGAAGAGGACCCUCCUUCCUCGUGUGGCUCUAUAUCCUUGAAAGCUAUCGUCCACAAGGAGCCAAGUCCCUGCUAAGCUCAACAGGUCUGUCGGAACUUUAGAUCUCUCCGCCCAGCGAGAUGAUGAUGAAGACCCUGGCAUCCACAAACAGUUGCACUAAAAUGUAUCUCCAGCUAGUUCCGCAUCGCUGAGGAGCUCGCGAACGAAGUACCAGAUGCAGCACGACUUCCUAUCCCCGGAUUACCGGAGAUGUGCGCGAAGAUGCUGUGGCCGUGUCUCAGCUGACGAUAGAUCUUCUCGUAAGACUUGCGAACGAGGAUGUCGGCAGGGUUGGCUGUGAGCUCGGCUAUGACGGCAGGGAGCCUCAGAAAUCCUUCCGCAUCCCAACCCCUGCACAGGUGCGAGCGGGUGUCCGGGGGAAAAUCUUGUCCUCGGCAAAAGGGACUGCAUAAACAAGCACACACUUGUCAAAGUUACAAAUCAUGGAAGAGCAGAGGAAACAUACACACAACGAAAACAAAAAGACUGUACCUCGAAUGAUAUGCUCUGCCCCGGCGUCGAACUUGACACGGUUUAAGCCAUCGUCCACGCUCAUCCGGCUUCUUGUAAAAGAAGCUUAGGGCGCCAGCCGUAAGAACCUCUCCGACCCGCACUUUGCCAUUCUUUAGACAGAACUUGAGCUUGUCAUCCAUCCAUGCGAAAGUACACGAUGCCACUCCUUCCUCAUCCUCUUACUCAUCGCCCUCGUUCGCUUCCCACAGCCUCACUGAACCAUAGUUUUUGUGAGAGCUACCUAUAGAAAAUGAGACGAAACAAAACCCAUGGCUGCUGCUCUGCUGCUGCUCUCCAUUGUCUGAAAAGAAAGCAAUGAGAUUUGUCAAAAGAUUGCUUUCAGCAAUAUUCUCUCCUUUCACUGCACAGGCCAGCAGCAGCACUAAUAGAGAAGCAAGCAUCUCUCCAUCCCAAAAUGAAACAGAUAAAUGCUUUUUGUGGGUUCCAGCUGAAGAAGAAUCCAUCGAUUUUGUUACGAUCAUGUGAGAGAGCACUUACCUUGCAAGUCCUUCUUGCGGAGUAAAAUUCCUAGAGCGUAGAAACAACAUCUACGACUUUGUAAAGUUUAAAAUUUUGAACUAAGAAUGGAGAGAGAAAAGCUUACUUACGACCAGAAAAGUCUCGAGAGUGAAAAUAAAGAAGAAAAGGGAUACCACUCACAAGUUUGAGAUUCCUGAGAUACAUCUCCACUCCAGGAGCUAGGACAAAGUGCAAUAAAUAAUGACUCCAGAAGCUUAUGGAUAAAUAAACCACCAUAAACCAUUUCCUUUCGAAAAAUGAAGGUGAAAAAAAAGUAUCCCAAAUCCAAAAGCUAUCCAGCUCCGACCGAAGAAAUUCUUCUUUCUUGCGGAGUGCUCGAUCUCGUCAACUUCUCCCCGAUUUUGCAGAAUGCAAGGCAAAUUUUUGUGGGAGCUUUAUCCAGCAGAUUGAUUACCAGGUCCCAGGAGCGAAAGCUGGCGGAAGAAACUCUUGCUGGUCGACUUGGAGUGGUGGGGAGAGAACAAGAUUGGACGCAUGAUGCUCCGACGGAUGGCAAGGAGAUUAAAUCCUAGAAGCAGACAGUACGAGCUCAGUGAAAGCUAGGGACAGAAGCGAGUGAAAAUCCGCUUCCAAUCGUUUCGAAACUCUGGUUUUAUACGCCAUCACGAAUAUCUGGCUCCUCACUCCUGAGCUCUUCAAAUCGGUGGAGAGCAUAAAACAAAUUUAGUAAACCGGUUAAGUUGCUGAAAACCUUUAUCUUAAAGAUGGUGAAACAAUAUUUGGCGAAAAACGUAGUAUAUCCGUUUGUUUCGUAUAGGGUUUGUGCUUGUAAAAGGGAAACUAGAAGAACUUCUCACGAGCAGAGCAGAUCGGAGAUGGUGGCGGUGGACGUUGAGCGGUAUGUUGAGCUCAAGCGCAUGAUCGACGACUUGGCGAUUGAGGCUGGUAACAAUAGGAGCAUCCGGGUGAAACAAUACGAUAGCUUCGACUUCGCGGGCUAUGAUCACUGGGCCGAGACCAACAACAAGAGGGCGCUCAGGCCGGACUGCCAUUACAUGGAGGACGAGGUGGCGUUGGAUCCUCCCCAUGCCGACCGGAUCACGCGGAUGGUGGCCGUGGCACUCCAGCAAGAGGAGGAAGACAACAAGAGGCAACUGGCUAAGGAGGUGAACCACUUCACAAGGCAACUGGCGUUUCAGCAACAACAAGCCGGGCCACCGAGCAAGAGAGCUCGCCACUGAUCGUUGAAUCAUCCCCUGGAGGGAUGAUCGAAAACAAUCUUGUAUCACAAGCUCCAACAAACGUGUGAACAAAGCAAGCUCCUACCAAGGAGGACAAAUUUUUGUUGUUUGUACUUCAUAUACCUGGCAAUGAAGAGAUCUUUCCAGUUCUAUGAGCUUUAGUGGUGUUCCAUCUCGCGGAAUAUGGCCGUGAGUUAUUUGGGCCUUCCUUUAGCUAAUAAGCCCUGGCUAGAGCUACAUUACAAGCGAAGGAAACGAUGCUGCGUUAUUAGCUGCCAGGGUAUGCUGUAUUAUUGGUGCAAAGAAAAUGUGUACAAGUGCUCCAGUGAUCAAGAACAUUAAUACUCAAUUCACAACUACACAAAAGCAUUAUAAUGACGUGAUUUUCCAACAAAAAUUUUGUGUUUGUUGGAAAUUUAAGUUGUAAUUUUCAACUACUUGCUAUCAACUUAAAUGUUAGUAGCAAAUUGGCUUUAGUUACAAAUUUUUUGCAAUGUCUGAUAGCAUUCAUAGUUACUCAGAUUUAAGUUGGAAAUUAUAGUUGUCCUUUACAACUAAAAUAGAAAUCAUAACUUUUACAUAUUCUUUAAAAUUAGAUAAGCUCAUAUAUGUUGCUAAUUAGAGUUGCAAUUUACAAUUUUUAACAUGCAACUAAAAUGUAAGUUCUUAAGGUUUGUAGUUUCAAAAUUUUUAGUCACAAAUUUCAAUAAUAUUUAGUUUAUGCUUUUUGUUUAGGAUUUAGGAAUGAAGGUUGCAUGUUGGUAUUUAAGAUGUAGAGGAAAUAAAAUUUGCCUCAUACAAAUUAUCAUAGAUUAUAUUCAUCUUUAUGGUAGACAUCCUUCAGCACCACAUGAUGCAUGAUUUCCAAUAAAAGAUAUUCAAGGGAUUAGAUUAUAUAGAUCUAUUACUUCAGUAAAAUAAUUUUUUAAAAUUGACGAAAAUUUUGUAAUUCCAGAUGAUUGUGGUAUUAAUUUGAGUGGUGGUAAUGGAGGUGGCAAUGACAAUAUUAAGGAUGAGAUUAUUUUUCAGAAUGGUUACAUGGAUAUGAAGAUAAUUUAUUACCUAUUUAUGAAGGGGCUAGUGCUUUUAAUUUGUCGGCUUAUUUAUGUAUUUUAUAUGUGCAAGUUAUUCCUAAAAUAUCAAACCAAGCAACAGAUUAUUUUUUAAGGUAAUUACUUUUAUUUAUUAUUUAGUAUUCAAUCUUUCAUUAUUUGGAUGAAGGCUCUUCAAACAAAUAUUACCUACAAAUAAUAUUUUUCCAAAUAAAUAUAAGGAAUUGGUAAAAGUCACUAAACACAAUGGACUUACCUAUAAAAAUAAUUGAUUCAUGUAUGUUAUUUUAUAAGGAGAAUAAAGACCUUCAAUUUUAUCAAAUUGAUAAUGCUAGUAGGUACAAAGAUUUUAAUAAUUUUAUACUUGAGAAAAUAAUGUUCUAUUUUCCUAUUAUACCUCGAUUUCAACAACAAUUUCAAUGUAGAGAAAUAACACAAUACAUGACUUAUCAUUUUGAUCAUUGAUCCAUUGAUGGAAUAAUAAAAAUUUCUGCUGAUGGUUCAUCUUAGAAAAAAUUCAAAAAUGAUUAUCCAAAUUUUGCAGCAAACCAUAGGUAGAAAACACCAAUGACCAAUAUAUAUGCAUUUAUGUAAGCUUCAUGACCAUAAUCCAAAAAAUUCUAUUCCACAAUCUGGGUAAAAGUAUUUCCCACUAGUUUGAAGUCUUGAACAAAAUCAUAAUCCAGGAAAAUCAUGAACAAACUAUUGCAUUAUUGCUCUAUGUUUGAAAAACUAUUAACCCUCUAGUUUAGAAUUAUCUUUGCAUAGCACUCUAUCCCAUAAUUGUUUUAACUCUUCCACAAAUAAUAACCAAUAAGUAUCAGAUAACUUGGACCUAGAAAAAUUAUUAAUAUACUUAUUUUAUUUUAUUUUUUUAACUAAUACCUGAUAUAAUCAUAAUAGGAAAUAUAAAUGAAGGCUUAAUUGCUAGAGUUGGUGGUAUAUUAUUAUUCAUUGCAACAAUUGCCUAAUAUGAACAUAGUUUUGCCAUUAAUUUUGUUAAAGAAAGACUAUCUGUAGUCACACUAAAAUAUAUAUUUCUUGGAUCCAUUUAGGUCUAGUAAUAAAAGGUAAAAUUUUAAUUAUUAUUUCUAAAACAUGAAAAAAUGAAGCACCGAAAAUUUCUUUUCCACCCUUCACGAAAUUAAUCUAUAAUUUUAAUUUAUUUAUUUAAUGGUCAUAAUUGUAUUCAACCAAUACUAAAAUAGAUGACUCCUGGGCAACACAUUAUUAUUUGGUUAAACAAAAAGAUUAAAUAUCAUUACUUAAUGGUAUGAAAUGAUUUUAUCAAUAUUGCUAAAUAUGGAAGAGAGAUUAGGAAAUUCUGGACCAUUAAUUAGGAAUCUGGAAGAGAGGACAAAUAUGGAAAACAAGCCUAAACACAUUUUACACUAGAAGUAUGGCAAAGUCUAUACCGAUGAAAUCAACCUCUAAAAAAGGUAAGGAAAAAACGUUUGUUUUGUUUUUUUGACAAAAAACAAUGCGCCUACUCCCUCUUCUCAACUUUGUGAUUGAGGAGAAUGGCUUUUCAAUGUUCUUCUUUUCUCCUUUUCCUUGUUUCUCAUCGAAUGCUUGUGUUCUUGCUCCCGCUUCACCACUGCCCUUGCAAGUGAAAAACAACCAAACUACUGAAGUAACUGCUCUGUGCAUCAUGUUUUCUUCGAAUCUAAGUACUAUUUUUACGCUCUCUCUGGUUCCACUUGCGAGAACAAACAUGAAUUUAGAGACGAUUGGACGUGUGCUUAUAAACGUUUAAGAACAGAUUAAGGAAAUGGAGACUUUGGAGUAACAGGAUUUUACCAUGCGAUUCAGCUGCAGGGUGAUGGCAAACUCCAGUGUUGCAAAUCUCACACUUGCUGCCUUUGGCACUUGUGGCAGUAGUCCCGGCACACCUGGUCGCUUGGAGGUGCACAGGAAGUGCCCCUCCACACAUAUCCCCGCCAUAGCCAGGCUCUCCUUGUUGUCCACUCCAGGUUGACGAGCACGAGUCCAUGAGGUGAGCUUGGCCAUUUUGGAGAAUAUAUAUAUUCCAUUUCCCACUAAGGCUGUGGGUGGUAAUGUUUUUCACAGGGUUAGUAGCCUCACGAACUGUCGUUGAUUUCUUCGAACAUGGCAGAAAGAAGAGGAGCUUAAGUUCCUUCGGUCGGAGCUGGAUAGCUUUGGGAAGGAAGAUUUACUUCCUCUUCUAGAAGGGAACGAGCACGCAGUCAUGGACGACGAAGUUUUCAAAAUGAGGCAUGCACGAAACAUCACCUGGAACAUUAUACUACUGUCGAUCUUGCCACGGAACUUGCAAAUCCCCUCUCGAACUUGUUUUCCUGGUGCCACUUAAGGAGCUCUUGGAACAAAUCCGAGAAUGGCCCCGUUGCGUUCCUAUCUCCGGAAUAUCCUCCUUCAGGCAUAUGCCCAGAGGGGGUCUUCGACAGGAUGCCGUCCAAGGACGUGGUCGCGUGGACGGCUAUGGUGAAUGCCUACGCCGAGAACGGCGUUGUGGACCUCGUGCAAUGUAUGUUCGAGAAUAGGCCCGUGAGGAACGUGGUGUCGUGGAACUCCAUGCGUUUUGCAUAUGCCCAAAGCGGGUAUUGCAGUCAAGACAUGGAGCUCCUUCAUAUCAUGCCUGCUCACAACGAGUACACGUGGAAUGUUAUGAUUCCUUGCUACGCUCUUAGUGGAAAAACGGGCAAGGCUAUGGUUGUGUUCCCGUCGGCGCAAGAAUGCUAUGGUGAAAGAUCCCUUUGACGCAAUGCCUGCUCGCAAUAUUGUGUCGUGGAAGAAGCUCGAUUUAAGCUCAAUCACCUGGAGCGUGAUGCUUCAAGCAUUUGCAGGGUUUGGGCAUGUACAAGAUGGCGAGAGUUUGUUUCAGAUCAUGCGAGAAACCUCACUCGGCGAUCCCAGUUGCUUGUCAGCGUGGACCAACAUGAUUGUUUUAUAAGAUUGACAAAGCUCGAGCAGUGUUUGAUGCUUUGGCGUGCCUGGACAAGGUCUCCUGGAACACCAUGCUCGCUCACCUGACGUCCACCACUGCAAAUAUUUCUUCGAGCAAAUGCCCGGCCACAACCUGGUGUCUUACAACACUGUCUUGUCCUCGGUGGUCAGCUGCAGAUUAUCCGAGAAAGCAGUGAAAAUCUUCGUCGAAAUGCUAGAGAUAACAUACAGUGUGAUGAUGCAAGCUUAUGCACAGGAAGGCCAGCUUGCGAGUGCCAGGGACAUCUAGGAGACAAUGCCGGAUCGCAACUCAGUGGCUCUCAUCACCGUGAUCUUGGCACUCGCACAGCCCAAUCCCCAAGAACAGCCUGGAGCUCGAUCAUCCCGGCCUAUGUGCAGAACGGACGCGUGACUGGAUCGCUUUCGAGAGAUGAUCUUGCUGUCUUUCAAGCCAGACGAGACCAUCUUCACGAGAAAUCUAGCAGCGGCAGCGAGCCAGCUCGAGCAGUGUUGCCGAGAUUUUUUGUCCAUGAUCGCAGACUUUGGGAUCUCUCCCAGGAUCGAGCACGCAAUGGGGCGACCUGGGCAGCUGGAGCAAUCCAUGCCAUUUGUUCCACAGCCGGGCUUGUGGAUGAUUCUUCUGGGCUCGAAAUGCAAAGGUUGUGGAAAUGUCGGCUGGAAAAUCGGGAUAAUGCCAGGUUGACAACCAACAAUCCUAGUCAUCCCGGAGAUGCGGGUGUUGUGCCAUGUAAGCUGAAAACCUAUCCCACCAGCCAAGGCGCAAUAGAGGAACACUGGUAUAAAAGAAAUGGAGUGGGAGGUAUGGUUAAUCCGGGAGAGCCUGAAAGGGCGCUUGCAUCCCUCGGGUUGCUUAGUAAAUGGGGUCGCUGACCCUUGACCACUUGGCCCCCCUCGUCGGUGACCCAGUAGUGCUAAGUCGGUAUGGUCAACUCCACCGUGACCUACCGGAUAGCGCUUGGUACCCAGGGCGCCCAAGGAGGCCCGAUAUCUUUUGCAAACAUUUCUUUGAUCUUCCUUUGUGGAAUUUCUUGGUGCGCCAGGCCUUGAAGUAAAAUUUUUCACUCAUUUGAGAGAAACGAAUGUUUGCGGCAUCAGGCGGUUCUCAAUUUCGCAAGACCAUCAAAGCUCAACCUAAUGCGUUAUGUAGAUGAUGCUUCUCUCUCUUUCUUUUUCCCGAACAAGCAAGGAUGGCACUUUCAAGUGCCUGAGAAAGGAUAGAGAAUUGUGCUCCAAACACGUUACACUUGUUCUAACAAACUUGUGAACAAAGCAAGCUCCUGCGAAGGAUCAAAAACUUUUGUUGUUUGUACUUCAUAUACCUGGCAAUGAAGAGAUCUUUCCAGUUCUAUGAGCUUUAGUGGCGUUCCAUCUCGCGGAAUAUGGUCGUGAGUCAUUUGGGUCUUCCUUUAGCUAAUAAGCCCUAGCUAGAGCUACAUUACGAGUGAAGGAAACGUAUUGGUGCAAAGAAAAUGUGUACAAGUGCUCCAGUGGUGCCUGAUCAAGAACAUCAAUACUCAAAGUCUAUAUUGAUCAAUUCAACCUCUAAGGAAAAAACGUUUGUUUUGUUUUUUGGAAAAAAACAAUGCGCCUACUCCCUCUUCUCAACUUUGUGAUUGAGGACAAUGGCUUUUCAAUGGUUCUUCUUUUCUCCUUUUCCUUGUUUCUCAUCGAAUGCUUGUGUUCUUGCUCCCGCUUCACCACUGCCCUUGCAAGUGAAAAACAACCAAACUACUGAAGUAACUGCUCUGUGCAUCAUGUUUUCUUCGAAUCUAAGUACUAUUCUUACGGUCUCUCUGGUUCCACUUCCGAGAACAAACAUGAAUUUAGAGACGAGUCAUUUAAAAUGAGAUGGAAGUACUUUUAAUAACAGAUUAAGGAAAUGGAGACUUUUGAGCAACAGGAUUUUACCAUGUGAUUCAGCUGCAGGGUUUGCUCGAGGUGAUGGCAAACUCCAGUGUUGCAAAUCUCACACUUGCUGCCUUUGGCACUUGUGGCAGUAGUCCUGGCACACCUGGUCGCUUGGAGGUGCACAGGAAGUGCCCCUCCACACAUAUCCCCGCCAUAGCCAGGCUCUCCUUGUUGACCACUCCAGGGUGACGACCAAGUCCAUGAGGUGAGUUUGGCCAUUUUGGAGAGUAUAUAUUCCAUUUCCCACUAAGGCUGUGGGUGGUAAUGUUUUUCACAGGGUUAGUAGCCUCACAAACUGUCGUUGAUUUCUUCGAACAUGGCAUGGUUUAGACGAAAUGGAGACAUCGCUUUUUUUCGUCCAAGAGGAGAAACGAAGAACAAACAACAUGGUACGUACCUGAGGAAAAUGUCUGAGAAGACGAGGUCGGCAGCCGAGUCCGAGGAGCUCACGGGAGCAAGCUCGAGCGCAUGACUAGGAGCCUGCUGGGCUCGCCCGGAGCGAUCGUGCAGGGCAGCUUCGAUGGAUCGCUCAAGGCUAAAGCAUCUGAAGAAGAGCUGAAGAAGAUCCUCCGCCUGGCAUUUCACUAUGAUGCCUUCUAGUGGAAAACUGAUAAGAACUGAUGUCUUGAGAUGUAUUUUAACUUAGAAAUGUAUUUUCCUUUUACACAACAACUAUUGGAGCAAUCAAUUUCACUGAACGAAGAAAUCUUGGUUUUGGUGGUGGCAACUGUGAUGGCGAGUCCUUGUCCUCGCUAGAUUUUCUUUUUGACUCUUUGGGACAACUUUUGGACGUGCUAGCCUCCACUGGAUUGAUCACAAACAAGCUCCCCAUUGCACUACUUGUCGAUGGUAUACAAACUGAAAAGGGUUGAGACAAAAGGGAGGCAUAUAUAGCUUUUAGUACGAAUAUUCUUUAUUUUAUUCUGGUCUAAGCUGUUUUGCGUUACUUAUAAUUUACGGUCAUACCUUGUAUGUCUUAAGAAAAAAAUUUAUAAUAAUAAAAAAAUAAAGAGAAAUGAAAAAUAUAUUAUGAUUUAAUAUUUGAGCUUUUAUCCUCAUUGAAAUGCCACAUCCACUUGCAUGGUUUCCUAGCUUUUUAUAAUGCCUAGAACCUUUGGAGUGAUAUAGCAAGCUAAAGUAAAGAUAAAUCUUUUGAUUAGGAAUAUCUUGAAUUGUUUGGCCAUGAGGUAUAAAAUCCUAACUUCCCUUCUAACAUUAUAGGUAUUAAUAUAAACUUACUUCAAGGAUUAUUAGUAUUAAAAAUAUUAGUUAGGAUUUUAAUAAUUGACAGAAAAAACAAAUAUAAGUUUAAACAAGAAAAAUAUAAGAGAAAUGUUACUUACAAUGCUUACAGAAAUAUGGCAAUGAAUAUGUGAUUUCACAUGGGAGCAUUAUAUAUUUACACAUGUGCAAAUUUAUUUUUUUGUUUUGAGUUGCAUGCAAAAAUAUUAUGCAUUCAAUCACUUUUCAAUUGCUAUAUAACCAAUUAAAAUGCCAUUGUGUUGUCAUGAGAUAUGUUAUAUAUGCAUGGGGCAUAACAACUCAUAUUACCAUAUUGUUGCGAAUUUGAUUUUGAGUAUCGAAAGAUAUUUGUCGACCAGUCCUUACGGGCACUUUUUCCUUACUGCCCGACAGUGGUAUUGAUGAUCCCUUUUAUAGUUUCCACUCAAGCUAAUUGAGAAACUGGUCAUCGUGUGUGCACUUGAUUAGAUAAGCAUAAGGACAGAAUUCCUACAUACUAUUUGUCAAGCAUAUUUAAUCUGGUUAGAGAAACUCAUUCGUUGAUUUGCACUUGCUAGUGUUGGGAACCCCCAUGAUAUUGAGACUAGUCCCUCAAUAUCACUAGAUGAUAGCUUACUGUGUUUGCCAAACACCCUCGCUAUCAUGCCCUUUGUGUUAGUCUCAUUUCGGUCCCAAAUGCUAAUUAUGAAAAAUAUCUAGAUUUGCUCAUUUGGCAUAUAUACGGAAUGUAAAGAUUGGUCUGAACACAAUGGUGUUUGUCCCGUGUCCAAAUUCACAAUUUAACGCCAUUCCAUAUUUAGUAAGUUUCAAACUUGUCCCAAAGACUAAUUCUUGGUACUAAGGGAGGCUUGGGGUGAAAGCCCAAAGCGUGUUUCCUUCAAGGGGGGGGGGGGGUUCCAAAUGUAUAGUAGGGAUAAUGGGUAGGUCAGACAUGCCUGACUAACCUAAGGCAUAAUUUAGCUCCUGCAUGCAUGUCUGUCUUUGUUCUGCGUCUGGCUUGGGUCUAAGCUCAAGNNNNNNNNNNNNNNNNNNNNNNNNNNNNNNNNNNNNNNNNNNNNNNNNNNNNNNNNNNNNNNNNNNNNNNNNNNNNNNNNNNNNNNNNNNNNNNNNNNNNNNNNNNNNNNNNNNNNNNNNNNNNNNNNNNNNNNNNNNNNNNNNNNNNNNNNNNNNNNNNNNNNNNNNNNNNNNNNNNNNNNNNNNNNNNNNNNNNNNNNNNNNNNNNNNNNNNNNNNNNNNNNNNNNNNNNNNNNNNNNNNNNNNNNNNNNNNNNNNNNNNNNNNNNNNNNNNNNNNNNNNNNNNNNNNNNNNNNNNNNNNNNNNNNNNNNNNNNNNNNNNNNNNNNNNNNNNNNNNNNNNNNNNNNNNNNNNNNNNNNNNNNNNNNNNNNNNNNNNNNNNNNNNNNNNNNNNNNNNNNNNNNNNNNNNNNNNNNNNNNNNNNNNNNNNNNNNNNNNNNNNNNNNNNNNNNNNNNNNNNNNNNNNNNNNNNNNNNNNNNNNNNNNNNNNNNNNNNNNNNNNNNNNNNNNNNNNNNNNNNNNNNNNNNNNNNNNNNNNNNNNNNNNNNNNNNNNNNNNNNNNNNNNNNNNNNNNNNNNNNNNNNNNNNNNNNNNNNNNNNNNNNNNNNNNNNNNNNNNNNNNNNNNNNNNNNNNNNNNNNNNNNNNNNNNNNNNNNNNNNNNNNNNNNNNNNNNNNNNNNNNNNNNNNNNNNNNNNNNNNNNNNNNNNNNNNNNNNNNNNNNNNNNNNNNNNNNNNNNNNNNNNNNNNNNNNNNNNNNNNNNNNNNNNNNNNNNNNNNNNNNNNNNNNNNNNNNNNNNNNNNNNNNNNNNNNNNNNNNNNNNNNNNNNNNNNNNNNNNNNNNNNNNNNNNNNNNNNNNNNNNNNNNNNNNNNNNNNNNNNNNNNNNNNNNNNNNNNNNNNNNNNNNNNNNNNNNNNNNNNNNNNNNNNNNNNNNNNNNNNNNNNNNNNNNNNNNNNNNNNNNNNNNNNNNNNNNNNNNNNNNNNNNNNNNNNNNNNNNNNNNNNNNNNNNNNNNNNNNNNNNNNNNNNNNNNNNNNNNNNNNNNNNNNNNNNNNNNNNNNNNNNNNNNNNNNNNNNNNNNNNNNNNNNNNNNNNNNNNNNNNNNNNNNNNNNNNNNNNNNNNNNNNNNNNNNNNNNNNNNNNNNNNNNNNNNNNNNNNNNNNNNNNNNNNNNNNNNNNNNNNNNNNNNNNNNNNNNNNNNNNNNNNNNNNNNNNNNNNNNNNNNNNNNNNNNNNNNNNNNNNNNNNNNNNNNNNNNNNNNNNNNNNNNNNNNNNNNNNNNNNNNNNNNNNNNNNNNNNNNNNNNNNNNNNNNNNNNNNNNNNNNNNNNNNNNNNNNNNNNNNNNNNNNNNNNNNNNNNNNNNNNNNNNNNNNNNNNNNNNNNNNNNNNNNNNNNNNNNNNNNNNNNNNNNNNNNNNNNNNNNNNNNNNNNNNNNNNNNNNNNNNNNNNNNNNNNNNNNNNNNNNNNNNNNNNNNNNNNNNNNNNNNNNNNNNNNNNNNNNNNNNNNNNNNNNNNNNNNNNNNNNNNNNNNNNNNNNNNNNNNNNNNNNNNNNNNNNNNNNNNNNNNNNNNNNNNNNNNNNNNNNNNNNNNNNNNNNNNNNNNNNNNNNNNNNNNNNNNNNNNNNNNNNNNNNNNNNNNNNNNNNNNNNNNNNNNNNNNNNNNNNNNNNNNNNNNNNNNNNNNNNNNNNNNNNNNNNNNNNNNNNNNNNNNNNAUGCCUUGGCCAGGAAUGGUACGAGCUCGACAUAUCUACACAGGACUAAAAGCAAAGCUGUGAGUGACAAAACCAUCACCUCGAACAUAACAGCUGGAAACUAAAUUUGAAGGAAGAAACCAGCUUACUGUCGAUCUUGCUGCAGACCUUGCAAAUUCCCCUCUUCCCUGGUGCCACUUUAAGAAACUCUUUGGAACAAUCCCGAGAGUGGCCUCAUUGCGUUACUAGCCUUCCCAGAGCUAUCCAGCUCCAACCCAAGAAAUUUUUCUUUUCUUGCGGAGUGCUGGACCUCGUCAACUUCUCCCUGAUUUCGAGGAAUGCGAGGCAUAUUUUUCUUUAUGAGCUCUCUCCAGCGGAUUGAUUACGAGGGGCUAUGCAUGCAAAGCGUCCCAGGAGAGAAAGCUGAUGGAAGAAACUCUUGCUGGACGACUUGGACUGGUGGGGAGAGAACGAGAUUGGACACAUGAUGCUCGACGGACGGCGAGAAGAUUAAAUCCUGGAAGCAGAGAGUGAAAGCUGGGAAAAAUCAAGGGACAGAAGCCAGUGAAAUUCCGCUUCCAAUUGCUUCGAAACUCUGGUUGAAUCCGAGAAUUUCUGGCUCCUCGCUCCUCAAAUCAGUGGAGAGCAUAGAACAAAUUUUAUAAUAUUGAAAUUGUUUUGUAUAGGGUUUGUGAUUGUAAAAGAACUUCUCGAGCAGAGCGAGAUGGUGGCGGUGGACGUUGAGCGGUAUGUUGAGCUCAAGCGCAUGAUCGACGACUUGGCGAUCGAGGCUGGUAACAAUAGGAGCAUCCGGGUGAAACAAUACGAUAGCUUCGACUUCGCGGACUAUGAUCACUGGGCCGAGACCAACAACAAGAGGGCGCUCAGGCCGGACUGCCAUUACAUGGAGGACGAGGUGGCGUUGGAUCCUCCCCAUGCCGACCGGAUCACGCGGAUGGACUUCACAAGGCAACUGGCGCUUCAGCAACAACAAGCUGGGCCACCGAGCAAGAGAGCUCGCCACUGAUCGUCGAAUCAUCCCCUGGAGUGAUGAUCGAAAACAAUCUUGUAUCACAAGCUCCAACAAACGUGUGAACAAAUCAAGCUCCUGCCAAGGAGCACAAACUUUUGUUGUUUGUACUUCAUAUACCUGGCAAUGAAGAGAUCUUUCCAGUUCUAUGAGCCGUAGUGGCGUUCCAUCUCGUGGAAUAUGGCCGUGAGUCAUUUGGGUCUUCCUUUAGCUAAUAAGCCCUAGCUAGAGCUACAUUAUGAGCGAAGGAAACGUUGCUGCGUUGUUAGCUGCCAGGGUAUGCCGUAUUAUUGGUGCAAAGAAAAUGUGUACAAGUGCUCCAGUGGUGCCUGAUCAAGAACAUCAAUACUCAAAAUCUAUACUGAUGAGUUCAACCUCUAAGGAAAAAACGUUUGUUUUGUUUUUUUGAAAAAAACAAUGCGCCUACUCCCUCUUCUCAACUUUGUGAUUGAGGAUAAUGGCUUUUCAAUGGUUCUUCUUUUCUUCUUUUCCUUGUUUCUCAUCGAAUGCUUGUGUUCUUGCUCCCGCUUCACCACUGCCCUUGCAAGUGAAAAACAACCAAACUACUGAAGGAACUGUUGUGUGCAUCAUGUUUUCUUCGAAUCAAAGUACUAUUCUUACGCUCUCUCUGGUUCUACUUGCGAGAACAAACAUGAAUUUAGAGACGAGUCGUUUAAAAUGAGUUCUUUGGANNNNNNNNNNNNNNNNNNNNNNNNNNNNNNNNNNNNNNNNNNNNNNNNNNNNNNNNNNNNNNNNNNNNNNNNNNNNNNNNNNNNNNNNNNNNNNNNNNNNNNNNNNNNNNNNNNNNNNNNNNNNNNNNNNNNNNNNNNNNNNNNNNNNNNNNNNNNNNNNNNNNNNNNNNNNNNNNNNNNNNNNNNNNNNNNNNNNNNNNNNNNNNNNNNNNNNNNNNNNNNNNNNNNNNNNNNNNNNNNNNNNNNNNNNNNNNNNNNNNNNNNNNNNNNNNNNNNNNNNNNNNNNNNNNNNNNNNNNNNNNNNNNNNNNNNNNNNNNNNNNNNNNNNNNNNNNNNNNNNNNNNNNNNNNNNNNNNNNNNNNNNNNNNNNNNNNNNNNNNNNNNNNNNNNNNNNNNNNNNNNNNNNNNNNNNNNNNNNNNNNNNNNNNNNNNNNNNNNNNNNNNNNNNNNNNNNNNNNNNNNNNNNNNNNNNNNNNNNNNNNNNNNNNNNNNNNNNNNNNNNNNNNNNNNNNNNNNNNNNNNNNNNNNNNNNNNNNNNNNNNNNNNNNNNNNNNNNNNNNNNNNNNNNNNNNNNNNNNNNNNNNNNNNNNNNNNNNNNNNNNNNNNNNNNNNNNNNNNNNNNNNNNNNNNNNNNNNNNNNNNNNNNNNNNNNNNNNNNNNNNNNNNNNNNNNNNNNNNNNNNNNNNNNNNNNNNNNNNNNNNNNNNNNNNNNNNNNNNNNNNNNNNNNNNNNNNNNNNNNNNNNNNNNNNNNNNNNNNNNNNNNNNNNNNNNNNNNNNNNNNNNNNNNNNNNNNNNNNNNNNNNNNNNNNNNNNNNNNNNNNNNNNNNNNNNNNNNNNNNNNNNNNNNNNNNNNNNNNNNNNNNNNNNNNNNNNNNNNNNNNNNNNNNNNNNNNNNNNNNNNNNNNNNNNNNNNNNNNNNNNNNNNNNNNNNNNNNNNNNNNNNNNNNNNNNNNNNNNNNNNNNNNNNNNNNNNNNNNNNNNNNNNNNNNNNNNNNNNNNNNNNNNNNNNNNNNNNNNNNNNNNCUCGCUAGACUCUUUGGGACAACUUUUGGACGUGCUAGCCUCCACUGCAUUGAUCACAAACAAGCUCCCCAUUGCACUACUUGUUGAUGGAUCCUAGGUUAUAUACAAACUGAAAAGGGUUGAGACAAAAGGGAGGCAUAUAUAGCUUUUAGUACGAAUAUUCUUUAUUUUAUUCUGGUCUAAGCUGUUUUGCGUUCAUGUCUUAAGAAAAAAAAUUAUAAUAAUAAAAACAUAAAGAGAAAUAAAAAAUAUAUUAUGAUUUAAUAUUUGAGCUUUUAUCCUCAUUGAAAUGCCACAUCCACUUGCAUGGUUUCCUAGCUUGCUACUCCAAAGGUUCUAGGCAUUAUAAAAUGAUUAGAAAAUCAAUGCUAAAGUAAAGAUAAAUCUUUUUAGGUAUAUCUUGAAAGUAAAAUUGAAUUGUUUGGCUAUGAGGUAUAAAAUCCUAAACUUCCCUUCUAACAUUAUAGGUAUUAAUAUAAACUUACUUCAAGGAUUAUUAGUAUUAAAAAUAUUAGUUAGGAUUUUAAUAAUUGACAGCAAAAAGCAAUAUAAGUUUAAACAAGAAAAAUAUAAAAGAAAUGUUACUUACAAUGCUUACAGAAAUAUGGCAACGAAUAUGUGAUUUCGCAUGGAAGCAUUAUAUAUUUACACAUGUGUGAAUUUAUUUUUUUGUUUUGAGUUACAUGCAAAAAUAUUAUGCAUACAAUCACUUUUCAAUUGGUAUAUAAGCAAUCAAAAUGCCAUUGUGUUGUCAUGAGAUAUGUUAUAUAUGCAUGGGGCAUAACAACUCAUAUUACUAUAUACACAUCAUGCCAUAUCAUUUUAGACAAUAUAACAUCACUGCAAUUUAGCAAGGGUUUUUUUUCUCGUUCUUGUGAGUGCAAAUUUAUGAUGAGUUAAUUGUGAUCAUUUCUCUCCUCUCAUUUCUCUUAGUUAUAAUCCAUUUUUCAUGGUUAUUACUCAUUUCUCACAACUAUAGCUUAUUUUUUGCAAUUUUGGCUCAUUUCUCACAACUUAAAAGUGUUAUGCACCUUAAUAUAUUUAUUGCACCUCUCAUUUUUUGUAAUCUAUUUGCAGUAUAACACUUUAACUUAGUGCUAUAAUAAAUGUGAUCGAUUGGAGUGUAAUGUGCAAUCAAUUGGAGUGCAAUGGUGAGUGCAAUCUAUUGGAGUGUGGUGGUAAGUGUAAUUAAUUGAAGCAUAAUGAUGAGCUCAAUCAAUUGGAAUAUAAAGGCAAAAUAAUUAUUUAGUUUUUUCUCAAUUUUGUAACUUUCUCUAGCAUUCACUCACAUAAAAGUUCCUUCAUUUCUUCAUUUGUUGCAAAACUAUUAACUUACAAAGUAUUUUUCAUUACCUUUAUCAAAGAGUGUUUAAAGAGCCUAUAAUAUUUUAAAAUCUAACUUGCACAUUUAAAAAAUAUCACCCAAAAACUUAACCCUAUUGACAUGUAAAAAUAAAAUCUAACAUAGGAUGCAAAAAAUUAUAUAUAUAGCAUUAUUUUAUGAGUCACACACGUGUUACAAUAAUUUAAAUACACAUGUGUUUUAUUUUCAUAUAUUUUACAAAUGUGAAAGAUAUUUUACUAAGUUAUCUAUCCUAGGUACAUCUCCUAUCUUGGGAGGUGUACCUCCCCUCAAAAUACUUCAAAAUUUAAUAGUGUAAAGAUAUUAAAUGAAAAUAUAUUAAAAUGUAAACAUGAUAAUUUUAAAACAAUUAACUAAAACUUUAGAAAUAAUAUAGUAAAUUGUUAUUAAAUCAUCUCUUCUAAUAAAAAAGUAUGCUUUAAAUUUUUAUAAAAAAUUCUUUAACAUGCUCAGAUAAUAAUAAUUAUUUAAAUUUUAAUCAUAAUUUUCAGUGGCAAAUAGAUCAUUUUCAAGUUUUGGAUCAAAUUUUCAUCCACCCUAGAAGGGAGUGGCAUCGUAGAGAGGAAAUGCCAGGUUGAGGAUCUUCCUCAGCUCCUCCUUGGACACUUUAGCCUUGAGCGAUCCAGCGGAGCUCCCCUCCACGAUUGAUCCGGGCAAGCCCAGCACGCUCCUACACAUGCGCUGGAACUUGCUCCCCUGCAUCUUGAAGCUCAUCCCAAGCUCCUCGGACUUGGCUGCCGACCUCGUCUUUUUGAGCACCAGCACCACCACUGGCUCGUGGCGCUGCUGCUGCCGCUCUAUUGACUGCUAUUAACUGGGCAUUGACUGGGCCGUUAGCUCGCCUGCUCUGUGUGAUCCUCUUCUUCCUGUGCUCCUUUUUGAGCAGCAAUAAGGAGAGCCUGGCUAUGUCGGGGAUAUGCGUGGAGGGGCAAUUCCUGUGCACCUUCACAAGCGACUAGGCGUGAUGGGACUAUUGUUAUAAGUGGCACUACAUCAAAGGCAACAGUGAGAUUUGCAGCACUGGAGUUUGCCAUCACCUCAAAUGCAAUUGUAUCGCCCCUGCAGCUGAAUCGCGUAGUAAAAUCCUGUUACUCCAAAGUCUCAAUUGUUAAAAGUUUAUUAUAUAAGCACACUUACCAGAGAGAAGAAUAGUAAUUGGCACACAACAGUUACUUCAAUAGUUUGGUUGUUUUUCACUUGCAAGGGCAUUCGAUGAGAAACAAAGAAAAGAAGAACAUUGAAAAGAGAUUCUCCUCAAUCACAAAGUUGAGAAGAGGAAGUAGAAAUUCGUUUUUUCCUCUCUUAACCUGUCCUCCACGUCUUCCAUAAUUCCUAACUGAUGUUCCACAUUUCAUAAUCUCUGUCCCAUAUCUUAGCAAUUGAGUAUUGAUGUUCUUGAUCAAGCCCCCCAAGGUCACUGGAGCGCUUCUACACAUUUUCUUUGCACCAAUAAUACGGCAUAUCUUGGCAACUAACAACGCAGCAUCGUUUCCUUCGCUCGUAACAUAGCUCUAGCUAGGGCUAAAGGAAGACUCACGGCCAUACUGAGAUGGAACGCCACUAAAGCUCAAACACUAGAACUGGAAAGAUCUCUUCAUUGCCAGGUAUAUGAAGUACAAACAACAAAGGUUUUGUGCUCCUAGUUUUAGUAAUGCUUGUGAUACAAGAUUGUGUUCGAUCAUCCCCCAAGAGGAUGAUUCGACGAUCAGUGGCGAGCUCUCUUGCUCGGCAGCCCGGCUUGUUGUUGCUGAAGCGCCAGUUGCCUUGUGAAGUAGUUCACCUCCUUAGCCAGUCGCCUCCUGUUCGCUUCCUCCUCUUGCUGGAGCGCCACGGCCACCAUCCGCGUGAUCCGGUCGGCACGGGGAGGAUCCAACGCCACCUCGUCCUCCAUGUAAUGGCAGUCCGGACUGAGCGCCCUCUUGUUGUUGGUCUCGGCCCAGUGAUCAUAGUCCUCAAAGUCGAAGCUAUCGUAUUGUUUCACCCGGAUGCUCCUAUUGUUACCAGCCUCGAUCACCAAGUCGUCAAUCAUGCGCUUGAGCUCAACAUACCGCUCAACGUCCACCGCCACCAUCUUCGAUCUGCUCCGCUCGUGAGAAGUUCUUCUGGACUCCUUUUUACAAUCAUUUUUUCGCCAAAUUAUUCUUUCAUCAUCUUUAAGAUAAAAAAAAGGUUUUAACCAGCCUACUGAAAUAUUUUAAAUUUGUUUUAUGGAGCUCCGCCGAUUUGAAGAGCUAGGAGCGAGGAGCCAGAAAUUCGUGGAUUCAACCAGAGUUUCGAAGACUUGUUUGGCCCCUGAAUUUUCCCAUCUUUCACUGAGCAUCAACUGUCUGAUUCCAGGAUUUAACCUCGUCAUCAUCAACGCGUCCAAUCCCGUCCUCUCAGUCCAGCAAGAGUUUCUUCCACCAGCUGGGACGCUUUGCAUGUAUAGCCCCUGGUAAUUAAUCCGCUGGAGAAAGCUCCCACGAAAAUUCGCCUUGCAUGUGCGCGAAGAUGCUGCUGCGGGGUUAAAAGGAGACUGCAUAAACAUGCACACACUUGUCAAUUACAAAAUCAUGCAAGGAGAGUAGGGGAGAAAAACAAGAACAGUACACACACACCGAAACAAGAAACACCAGGGAAAAAAAAAGGUGGCAGCCACACCUCCAAUGAUGUCCUCUAGAUAUGUAAUUGUACAUGGCACCCUCGAUCUCGUGCAGGGCGCUUCAUCCGCAUGGGAGGCAGGACAAUGGUCAUCAGAUCAAGCCUUUUCCACGAAUGCCUGCCAGUCUUCGUAACCUUUGGCUGACCGUCUUCAAUCACGUAGUCCCUCAGCAGCUGUAGUUGCGACAGCGUUGUGUGGGCAGACAUGAACGAAGACUGGUGUGGUACAGGGUGCGCCAUCUAUAACCACGGCGUUGGGGCUUUCAGGCAUGGCCUCCUGGCGUACAACAAAAAGCUUUCAACAAAAUCUUUGUGCCCAUAUGAAACAUUUCAAGGAAAGAUGUGUAAUUCAAUAGUGAGAAGGAAAAGAAAAGACAAGUCCUAAGCAAGAGAAAAAUUGCUCAAACACAGCAGCCACGGGCAUUGCAGCAGAAGGCCCAGCUCUGGAAUGUAGGAGUCCACAAUGUCAAGCCUCCGCCUCACGAGCCUCAAGUUGGGCCUGAAGGUGACGAAGGACAUAUGGUUGUUCACAACAGUGAAUGUCCGAUCACUUGUUGAGAGGAGGCGUAGUCCUCAAAGAGCUCCCCACGCGCAGAAGAAAAGUCAAUCUGGGCGAGAUUGGCCAGGGAAGCAUCCAUCUUCCCGGAUGCGAAGACCUUGCUUGUAAACAUAGUGCGGAUGUACCUGGAAGCAAAAGCUAUCGUCGGAGCGAGAAUUUUGGACGGCUGUAGAAAACUUUGUCCGCCAACUCCUCACGCCCCGUCACCAGGAAGCUCGACACUGCUCUUUGCUGUCUAUCCGUCACAGUGCCCAAAUCCUGGAAAAAAUGCGGAGCUAUGCCAACACAGACGUAAAGCCGUGCCAGGAAAUGUGCUGCUGAGAAAUCUCCGGCCGUAAGUGCUCCUGAAAUUCCCCGCCUGGUGCUUCCUCUUGAACGCUUUCAACAGCUCCGAAGGCUUCCAGGCAUCCAUAUGGAAAGUCACAAACCGGCCUCGUCCAUUGUCGCCUCAGCGGCAUCAGCACCAUUCAUCCGGGAUGGACUUGUAAAGAGGACCGUCCUUCCUCGCGUGCCUCUAUAUCCUUGAAAGCUAUCGUCCACAAGGAGCCACGUCCCUGCUAAGCUCAACAGGUCUGUCGGAACUUUAUACGAGAACCGGACCUCUCCGCCCGGCGAGAUGAUGAUGAAGGCCCUGGCGUCCGCAAACAGUUGCACUAAAACGUAUGCUCCAGCUAGUUCCGCGUCGCUGAGGAGCUCGCGAACGAAGUACCAGAUGCAGCACGACUUUCCUAUCCCCGGAUUACCGGAGAUGUGCGCGAAGGUGCUGCGGGCGUGUCUCAGCUGACGAUAGAUCUUCUCGUAAGACUUGCGAACGAGGAUGUCGGCAGGGUUGGCUGUGAGCUCGGCUAUGACGGCAGGGAGCCUCAGAAAUCCUUCCGCAUCCCGACCCCUGCACAGGUGCGAGCUGGUGUCCGGCGGGAAAAUCUUGUCCUUGGCAAAAGGGACUGCGUAAACACGCACACACUUGUCAAAAUUACAAAUCAUGGAAGAGCAGAGGGAACAUACACACAACGAAAACAAAAAGACUGUAUUGAAAUUCCUGAGAUACAUCUCCACUCCAGGAGCUAGGACAAAGUCAGGGCAGCACUGGCGCUUCAGCCACUUGCGGAUGGCAAUCUCAUGCGGCACAUUAAUUAACAACCGUGAGCAUGAACUUCUCACGAGCAGAGCAGAUUGAAGAUGAUGGCGGUGGACGUUGGGCGGUAUGUUUCGACGACUUGGCGACGAUAGUUUCGACUUUGCGGACUAUGAUCACUGGGCCGAGACCAACAACCAGAAGGCGCAGGCAAUCCCAUCCUCUCACUUGCACUCGAUUGAGUAUGAUCAGCAGCAUCACCACCACCAAAUCAGACCACUGUUUUGAUUCUCUGCUUUCACUUCCUCGACCAAUUCUACCCUGGAAAACAGUUUGAGCGAUGGAAAAAAAAGCGAGGCCUAGAAAACACUUCCGCUUCGUCGUGAAGAUGCUGGUUAGUAUCUCAUCGGAAAGGGAGGAGCGAUUCCAAUCUUGACCUCGAACAUCAAACGCUUCUCUUUGUCCUCCAGUGGAGGAACCAUUCUUUUGGUCACGUGAGAAUCCGUGACGUCGAUGCCUUGGCCAGGAAUGGUACGAGCUCGACAUAUCUACACAGGACUAAAAGCAAAGCUGUGAGUGACAAAACCAUCACCUCGAACAUAACACUGGAAAACUAAAUUUGAAGGAAGAAAACCAGCUUACUGUCGAUCUUGCUGCAGACCUUGCAAAUUCCCUCUUCCUGGUGCCACUUAAGAAACUCUUGGAACAAAUCCGAGAGUGGCCUCAUUGCGUUACUAGCCUUCCCAGAGCUAUCCAGCUCCAACCCAAGAAAUUUUUCUUUCUUGCGGAGUGCUGGACCUCGUCAACUUCUCCCUGAUUUCGAGGAAUGCGAGGCAAAUUUUCUUAGGAGCUUUCUCCAGCGGAUUGAUUACGAGGGGCUAUGCAUGCAAAGCGUCCCAGGAGAGAAAGCUGAUGGAAGAAACUCUUGCUGGACGACUUGGACUGGUGGGGAGAGAACGAGAUUGGACACAUGAUGCUCGACGGACGGCAAGAAGAUUAAAUCCUGGAAGCAGAGAGUUGACGCCAUCAACGAGCUCAGUGAAAGCUGGGAAAAAUCAAGGGACAGAAGCGAGUGAAAUUCCGCUUCCAAUUGCUUCGAAACUCUGGUUGAAUCCGAGAAUUUCUGGCUCCUCGCUCCUCAAAUCAGUGGAGAGCAUAAAACAAAUUUUAAAAUAUUGAAAUUGUUUUGUAUAGGGUUUGUGAUUGUAAAAGGGAGACUACGAGCAGAGCAGAUCGGAGAUGGUGGCGGUGGACGUUGAGCGGUAUGUUGAGCUCAAGCGCAUGAUCGACGACUUGGCGAUCGAGGCUGGUAACAAUAGGAGCAUCCGGGUGAAACAAUACGACAGCUUCGACUUCGCGGACUAUGAUCACUGGGCCGAGACCAACAACAAGAGGGCGCUCAGGCCGGACUGCCAUUACAUGGAGGACGAGGUGGCGUUGGAUCCUCCCCAUGCCGACCGGAUCACGCGGAUGGUGGCCGUGGCGCUCCAGCAAGAGGAGGAAGACAACAGGAGGCAACUGGCUAAGGAGGUGAACCACUUCACAAGGCAACUGGCGCUUCAGCAACAACAAGCCGGGCCACCGAGCAAGAGAGCCCGCCACUGAUUGUCGAAUCAUCCCUUGGAGGGAUGAUCGAAAACAAUCUUGUAUCACAAGCUCCAACAAACGUGUGAACAAAGCAAGCUCCUACCAAGGACAAAUUUUUGUUGUUUGUACUUCCAUAUACCUGGCAAUGAAGAGAUCUUUCGAGUUCUAUGAGCUUUAGUGGCGUUCCAUCUCGCAGAAUAUGGCCGUGAGUCAUUUGGGCCUUCCUUUAGCUAAUAAGCCCUAGCUAGAGCUACAUUACGAGCGAAGGAAACGUUGCUGCGUUGUUAGCUGCCAGGGUAUGCCGUAUUAUUGGUGCAAAGAAAAUGUGUACAAGUGCUCCAGUGACCUUGGAGGGCCUGAUCAAGAACAUCAAUACUCAAUUGCUAGAUAUAGAAGAGAGAUUAGGACAGAGAUUAUCAGUUAGGAAUCUGGAAGAGAGGGUGGAUGACAGGUUAAGAGCGGUGGAAGACAAGCCUUAGGCAACCAGAUGAGACGGGAAAUUGACCUCAAGUAAUGGCAAAGUCUAUACUGAUGAAUUCAACGUCUAAAAAAGGUAAGGAAAAAACGUUUGGUUAGUUUUUUUGAAAAAAAACAAUGCGCCUACUCCCUCCUCAACUUUUUGAUUGAGGAGAAUGGCUUUUCAAUGUUCUUCUUUUCCUUUUUUAUCAUCGAAUGCUUGUGUUCUCGCUCCUGCUUCACCACUGCCCUUGCAAGUGAAAAACAACCAAACCACUGAAGUAACUGUUGUGUCAAUCAUGUUUUCUUCGAAUCGAAGUACUAUUCUUACGCUCUCUCUGGUUCCACUUGCGAGAACAAACAUGAAUUUAGAGACGAGUCGUUUAACAUGAGUUCUUUGGAAGUGUGCUUACGAACUUUUAAGAACAGAUUAAGGGAAUAGAGACUUUGGAGUAACAGGAUUUUACCAUGCAAUUCAGCUGCAGGGUUUACUUGAGGUGAUGGCAAACUCCAGUGUUGCAAAUCUCACACUUGCUGCCUUCACAGGAAGCGCCCCUCCACACAUAUCCCCGCCAUAGCCAGGCUCUCCUUGUUGACCACUCCAGGUUGACGAGCAAGUCCAUGAGGUGAGCUUAACCAUUUUGGAGAAUAUAUAUUCCAUUUCCCACUAAGGCUGUGGGUGGUAAUGUUUUUCACAGGGUUAGUAGCCUCACGAACUGUUGUUGAUUUCUUCGAACAUGGCAUGGUUUAGAUGCUCUAAGACGAAAUGGAAACAUCGCUUCUUUUCGUCCAAGAGGAGAAACGAAGAACGAACAAUAUGGAAAGUACCUGAGGAAAAUGUCUGAGAAAAGAAUGAUAAAGAAUGGCUUUCCAAUGUCUGAAAGAUUGGAAUACUUGAGUAACUCAUAAGCUCCACCUUUAAAGUUAGAAGUUAAAACACAACAGCCAAGAGUGGCAAAUCCAUUUACUUACUUGGACUGGACUGAGUAUGAUCAGCACCAUCAACACCACCGAAUCAGACGAGACGCUUGCAAAGUUGCUUCGAUUCUCUGCUCUGACUUCCUCGACCAAUUCUAGCCUAGAAAAACAACUUGAGCGAAGAACAAAGAAGCAAAGCCUGGAAACCAUACGCUUCGUCGUGAAGAUGCUGCGGUAGUUUAGUUUCUCAUCGGAAAUGGGGAGGAGCGAUUCCAAUCCUGACCUCGAACAUCAAACGCUUCUCUUCGUCCUCCAGUGGAGGAACCAUUCCUUUGGUCACUUGAGAAUCCGUCACGUUGAAUGCCCUGGCCAGGAAUGGUACGAGCUCGACAUGUCUAAACAGGACUAAAAGCAAAACUGUGAGUGACAGAACCACAAGGAGCACAGAAGCUACUGCGCAUGAAAGAAGAGGAGCUUAAGUUCCUUCGGUCGGAGCUGGAUAGCUCUGGGAAGGCUAGGAAAGCUUCAAGAAGGGAACGAGCACGCAGCCAACGAAGUUUUCAAAAUGAGGCACGCAGGAAACUUCACAUAUAAUAAAUUUGAAGGAAAGAAACUCGAUCUUACCCAGGAACUUGCAAACCCCCUCUCGACCUUGUUUUCCUGGUGCCACUUAAGAGGCUCUUGGAACAAUCCUAUCUCCGGACCUCCUUCAGGCAUAUGCCCAGAGGAGUCUUUGACAGCCAAGGACGUGGUCGCGUGGACGGCUAUGGUGAAUGCCUACGCAGAGAACGGUGUUGUGGACCUCGUGCAAUGUAUGUUCGAGAAUAGACCCGUGAGGAACGUGGUGUCGUGGAAUUCCAUGAGUUUUGCAUAUACCCAGAGCGGGCAUUGCAGUCAAGACAUGGAACUCUUUCAAAUCAUGCCUGCUCACAACGAGUACACGUGGAAGGUUAUGACUCCUCGCUAGGGUCUCAGUGUCAACACGGGCAAGGCUAUGGUUGUGUUCCAGAGCGUCGGCGCAAGAACGCUAGCUGCCUAGAACGCUCUAAUCUCGGCAUUUGCCCAGGAUGGGGAUUUUUCCAUAGUGAAAGAUCCCUUUGACGCAAUGCCUGCUCGCAAUAUUGUGUCGUGUAAGAAACGUGAUUUCCUGGACAAGUAUUCUGAAAAGUUACGCGGAUGCAUGGAACCUUAACGAGGCGAAGCGACUAUGCCAGAGCGAAGCUCAAUCACCUGGAGCGUGACGCUUCAAGCAUUUGCAGGG
rnacentral:lncRNA from 1 species